rnacentral:lncRNA from 1 species
AGGCACCGAGGCUUGCAGGAAGUCGGUUCCUAAGUGCUCUUAUCUCCUUGAGGCCAAAGAAGAAUGAUCGAUGAACCAAAUUAUUUUCGUCCAUGGUCAUUAGUGUGCCCCUGGUAUUGGUUACCUCCUCGUAUUCAUGAUGUAUACGGGUAAUUCGUGGCGGAUUUCGGGCAUUUAACAGCUCUCUUUGCCAUAUGGGCAGCAGAGAUGGCACAGACAGACCUUGAGCCAUCUCGCUUAUGGCGUCGAGGAAUUGGACCAAGCCAGGACCAUCACUCAUUGUGUGGUUUAGGCGCAAUGCAAAUAUAAAUCCUCCACACCUCAAUCGGGUCACCUGCAUUGUACAAACAUCGGCUUUAUCAAUAUAUGUUUUAGCAACAUCCAAUGAAAUAGACAAUUUUUGCUUAAGUAUUGGGUUAUUUGAUAUCUAUUUUAAAUCAUUAUCAAUUAAUAUUUUUUUUUAUUGAUUUUAACUCAUCUUUGCUUUCAUUAAUUUUAAAUAAUAAAUUUAUUUAUAAAACAAUCAUAAAAUAUUUAUUAUAAAAAAUGGAUGUAAAAUAAUAAUUCUAAAAAAUACUCUCACUAAUGUGGUUUCAAAAAGUUACUUUUAUUAUUUCAAAAAACUAAAUAUUUUUAUUUUUUCAAUUCAAUUAAAAUUUUUAAAAAUAAGUGAAAAAUAAAAAAUAAAGAAAAAGUUAAAAACAAAGUAUGUGACAUAUGAAAGUAAAUUACAUUCAUUAUUAAGUUAAAAAUAAAUACUAUCUAAAAUAAUUAUUUUAAUUUAAUAAUUAAAGUAAAAAUAAUUUAAAUAUAAUAUUAAGUUGUCUAAUCAAAUAUCAUUUUUGGGUAAAGUUGACUUACCAAACAUUUUCUUAUAAUGAAAAAUAUUUACCUGAAUUAAGAUAAGAGGGGAACCAAGAAUUUCCCCGGAGCCAGGGACAUCAUACAGAAUCUCCUCGUAGCAGGGGCACAUUGGUUGAAUUGAAUCACCAAGAUUCUCAAGUGUGGUAUCGGCAUCGGCUUCAAUGAACAAGACCCCUUCACCGGUGCAGUCCACCAUGAGUUUUCUAUUAUCCCCUUCAAUCAGCCUACCUGCAAAUGGGUAGUAGUAUACAAGCGCCUUACCUAGAGCUUCUUUAAUGACCUUUGCAGGGUCUUUUCCUUUCAUUAAAGGAUUGUUUGGGUAAAACAUUAUCACAGGAACUUGAAAGCGAAGGCCUUCUUGAUCAUCUAAAUCAGAAAGCUGCUUCACCUCUCGUGGGGUAGGGUUUGUAGGCCGAACAAACUCUGGAGCACACCGUUUAACGGAGAAUACUAGAGGAGACGAUGAUGAUGCCAUGUCCUUCCAGGCAAGGAGUUUGUUGAUAGAAUAUAGAAAAAAUGAUGAAGAGAAAAUUGAAGGAGUUUAUGUGAUGGUUUGCUUUGAGAAGAAGGUAGCUGAUAUUUAUAGCCUAUUGCUGCACUCCAAUAACGCGGCGGAGCAUCUUGCUCAGCCUACGACACGGUUUAGAUAAGACAUAAGAGGUAGAAUUUUAGAUGUGUUUCACGUGUUUUUUUCUCUCCAGGCCCCAAGAAGCUACACAACGAUAAAAAGGCAGAAUUUUGGGUUGUGUUUCAAAUCCACCCACUGUCUUAAUGCACCUAAAAUAUCAUCACUACUCUUUUCUUCUGCACCACACCCUCCUAUCAUUCUUACUCUACGUGUAUGGUGUCCAUUGUUUCACGACCCCCCUAAAAGCCAUGGUCCUUUCCUCUACGUUAUGUCUCUUUCAAUGUCAGAACGGUCCCCUCCUAUCAUAAAAAAUUAGGGAGAAUUGUGUUUUGGACCCAGCUAGGCACAAAAAUUAAUAAAAUAUCCUCCAAACACCUAUAAUUGAUUGUAAUGAUAUAAGGUUGGAAUAGACAAAAAUACCCCUUUUUACUUACACCCAUCAUUUUGUCUUUAUACCACCACUCUUUAGAUGCCCAUCCAUAAAAUUCUCCUUUAUUUAAUCAUUUUUUUAUUUUUUAUUAUUUUUUAAACUCCUUUAAAAAUAAUUGAAAAAUCAAUAUUAUUUACUAUUUUUAAAUUAUAAAUAAAUAAAAAUUAUAUUAAUGAUUCAAAAAUUAUUUUGGAACAUACUUUUGAAAAAAAUAUUAAUUUAAAUGAAUAAAAAUUACUUUUUACAUUUUACAAGUAAAUAAUUUAAUGAUUAAAACACUAUUUAAAAUAAAUAUAUUUACUAUUUUUUUUCUUUUAUACUAAAAAGUAUUUUAAAGUUUAUUUUUUUAUUAUUAUAAAAUAAAAAGUUUAAAGUUUUUUUUUUUUUAAUCUUUUUCUUUCCAUAGUUUAAUAAUUUUUUGAACAUAGACUUUUGUAAUAAGUUAUAUGAAUGUUCCAAAUUUGUUUAUUAAGGAAUUUUUUUAAUGAUUUGAAUUAAUUGAAAAUUUAUUGAAAUGAGAAAAAAAAAAAAGAGAGAAAGAGGAUAGAUGAAGAGUUUUUAUUUUAAAUAUCCAACUAAAAUGUUUUCGUAUUUAGAAAUGGAUUAUAUCAAUACAUAGCAUAGUAAAGAUUGAUUUUUUUCUCAUACAAAAGAGUUAAAUGAUAUGUUUACUCAUUUUAAAUAAAAACAAGUAGUUAAAAAUUAUAUAGAUUAUGUUUGAGUUUGGUCUUAAAAUAUUUUUUCUAGUUUUUAUUAUUUUUUUAUUUUUAAAAAUUAUUUUUAUUUUCUAUAUUGUCUUUUUUUGAAAAUAGAUUUAAUUAAAAAAAUGAAAAAUAUUUUUUAAAAUGAAAAUUGAAGACCUUGUUUAAUACUAAGAUAAUAAAAAUAAUUAAAUUUCAUUUAUUAAUUAUUCUUUUUUAUUUUUAAAAUAUAAUAUGUUCACAAUUAAAUAAAAGAAUUGGUCAAUUGUAUAUUUUUUUUCACAAAAAUGUAAUAUGUUCAUAAAAAAAUUGGAUUGAAGUUUUUCAUCAUUUUUUUAAUCAAACUACUAGAAUCAUGUUUAAUACAAAUAUAGGCAUAUAUGCACUACGGGAAUAUGAAAUUUGUGUCACUAUAUAAGAGUAUUUACUAACUGUAUAAGAGAAAUGUACUAAGUGUACAAGUAGUGUAUAAGAUUACCAUUUAUAAAAUAUUUCAAUCUAUUUUGAACCACUCCUUUAUUUUCCUUGUCACCCACAAAUUGCAUAUUCAUGUCAUGCACUUUAUUUAACUCCCAUAUGGAAAUUCUGAUACUUUCCCCAAUAAUGAUGUUUGGAAAAAAAAAAAAACUAACCCUAAUUCAUCCAUCCUUUUAUUAGUUAAACCAUUAGAAAUAUGGUUAACACACCUACAUGGACAUAUUACUUAGGAUAGAUAUAUUGUACAAUAGUAUUACACUAAUUGUACAAGGGAAAUGUACUAAGUGUACAAGGGUGUACAAGAUUACCAUCUAUAAAAAAAUUUAAUCGAUUUUGAAUCACUUUUUCAAUUUCCUUGUCACCCAUAGAUUGCAUACCUACGUCAUGCAAUUUAUUUAACUUUCACAUGAAAAUUUCGAUACUUUUCUUAGUAAUAAUGUUUGGGGAAAAAAAAUUUAAUCAUAAUUCAUCCACCAUUUUGUUAGCCAAACCAUUAGAAAUAAGAUUAAUAUAUCUACGUGGACACACAACUUAAGAGGGAUAUAUUGCACCAUUGUACAAUGAUGUUACACUAACUGUACAAGGGAAAUGUACUAAGUGUACAAGGGAAAUAUACUAAGUGUACAAGGGUGUACAAGGUUACCAUUUGUGAAAGAUUUUAGUCGAUUUUGAAUCAUUUCUUUAUUUUUUUUUUGUUACCCAUAAAUUGUUUAUGAAAUUUGCACUAUUAUAUAAGGGUGUUACACUAAUUAUAAAAGAGUAUUCCACUCACUGUGUAAGGCAAUGUACUAACUGUAUGUGGUAAAUGUACUAAUUAUACAAGGGUGUACAAGGUUAUCUUUUAUGCAAGAUUUUAAUCAAUUCUGAACUUUUUUUUUUUUUUUUUGUCACCUAAGGAUUGAACACUUUUCCCCCACACAUUCCUUCACCUAAAAAUUGUUUUAAUUUGAAAUUUGAAAUUUCAUCAUCCAAAAUUUGUAAUUGCAUAUUUCAUUUAAGUAGUUUUAACAAUAUUUUUUCUUACAACAUUUACAUCCUAUAUAAAGGAAAAUUAACCAUAAUAUUUAGGUAUUACCUUUUUUUUUUUUUGUGAAAUCAAAUUAAUAUAAAUGGAUAACACAUUAAUGUCAUUGUUUCAAAUAACUUAAGACAAUAUAAACAACAGAUAAUAACUGUUGAGGCAAAAUUAUGAAUAUUUUUUUUACCAAACUAUGUCAUUUAGAUCUUCUCUACCAAAAUUAAAACAUAGGAAAUAAAAUUAAAAUUAAUCACAUUUAAAAUGUUUAUUACAAGUAAACCGAAUGAAAUAUAUAUUUUUUACUAUUUUACCUUUAUAAACAUAAUGUUAGCAGAUAUUAAAAAAAUUAUAUUUAAAUAGAAUUAAAAAGGAUAAAAAAUUAUCUUUGUAACAUUUGUAAUUUUUUUUAUAAAAAAUCAUUAAUUUAAAUUAUCAAGUUAAUUUAAAAUAAUUUUUUUGUUGUAAUUAUAGUUUUAAAGAUUCUACGAUUUUUAUAUUAUUACUUUUAAUUUAUUUUCUUUGAUUUUUUAUUUUAAAUUUCAUCUAAACUUGUUUUUUCUUACAUUUAUAUGUUUUCUAUUAUAUCCUUAUUUAAAGUGAUUUUCAUCUAAUUUGUAUUCCAUUAUAUUCUCUUUUCAAUUUUAAUGUGUUGUUAUACCUCUUUACAUAACAAAAGAUUUUAUUAUUUUUCAUCUACAAAACUUUAUACAAAAGAUAUCAUGUACGAGGAAAAAAAAUAAAAAAAGAGAAAACUAUGAUAUAAUUUACAUACACAUCUCUUAAUAUGAUACAUUUGCUUGACUUAAUGACAUCAUGCUUUAAUAAUUUAAAUCAUGUCAAGUCCACAUUUAUUUUAAAUUUAAAAAGGCAUUUGAAUAUUUUUCAAAUUAUUAAGUUAUAAUACAUUAUUCAAUUAAAAAUUAAUUAUCACCAUUAGUUAAAAGAUGAUCAUGUUACAAAAUAAUAUAUUAAAACAAUAUCAAUGUAUUGUCCAAAAAUAGAGAAAAUAUUCAAAUAAUUGUCUACAACCUUAAAGAUAUUUAUAUAUAUAUUGGAUAAAAAAGAAAAAUAAUAUUUUUUUAAGGUGUUUAAAAAUUAUUUAUUAUAUAUUUUGUAAGUUUAAAAAAAAAUAUUUUAUGAGGUAUUUAAAAAAAUUUUACUUUAAAAAUAUAGUAAUAAUCCUUUUCAACCAUUGAUUAUCAAUCUUUAAUUUAUUAGGCAUGGUUUUUGGGAGAAAAAUAAUUGAUGAAAAUAGUAGCACCUUUCUAGAAAAGAAUUAAUUUACAUGUCCCACCGAUUAAUAUGUGAGAGAAAAAAAUAAGGUGAAUGAUGAAAAAGAGAGGGAAAAAAAGAAUGAAAGAGAGUGGGAAGUUAGUUGUUUUUUUUUUCUUGUCGACAAUAAAGGGCAUUUUCGGAAAAUUAAAUGUUUCAUAUCCUUCUUUUCAAUUUGUAGACUUUCUUUAGGUGUUGGGUUUAAAUAUGAAACUUAUGAGGAUCUUUUAUCAAUUUUUGGGCCCAGCUGGGCCCAAAACACAAUUCUCCCAAAAAAUUAUUGUAAUCCAUUGUGCAAUACAUCCCUCUCUCUCUCUCUCUCUCUCUCUCUCUCUCUCUCUCUCUCUCUCUCUCUCUCUCUCUCUCUCUCUCUCUCUCUCUCUCUCUGUCUUUGUACACAUACAAAAUUUCAGUUAAUUAAAUUAUUAUUAAAUUCCUCUUUAAAAUUUCUCCCUCUACCUCUUUCUCUCUCUUUGUACACCUACAAAAUUUCAGUUAAUUAAAUUAUUAUUAAAUUCUUCUUUAAAAUUUUGAUUUCUUAGUGAAAUGUCAACAUGUGACAUACCAUUUAAAAGAGGACACUUGGUGAAAUUUGAAAGACUAUAAAAUUAAAUUUUAUAAAACAAAAACAAAAACAAAUAAGUCAAUUGAAGUUCAAAAGAGAAAAUAUUUUUUUAUUGGUAAAUUUCUUGAACAAAAGAAACAAAUCUUUUUAUUAAAAUAAAAAAACUAAAAAUAAAUAAAUAUUCUUUGUUAGCAAAUCUCUUGAAGACAAGUUUCUAAAAUAAAAAUAUCAAAUUCUUUGAAUUAAACAAAUUAAAUCUUGGGAAUUCUUUAACUUCCUUCAAUGGAGGGAAUCAAUAAAAUAAUUUUAUAUGGGAAAAAUGUCUUCACAAGAAGAAAAAUAUUUCUUAAAAUUUAUCCAUAAGUUCGAGAAAUUAUAAAAUAUACAUGUGAUCUUGUCUCUUGACAAAGUCAUUUGGAAAAUAUUUUGAGGUGAUCAGGUUUGAAAAAGUAAAAGAAAAAAAAAAAGGUAAUAGGGUGCCCAGGCCUAAAAGUGUGAUGCUUUUAAUGAUGUUCAAAACUACAAAGUCAAAUACCUUUAAGGAUAUUCAGAGGUAUAAUUUCAUAUAUUUUAAAAGUCAUCCAACCCUAAAAUUACAUAUAUUUUUAUCGAUUCCUCCAUUUUCAAGUGCUAAAAAAUGAAUAUAAUAAUCAAUAAAAAUAUCUGUAAUUUUAUCAAUUUUACAUGCUUUUAAAACAUGUGAUAUUAUACCUUUAGAUAUCUUUAAAAGUGUUCGACUUUGUAAUAUAUAUAUAUACUUCUAGAUUCCUCCAUUAGUGAAAUUUGAAACACUACAAAAUUAAAUCUUACAAAACAAAAAUAAAUAUGUCAAUUGAAGUUCAAAAGAGAAUUAUAAAUAAAUAUUUUUUAAUUGGUAAAUUUCUUGAACAAAAGAAAUAAAUCUUUUUAUUAAAACAAAAAAAGAAUUAAAAAUAAAUAAAUAUUCUUUUGUUAGAAAAUCUCUUUAAUAUGGAAGACAAGUUUCUAAAAUCAAAAUGUCAAAUUCUUUGAAUUAAACAAAUUAAAUCUUGGGGAGUCCAAAUUUAAUUCUCUAACUUCACCAAUAAAUAUUAAUGACUUCCUUCAAUGGAGGGAAUCAAUAAAAUAAUUUCAUACGGGAAAAAUGUCUUCACAAAAAGAAAAAUGUUUCAAAAAAUUUAUCUGUAAGUUUGAGAAAUUAUAAAAGCAUUAUAUAUGUGAUCUUUUUUUUCAACAAAGUCAUUUGAGAAUAAGUCACUUUAAACCCUUAAUUGAUUUUCAAAACAAAGAAACACUUCAUCAUUGUCUAUUAAAUUAUGAUCAAAGUAAAGGACCGAGAGAAAAAAAUAUUCUUUUGUAAAGAAUAUUAUCAAAGAGUUUGUACCCCACAAUUAUUUUAAUAAAAACAAUUGUUAGCAUAUUUUUUCUAUUAUUUUGAUUGUUUCGUAAGACUUCACACAAUUUGUACGUAUAAAUUUAUGGCAAGGAAAGUUGAUAGGAUUUUCUUUUGGUUUAGUUUUUUAGGAAAAUGUUGAGAACUAUUAAAAUUAAAGGCAUGUUUGAUAAGUGUUUUCGAAAACAACUUUGAAAAAUAGUUUUUGAAGAUGACUUUUAAAAAUUAUUCUCUGAUUUUUAUAGAACAAAAGUUUAUUUGAAAACUUAAAAUGUUUUCAACCUGUUCUUAAUAUUUUUAAACAUGUUUUAAAAAUAAUUUUUAUAUUUAGUAUUUUAUUUUUAAUCAUUCUACAUAUUUGUAUAAUUAUUUCUUAAAAUAAUCCUUAAAAAACAAGUUAAAACAAUAGAAAACUACAAAAAGAUGUUAUCUAAAAACACUUUAUUUUCUAUUUUUAAAAAUAAAAAAUAGUUUUUGAUUAUCUAAUAUGUUUUCUGUGUUUUUUUUUUAACAACAAAAUACUAUUCUAAAAAAUAUUUCCAAUUAGGCACUAAAUCUUUUAGAAUACCCUGUCCCCAAACUUUCAUCACCUUUUUUAUAAGAAAAAUGGGAAAGAAAUUCUUUUAACAUUUUCCUUUAUUCUUACAUUUUGUCCACGUUAUCCAUAGAUAAUAAAAUCAUUUCCCAAUCUUUUCUCACUUUCUUUCAUAGGUAAAUGAGGAAAAUUGGUUAUGCAAUGCAUUAAAUUUAGCAGUUUGCAACAAUUAAUCUUGUGUAAUAUAUACAUUUUUUAUUAUAUAAAUUUUAAAAAUAUAUAUGUCAAUUUAUUUAUAUUUUUUCUUAGAAACCAAAUGGUGAUUAUUCUUACUUUAUUUAUUUUUAUAUAUUUUUAAUUGGAGUGUUUUCUGUCACAUGUUGAUCUUGCAAAUCAACAGGUUCUCUUAAAAAGCUCCUCAGAUUGGAAAUCCACACACUGCAAAAAACCCAUUAGAUAUCAAAGUUAUACUCUUCAUGACAUUCUUCAUGGUAAGUUAUAUUCAAAUUCAACAACAUAAAGUUUAUACCAAAUUAGAUAUCAAAUAUUUCUCAGUUUCCAUGAAUGCAGUUUCAUGCUUAGACUUACUUGAAGAGCUCUCUUUACAUGGAUGAGUAGACUGACUUAUCACUAUUGCUUUAUUCUGAUUAGGAUGCUGCUUGAUGUUACAGCCAUGUGAAACCAUGUUUAUUGUUUUAGUUUUGUACUUUGGGCAACUUAAUCCAGCAAAAAUCCAUUUGCACAAUAUCAGGACAUUGUUUGUGUCAUUUUUGUCAAGUAAUGAAGUCCAUGUGUAACUAGACUUCACAUCGUGUGCUUUAUUUGAUCAAAUAUUAUUUCUUGUAUUGAUCGACAACAUAGUCUAGGAGAUUAUUACUAGGCAGAAACAUAGGUAACCAAUCUUUUAUAGAACUGUGGAGGUAUUUAUUUGUCUGCUUCAAUAAAAACAAUAUGUUUGUGUAUGAUUUAAGUGGUUUGUUUUGUAAAUGCAGAGAUGAAGGGUGUUAAAGGAGCACAACCUGUAGAUUACCUCACCUUUGACCUAAGAUUGGUGUUUUCAAUUGAACCACAUUGCAGGGGCAUAAUGGAACAAAUUAUGCGAUUACCACAAACCAUGGGGUACAACUCAAGUCAAUGGUCAAUGACAACUACCCUAAUGAAUCCUCGUACAGUCGUAUAAGCUCGUACAAUUGUAUUCCUUAUACAGCUUAUAUGGACAGUUUGAUAUAUUAAUAGAGCCUUACAAUCAUUCACACAAAAUCUUUAUGGACAGUUGUUCCUAUUGAAAUUUCAAUAAAUUAAACCUACCCUUAUGUAGAUAGAAUUUUUAUUCAUUAGGGUAAUAAUAUCUAAUCAUUUUGAUUUAUGGUUGUGAUUUAUCAGGAUUAAGCAAUAGUUUGCAGCGAGACCAUAAAGAUGAUCUACUAACAAGCUUCCUAAUAACAUGAUCUACUUCAACAAAGAAUAGUGUGCAGUGAGACUCUGCCUGCCCAUUCCCUCCUUGGUGAAGCAAUUUUUGCAUUUUUCCCGGAUCCCUCUUACCUUCACUCUGUUGGUUUUUAAACCAGAUAAUUAAAAGAAAAACGGAAGCCAGAAAAAUUUUCUCUUACAGUUUGUAAUUGAACUGCUGGACUCCAAUAAGGGUUGGGCCAAAAGACAUGUAUUAGUGUCUGAUCCAUGGGGUGGAUCAACCGAGGGUCCGAACAAGUUUUUUAAGUCCACACGAUCUCUGGAGAUACCAAGUAUUGAAUGUUUAAAUGACUUGCAUAUUUCUUAUUCUCAUUAUUUUUGUGACUUCAACUAAUAUGUGUCUUGUUUGCCCAGGCAAAGAUAGGCGUGGCCACUUGGUUGAGUGGGUAGAGAAGUCUUCAUUUGCCCGUCUCAACAAAUUGUUUAAGAUUGACCCAUUCGAGCGGAGUCACAGUGUGCUGCUCACUGAGAAGAACCUGAGGAUCGUUCUUGCUCAAGCCAAGCCAUUUGUAAUCCCUCUUCUUCCAAGGCUAGCACCGCUGACCCUUGUGCUGGGCGAGCACUUCAUGCUAAAGGACUUGCCUUUCUACAAGGUCACCCGACUCGUUGACACUAAGGCAAGACAGGCUCGCCUAAACGCUUGUGAGAAAAAAAUGGCAAGAGGGACUUUACGCCAAGCCCUUGGUUCCACUUCCUGAGUGACUUCAAAUCCUGUCCCCUGACUAGCAAAGAAGAAGACCAUUGUCAAACGCCAAGAAUGGAAUGUUUUCCAUUACGCACAAUCUCCGCAAUAAUGGGUAUGUGAAUACAUAAUGAAUGGUCAAGCCUUAGUCAUGCUGUAUCUGUGUAGGAUUUAUUCUUCUGACCUACUUGGAGAUAGAUCAGUCACUCGGCCCAAGGGCCAUUGAGCCAUUCGACUGAGGACGGUUUCCCAUACAGCUCCUUUAGCUAAACGGCCUUGAGAGAGUGGUGGACUUCAGGACGGCCUUGCAUAGAGGGUCCCACAAUAAUCUCAUGCACACAUUAAGCAACGAGUUUUCUUUCGAGGCCUGGGACAUGUUCAUUACUUUCUCAACUUGGAAGUCCAAAACUUUUAUGGCAGUAUCUUUGUUUCCUAAAGAAAGUAUCUUAGAGACUUACUUAGUGGGAUGAAAAUGCUUGAGUACUCUCACUUAAACAUGCUCAUGGCUAUCAAACCUAUGAGUAACCCAAUUGAUGAUCAUCCAAUUGAUCAAACCCUUUAUAGGCAGCUUAUAGGUUCCUUGCAAUAUCUCACGUUUACAAGACAGGGUAUUGUCUAUGCAAUAAACAAAGUCUAUCAACAAUUUCAAUCUCCCAUAGAAGCUGACAUGCAAGUUGUGAAAGUAUUUUGACCUAUUUAAAGGGAACCAUGGAUUAUGGACUUCGCUUUCUUAAAAAAAGGUCCCUUUAUUUAAUAGGCUAUUGCAAUGUUGAUUAGGCUAGAUGCACCAUUUACAUGUCCUAUGAAUGAAAACUCCAUGAUCCAGUUUUUCAAACAAUGCCACUUCCACUCUGCCAUUUACAUCUAACAAUUGUCACCAACUAUAAAUAUUUAGCAACCAUUGGUGACAUCAAUAUUGGUAAUCUGGUUCUUUGAUAGGCUAGGACUUAAUGAUUUUUAACACAUAAAUUUUCUCAAAUAAGAAAAUUGUUAACAAAAUUGUAAGUUGAUUUGUUUGUACUUUACAAUCAUUAAUAUGCCCCUUGAUUCUUCUAAUAAAUACACAAACACCAUUUUAAACAAUUUAACGUUUAAUUUUGGAUCAAAAGGAUGGGGUUUCAUAAAUAGACACUAGAUAAUAAAUUCUUUCAAUGAAAAAAAUCUUUAAAUCAUCAAAUAUUUCUCUAAGAAAUCUUUGAUAUUCUUUAACUCUUUAAGAGAUCUUCAAAUAUUCAUCUUUUCAAGAAAUCUUGAAUCUUGAAGGAAUUUCUUCAACAACUAUUAAAAUUUUUGUCCAUCUUCAAUGUGUGCUUUCAAAUGAGUGGAACCCUCUACUUAUUAGGUUAGAAAUUUUAUUUUGAUAUUAUCUCUUGCUUUCCUAGACAUAAUCAUCCUUUUUAUUGUGAUAAUUAUUAUUUAUUUUAAUUAUUAUAAUUAAUUAAUUAAGAUAAUUAUAAUAUUCUUUUGCUUCAUCACAAUUAACUGAUUUCUUAUUAUUGUUUUUGCAAGAUUUUCAACAUAUUAUUAGUUAAUUAUUGACACAUGACUUUUAAUGAGUGGACAAAUUUUUUCUUUGUACAUAUUUCUUUCAACAUUGAUCAUUGUUAGUUAGUGGUGACAAUCAACUAAAACCGGUAGGGAGUUCUUUAUACACCUAAUGAUUUCUUGAAAUAUCACAAAUUUCUUUUAAUGUUUAGGUUUAUUUUGCAAUAAUGGUUAAUGCUAAGGUAAGCUUGGGUUAGUUGGGUUAAGAACAAGGUUAUGUUUCAUAGGUUUAUUUCUAUUGUGAUUUUAGAUAGAGAGGUCCUUAUGUUCUUUUGCGAGUUUGAUGUAAAUUUUUAUGUUAGUCCAUUUCACCAUAGUUUUAAAUACAUCUACCUUGUUAUAUUCUAUAUAUAUAUAUAUAUAUAUAUAUAUAUUUGGCUUUUCUUUCAUAUGGGCUCCAUAUUUUUUGCUAUUGUUUUCAUGAUUUCAAUUUCAUUCUUUGUUUCCAUUCCACUUAUGGUGGCAUCUUAUUGUCUAAAGUUUGUGUAAGAAUUUCUAAAUUUCAUCCUUUGCAUAAUUUUCAUCACACUUCUCCAAAAUAAGAGGAGAAUGAUUGGUUACUUUCAUUUUUAAAAAUAUGUAUAGGAAAGAAAAGAAAAAAAUAAGAAAACAUAUAUACUUAGCAAGCUUGAAGGAACAAUCAAGGUAGAUUGCCUUAGCAGAAUGAAACUCAUGGGAGAAGAAAAUGGAGUUGUCAGUAUUAUGUCUAGGAAGGUGGUGCAAUUCUUAUCCAACGAGUGUUAAGGUUGAAUAUGUGAAAGUAGAGCAAGAUGGGGUGUUUACAAAAGGUUAAAGGUGUGUGGGUUUUGUAUUAAGAUAGAUACUAUAAUAUUUUAAAAUCAUUCACACUCAUUGGGAUAUAUUUAACUUGUAUUAAUCCAAUCUCCCUACUUUGGUUAAUUAUAUGGUAAAAACCUAUAAAAACAAAUACAUUUAGAUUGUUGGGAACAUAAAUCAUUCUUUUGAGUUAAAUAGCAUAAUAAUUAAGUUGCCAAAAUUUUCCAUUGUGGAUACAAACACAACUUUUUGGUGAGCCAUAUGUUAUUUUCAAUAAUUAUAAAUUUUAUGUAAUUGGACAUAGAUUGGCCAUUGUUCAACUCUCAUUGCAACCAUGAAAUUACACCUCAACAUUCAAUACUAAAAAUGAGCAAAUUCUUAGCCUCGAAUUCAAGAAACUCCCAGCCAUUGGUUGGGCCUUAAACCAACCAUAGAUUAGACUCCUUGGGUUGUUUUGCUUGCCAUGGUGGUAUGCACCGAAGGCCCCUCCUAUACGCACUUAGAAGUACAUUAUCUCAAUUUCUUUUCCAUAUCUUUAAUCACUCAUUAGGCUAGUAUAUUAAGUUGGAAUGUGACAUUGUUUAGUAUUCAAAAUACUAUAUUUUGUUGUUAAAAAAAGUAAAACUAUUAAUAGUUCAAUAAAUAUAAAAAAUCUUAUUUUUACUUCGAUGUAAAAGAAAAUGAAUUAUUACAAGUUCAUUAAACAUGCAACAUCUUACACAGUUACCUAAAAUAAGGUUUUUUUUUUUGAAUUUUUUUUUAAUAAUUCCUUGUGUGUGAAUAAUCUUUCCAAAGAAAGGAACCCUAAUAUAUAAAUGUAUACACACACACACACACACACACACACACACACAUAUAUAUAUAUAUAUAUAUAUAUAUAUUAAAAUUCAAGUAAAAUCUCUAAAUGUGUGGACACAAUAUGGUGUUAAAUUGCAAAAGACUAAUCACACAUAUUACUUGAGAAUUUUAGUCCCAUUAUAUAUAAUUCUAGCUAAGGUGGGCCUCACUCUUCUUAGAAACCUAAUAGACAUUGAUUCAUUGAACCUUAGCCUUCAAAUAUAUAAAACCUAACACAUAUUGGCUAGUUGAACCUUAGCCGCCAAACAAUGAUCAAUGAAAUUCUUAAUUCUAGCAUAAGAAGAAGAAGAAGAAGAUACCAAGCAUGAGUCUAUCUUUGAUUAAUAGCUUGCGAGAUUGGAUCAAAAGACUUAGCAUAUGGUAAUCUUAUUCAUGUUUAGUUUGUAUUACUUUGGGAUUUCUUUAACUUUUGCUCAUUUGAAAGUAGGUCUAGUCAUAUCUUUAAAUUUUUAUAGUUUCUCUAUUUUCUUAUUGAAAAUUGAAGAAAUUUUAUGCUUAUACAAGGAGCUUCUUUGGAUUUAAUUUUUGGGAAAAUAAAACCCUAGAUUCAAAAGUAUUUUUUUAAUGCCUAAGAAAUUAUUAUAAUAUUAAAUUCUCUUCAAUUUUCUAAAAUUUACACAUAUACAUUUUGUGAACACUAAAUUGAAAGAAUAACAGUCAUAAAAUGGGAGUGUCAUUGUGUCAAACAAGUGGGCCUCAAUGUACUUCAUACUUGAGAGCCAUAAAGUUCUAGUCCCCAUAUGAAUAAAAUCAAAGAUGCUUUGAAUUUUAUGUGAGCAAUGAAAUUUCCUCUAUUUUUUCUAGUUUCUUUAAGUUACUAGUAUAAAGAGAAAUAAGAGGAUGAAGUCUUCAUUAUUAUUAUUAUUAUUAUUAUUAUUUUACUUUUUCUUUAUUUUUUUUCUUUAUUUUUUAUAUAUUUUAAUAUUAUUUGAUGUCAUUCUAAAUCAAUGACAUCCUUGAUCAUUUUCUUACAAUUUUUUAGGUUUUCAUGGUUUAAUAGAUUUGACCUAUGGAAGAAUAUGCAAGCAUAUGUUUCAUGCUUGUUUGAGUAAUAGCAAUGAGAUUCCCUAAUAUCAUUCUAAGAAUAGCUAGGAUUUCUAGAAGAAGAUGUCAUUCGUUUGAUGAGAAAUAAAAAGGAAUAUAAAAAAUUCGAGUGGCUGAAGCUGAAGCAGCUACUUUAAUUCGAAGUAACAAAAAAAAUAAAAUAAAUUAAAAAGCAACUAUUAGAGGGGGAGAGUCAGAGUUGAAAAGAGGAUUCAUCACUUCUCUUUCUCAUUCAAACCGUGCAUGAGAAUUUCAUCUUGCACGACUCUUUAGUUAUAAAAGAAAGAAGAACUCAUCUUCUUUAUUUUUUCAUUACCUUCCUCGCGUAUGUAUAAGACCGAAUCCAUUCAAUUUCUAAAAAGGAUUAGUAAUCCUUAACUUUUUGAUGAAUCCUUCAUCAAUGGUUGUGAAUGAUUGAUUUUUUCAAUCUUUUUGACCUUGGUUCCAUAGGAGCAAGUCAGAAAGAUUGGGAAAUAGAACCAUCUGAUUUGAUUCGUUCUCAAUAGCCAUGAGAUGAUCAUCUUAGGGUGAUCCCUUUGUCGAUGGAUGCUCCUAUUACACUUGUAGUCUCUGAAGGAUGAGAACCAACUAUGUAGCAUCUACAUCAAGAAUUCAAGUAUUGUAUACGCCAUUAGUUUGAUCCUUCGUAGGAACUAUCCAUAAUAACGAACUUGCAAAAUGGAUCUAUUUAUCAUAAAGAGAUUUGUUGUUCCUGACCUUGCUUUAACUUAAUUGUUAUUUGAACAAGUAAAAGUUAUGUCUUGGUCCAAGUGGGGAUAGCAUUUCUCUUCUGCAUGUCCAUAGAGUUUUGAAAAAUCCAAACAUCUCAGAGAUAGAUAGAGGUAGGAAUUUCUUGAAUGAACCACUUAUAUGGGUUUCUUUAGGCAACACACAAGUAAGACGAGUCAUGUCAUGAGUGGAAAAGCCAUAAAGCACAAACCAAGAUCCAUAACAUAAUACUAAAACCAAAAUGAGAAUGAGGUUGGUCUACGAUCAUUGAGGUUGGUCUAUGAUCAUCGUUAUUCGACAUACAUCGACUGAAGACUGUUUCCUGCUGAUCUUAUUCAGACCUAAAGUGGAUUCCCUAUUUAAUUUAUAUAUAUUAAUAUUUUUAUAUAUAAAUUAAUAUUUAUAUAAAAUGGCUGCUUACUAGACAAGGCAUUAGGUUUAUUCAUUCCAUAGAUGCCCCAUUUGUUUCCGAUAUGCACUUCUUUUCCAUCUGACUACAUUGAACUCCUCCUAAAAAAGUGCGUAAGGUGCCACCCACCCUUUCCCCUUACCCCUCUUACUCUCUAAGGAAUGAAAGGUUAGAUCUAACAUGGUCCAAAAAACUUGAAUAGGAAUGAGAUUCACAAUGCCAUCAUUGUAUGACCGAUAGUAGUGCAUGACUGACUUGGAAAAAUGCCCUUUCCAAGUCGUUCAUUAAGCUUUUCUUUUCCUUGUACAAAGCUUCUCUUCUUUCACUAACUCACUGCUCGCCUCUAAAAAAGAAGAUUUUGAACCCCAAUGUAACACUUAAUUAACGGGCAUUUUUGGGGACUAGCCCGCCUCUCCUUUGAGAGAUGCAACCCUCAAUCAGAAUACAAAUAAGAUUAGAAAGGACAUCAUUAAGGCAACAAUGCAAUUGCCUGAUAUGAUAUGCAGUGGACCAUGGGCAUAGUAGAAAAAAAGAACAAAAAUGAAAUUAUAAAACAUAUGAACUAUGAACGGGGAACAAAGGGGCUAUUUAAUUCAGUUAUGGCUGAUAGUAUGGCGUGACAAUAUUUACUUUUGUCUCGACUAUUUGAAAGAUUUUUUAAGAAUUGCUUAAGUUUCCGGUUUCUGGAAAUCGGUUCCAGCUCCAUGGUAUCGGAUAACCAAAUAAUAUGGAUACCUGCACGGAUAUCGUUUGUAUCUUCUAUGUGCACUCCUUUUUCCUUCAAAAUCUCAACCAUAACUUUUAAAAUAUCUUAUUGUAUGAUAAGUUAAUUCCUAAAGGUUAGGUUUAGGGAGAGAUCUUGUUUCAAUUCUUGAAGAAAAUCUUGGUGAGUCCUACCAUGUCCUUCUGAAGCUGCUGUAUUUGUCGGAUCCUGGGACUCUUUUCCCUGAGCUGGAAGAAAGAAAGAGGGCUCCCCGAAAGCACCUGGUGGUGUACAUGAUCCACCAUACAUUCCCCCCGACGUGGAUGGGUAGAAUUGAGCAACGGCUUUAUGGAGCUCAUCCAUGAGGAGAUACCUAAGGGAAAGAACCACCUUUGAUAGAAUAAGAGCAAGGAGGAGGGUUCCAAAAAAAUAAAAAAAAAAUAAAAAGAUUUUAAGUCGUUUUGGAAUUUGAUUUUUUAGUGUUUGAGAAAGAACACAAAUAGAUGAAAUAGCAGCAAAUAGCAUCUUUCUAGCCUGCAUAUUCGUGGAACUCAAUCUCAUUUAUUAGAAAGCUUAUCUCUAUCUUUCAGAAACUGAACAAAAAGUGGUUUAAGAAAGGACUUUAGAAUCGGAUGUGCUUGCCCAAUGAGAAAGGCCCUGCCAGCUAAGUUCAAAUAAAAAAGAAAGAAGAGAACGAAAGGAGAAGAGAACUUCGUAUUUUGGUAAUUCUCUAGGAGUCAUGUUUAACCUUGAAUGCUAUUAAUAGAUUCACCCCUUCAUAUUAGUAUGCCCUUUGAUACAUAACAUUUGUGGGAUGUAAGUCAAAUAUGAGUUUUUGAAUUAAUCCUAAACUUACAUAUAUUGUCCCUAUUCCUUAUAUUUCAUGGUUAAUUGUAAAAUGUGAUCUAUAUUAAUCCUAAACUUACAUAUGGUUCUCCUAUAAUUAAUAGUUGAUUAUGAACUUUGAAAUUUGUUAUUAUUCCAACUCUAAAAUAACUCAUUAAAUAAAUGUACCUAAUUAUUUUAUUUGGGCUAGAUAUUGAUCUCUAUGUCCUUUUACUAUUGUCAUUUUAAAUGUGAUUAAUUAUUAAUUUUGAUUUUCUUGUCUUUUAAUACUUUGUGCAGAUACUAGCACCAUGUUUAACUUUAAGAAGAUUGUGGUCUUGCUAGCCUAAAACUAAGAGAACUAGGAGAUAGAAAUUUCCAUUGCCGAUAUUUUACUGAAGGUAAUUUCCAUCUCUAAGAAGAUUCCAGAUUCACACAUCAUGUUCAGGCAUGGUUAGUCUCCACGGAAGAUUAGACGAAGAUUUAGGGCAGCUUUACACAAUUUGGAUAAUAUAGACUAAUUCAAUACUAGUUCGAAAUGAAACAAUAAAACCAUAAUGUCUAUUGGUGGGUGUUUAAGCAUGGAUAAAAUUGCUUCUAUGCUUACACCAUGUGUACAUAAAGGUAAUGUGGGACCCUCUCUGCAAGGGCAUCCAACAACCAUUCGCACUUGCAGCUGUCUGGGGGAAAUGCACUGGUGGCCGUUUGCCAGAAAGGCCCUAAGGCCGUGUGAUUGGUCUGUCUAUCCCAAAACUAGAAUGCAAACGGACAAUCCUUAGAUAGAAACAACAAGACUAGUGCCCAACUAACCUCUAAGCUUAGAUUGUGCAUCAGGCAUGCUCCAUAAUAAAUGCAGUCGUUACAAGGAGACAUUCCAUUAUUGGCGGCUCAUCAAGGCAAGACAACCAUUAUGCAUCAACAUGCAAUGCCCUAAUACCGCAUAAUUAAGCACAACUAUUCAAAUUUUGUAAAUAGACACUAGAUAACAAAUUUUUCAAUAAAAAAAUCUUCAAAUCAUUAAUUUCUUCAAGAAAUCUUCUCAGAUUCUUUAACUAUUCAAGAUAUCUUCAAAUAUUCAUAUUUUCAAGAAAUCUUGAAUCUUGGAGGAAUUUGUUCAACAGUUGCAAAUUUUUUCAUCGGUAUUCAAUGUGUGCUUUGAAAUGAGAGGCACCCUUUACUUAUUGGGUUGAAAAUUUGAUAUUAUCUCUUGCUUUCCUAGAGAAUCAUCUUAUUUAUUACGAUAAUUAUCAUAGCUAAUUAAUUAAGAUAAUUAUAAAAUUAUUUUUUUUACAAGGCCCAUCUAACAAGUGUCAACAUAUUAUUAGUUAAUUAUUGACAUGCGACGUUUAAUGAGUGGAAAAAAAUUGUCUUCGUACAUAUUUAUUUCAAAAUUGAUCAUUGUUAGUUAGUGGCGACCAUCUACUCAAACUAGUAGGGAGUUCUUUAUACACCUAAUACAUCACAAAUGUAAUUGAAUGUUUAGGAUUAUUUUUUCAACAAUGGCUAAUGUUGACACUAAGGAUGGAUUAGUUACGUUAAGAACAAGGUUAUGAUUUAUAUGUUUAUUUUUAUUGUGAUUUUAGAUAAGGAGGUCCUUAUGUUUUUUUGCGAGUUUGAUGUAAAUUUUUAUGCUAGUCCCAUUUCACCAUAGUUUUAAAUAUCAACUACCUUGUCAUAUUUUAUUUUAUUUUUUUUUAUUUUUGGGUUUCUCUUUCUUAUCGGCUCCAUCUUCUUUAUUGUUGUUUGCAUGAUUUUCAUUUCAUUCUUUGUUUACAUUCCACUUGGCGUUGGCAUCUUAUUGUCUAAGGUUUGUGUAAGAGUUUUUAAAUUUCCAAAGUAGAGUAUGGUACUCAUCCUUUUCAUCAUUUUCAUCCCACUUCUAUAAGAUAAGAGGAGAAUGAUUCGUCAUUUUCAUGGAAAGGUUUUAUUUUAAGUCUUUGCUCUUAUACUAUCUCUCCUUAUUCAUGCUUAUAGAAUUUAAUACAUUAAUGAUACUUUAUUUUCAUUUUAAAAAAAUAUUUAUAGAAAAAGAAAGAGAAAAUAAGAAAACAUACUUAGUAAGCUUGAAGGAACAAUCAAGGUAGAUUGCCUUAGCAAAAUGAAACUCAUGUGAGUAAAAAAUGGAGUUGUCAGUAUAUGCCCCCUAAUAGGGUGGUGCAAUUCUCAACCAGCUGGCUAGUGUUACAGUUGAAUAUGUGAAAGUAGAGCAAGAUGUGGUGUUUACGAAAGGUUAAAGGUACGUGGGUUUGUAUUAAGAUAGAUAAUAUAAUAUUUAAAAUCAUUCACAAUCAUUGAGAUAUGUUUAAUUUAUAUUAAUUCAAUUUUCCCACUUUGGUUAAUUAUAUGGUAAAAACCUAUAAAAACAAAUACAUUUACUAUUGGUAACAUAAAUCAUUCUUUUGAGUUAAAUUAUAUAAUAAUUAAGUUGUCAAAAUUUUCCAUCAUAGUUACAAACUCAACUUUUUGGUGACCCAUAUGUUGUUAUUUUCAAUAAUUAUAUACUCUAUGUAAUUGGACAUAGGUUGGCCAUUGUUCAACUCUCAUUGUAGCCAUGAAAUUACACCUCAACAUUCAAUACUACAAAUGAGCAAAUUCUUAGCCUUGAAUUCAAGUAACUCCCAACCAUUGGUUGGGCCUUAUACCAACCAUAGAUUAGAUUCCUUCCUAGGUUGUUUUGCUUUUCAUGGUGGUGUGCACUGAAGGCCCCUCCUAUAGAUUCUUAGAGGCACAUUAUCUCAAUUUCUUUUCCAUUUCUUUGAUCACUCAUUAGGCUAGUAUAUUAAGUUGGAAUGUGAGAUUAUUUAGUAUUAAAAUACUAUAUUUUGUUGUAAAAAAAGGUACAACUAUUAAUAGCUUCAAUAAAUAUAAAACAUCUUAUUUUUACUUCAAUGUAAAACAAAUUCAAAUUAUUACAAUUUCAUUAAUCAUGAAACAUCUGGUUUUUUUUUUAAAUUGUAAAAGGCUAAUCACACAAAAAACUUGAGAAUAGUAGUCCCAUUAUAUAUAAUUGUAGCUAAUGUGGGCCUCACUCUCCUUAGAAACCUAAUACACAUUGAUUCAUUGAACCCUAACCUUUAAAUAUAUAAAACUCAACAUAUAUUGGCUAGUUGAACCCUAGCCGCCAAACAAUGAUCUAUGAAAUUCUCAAUUCUCACAUAAGAAGAAGAAGAAGAUACCAAACAUGAAUCUAUCUUCGAUUAACAAAUUACAAGAUUGGAUCAAAGAUUUAGCAUAUGGUAAUCUUAUUCAUGUUUAGUUUGUAUUACUUUAGGAUUUCUUUAAUUUUUGCUCAUUUGAAAGUAGAUUGAGUCAUAUCUUUAAAUUUUUAUAGUUUCUCUAUUUUCUUAUUGAAAAUUGAAGAAAUUUUAUGCUUAUACAAGAAGCUUCUUUGGAUUUAAAUUUUUGGAAAACAAAACCCUAGAUUCGGAAGUAUUUUUUUAAUGCCUAAGAAAUUAUUAUAAUAAUAAAUUCUCUUCAAUUCUUUGAAAUUUACACAUACAUUUUAUGAACCCUAAAUUGAAAGAAUAGCAGUCGUAAAAUGGGAGUGUCAUUGUGUCAACCAAGAGGGCCUCCCCGUACUUCAUACUCGAGAGCCAUAAAGUUCUAGUCCCCAUAUGAAUAAAAUUAAAAUUGCUUUUAAUUUUAUGUGAGCAAUGAAAUUUCCUCGAUUUUUUCUAAUUUCUCUAAGCUACUAGUAUAAAGAGAAAUAAGAGGACGAAGUAUUCAUUAUUUUUUACUUUUUCUUUAUUUUUCUUUAUAUUUUAAUAUUAUUUGAUGUCAUUCUAGAUUAAUGACAUCCUUUAUCAUUUUCUUACCCCUUUUUAGGUUUUCAUGGUUUAAUAAUAGUUAGUAUGCCCUUUGAUACAUAACAUUUGUGGGAUGUAAGUCAAAUAUGAGUUUUUGAAUUAAUCCUAAACUUACAUAUAAUUUCUCCAUUUGUUAUAUUUCAUGAUUAAUUGUAAAAUGUGAUUUAUAUUAAUCCUAAACUUACAUAUGGUUCUCCUAUAAUUAAUAUUUGAUUAUGAAUUUUGAAAUUUGUUAUUAUUCCAACUCUAAAAUAACUCAUUAAAUAAAUGUACCUUUGUAUUUUAUUUGGGCUAGAUAUUGAUCACUAUGUCCUUUUACUAUUUUCAUUUUAAAUGUGAUUAGUUAUUUAUUUUCAUUUUCUUGUUUUUUGAUACUUUGAACAGAUACUAGCACCCUGUUUAAUUGUGAUAAGAGUGUGGUCUUGCUAGCCUAAAACUAAGAGAACUAUGAGAUAGGAGUUUCCCUUGCAGAUAUUUUCUUGAAGGUAAUUUCCAUCUCUGAGAAGAUUCCAGAUUCACACAUCAUGUUUAGGCAUGGUCAGUCUCCAUAGAAGAUUAGAGGAAGAUUUGGGGUAAUUUUACACAAUUUGGAUAAUAUGAUUAAUUCUAUACCAGUUUGAAAUGAAGCAAUAAAACCACAAUGUCUAUUGGUGGGUGUUUGAGUAUGGACAAAAUUGCUUCUAUGCUUAGACCAUGUGUACAUGAAGGUAGGACUAUAGAUGGGAUAAAAUAAACAAUGACAACGCUCAAGUUGGCAUGGGUAUUCGAUGACCACUGUAAAAAAAAACAAAUAAUGACUUUAUGCGAGUGUUGAAUAUAAAUUUGUAGUUAUGCUUGUAACAUUGUGUUGACAAUAUUAGCACAUAUAAAGUACUUAUAUAUACCAUCUUAGAUUGUUCAUGGCACCUACUCAUUGAACAUCUUUCACUAGAAUUGAUAAUCAAUAGCAAUAUAGAAUAUUUUCUCUAUGACUGGUUCACAUGUGGUAUGAAGGAAAAUCUUAUGAUCCAUUUUCAUUUCAUCAUUUACAUCUAACAAGUGUCAACAAUUAUAUAUUGACAUUUAGCAACCAUUAGUGACAUCAACAUUGGUAAUUUGGUUCUUUGGUAGGCUAGGCCCUAAUGAUUUUUUACACAUAAAUUUUCUGAAAUAAGAAAAUUGUUGACAAAAUUAUAAGUUGAUUUAUUUAUACUUUACAAUCUUUAAUAUGCCCUUUGAUUAUUCUUAUAAAGAUACAAACACCCUUUCAAAAAAUUUAAUAUAUAAUUUUAGACCAAAAGGUCAGGGUUUUGUAAAUAGACACUAGAUAAUAAAUUUUCCAAUAAAAAAAAUCUUCAAAUCAUUAAUUUCUUCAAGAAAUCUUCUUAUAUUCUUUAACUGUUCAAGACAUCUUCAAAUAUUCAUCUUUUCAAGAAAUCUUGAAUCUUGAAGGAAUUUUUUCACCAACUACAAAAUUUUUUGUUGGUGUUCAAUGUGUGCUUUGAAAUGAGAGGAACCCUUUACUUAUUGGAUUGAAAAUUUUAUUUUGAUAUUAUCUCUUGCUUUCCUAGAGAUAAUCAUCGUAUUUAUUGUGAUAAUUGUCAUUUAUUUUAAUUAUCAUAGCUAGUAAAUUAAGAUAAUUAUAAUAUUUUUUUUCUUUAUCACAAUUAAUUGAUUUCUUAUUAUUUUUAAUUUAUAAAAUUAUUUUUUUACAAGGCUCAUCUGACAAGUGUUAACAUAUUGUUAGUUAAUUAUUGACAGCGACUUUUAAUGAGUGGAAAAAAAUUGUCUUUGUACAUACUUUUUUCAACAUUGAUCAUUGUUAGUUAGUGGCCGCCAUAUACUCAAACCAGUAGGGAGUUCUUUAUACACCUAAUGAUUUCUUGAAACAUUGAUCACAAAUGUAUUUCAAUGUUUAGGUUUAUUUUUUCAACAAUGGCUAAUGUUGUGGCUAACGUUGGAUUAGUUAGGUUAAGAACAAGGUUGUGUUUCAUAUGUUUAUUUUUAUAGUGAUUUUAGAUAGAGAGUUCCUUAUGGUUUUUUUGUGAGUUUGAUGUAAAUUUUUAUGCUAGUUCCAUUUCACCAAAGUUUUAAAUAUCAGCUACCUUGUUAUAUUCUUUUUUCUUUUCUUUUUUUGGCUUCUCUAUCAUAUGGGCUCCAUUUUUUUUUAUUGUUGUUUGAAUGAUUUUCAUUUCAGUCUUUGUUUCCAUUCCACUUGGUGCUAGCAUCUUAUUGUCUAAGGUUUGUGUAAGAGUUUUUAAAUUUUCAAAGUAGAGUAUGGUACUCAUCCUUUGCAUCCUUUUUAUCCCACUUUUCUAAGAUAAGAGAAGAAUGAUUGGUCAUUUUCAUGGAAAGCUUUUUAUUUUAAGUCUUUUCACUUAUACUAUCACUCCUUAUUCAUGCUUAUAGAAUUUAAUACAUUAAUGACAUUUCAUUUUCAUUUUAAAAAAUAUGUAUAGGAAAAAAAAACAUACUUAACAAGCUUGAAAGAACAGUUAAGGUAGAUUGUCUUAGUGGAACGAAAUUCAUGUGAAUAAAAAAUGGAGUUGUCAGUAUUAUGCCUCCUAGUGUUAAGGUUGUGGGAAAGUGGUGCAAUUCUCAACCAACUAGUGUUAAGGUUGAAUGUGUGAAAGUAGAGAAAGAUUUGGUGUUUAUGAAAGGUUAAAGGUAUGUGCAUUUUCUUUUGGGGAACGGGCCAAGCCCAAUAGGGAUAGCACACCCCAAGAGUCGUCUCGUCUACAACACCCUAUUUGAAUUUUCUAGUAUGAUGACAACAUGGUUAAGUGAAAAAAGAUAGCACUAUAACAUCUAAAAUCAUUCACAAUCAUUGAGAUAUAUUUAAUUUAUAUUAAUUCAUCCUUUCUACUUUUUUUAAUUUAUAUAUGUGAAACUUUCAAUCUAGUAAUCAAAUAUACAAGGAUUCUUUGAUCCUCUCACUUGCAGUCUCUUUAAAAUGGACUAUGAGGCAACUAUAUGUCAAUAAUGCCUUUUUACAUGGGUUUCUCAAGGAGUAGGUGUUCAUGGAGUAGCUAGCCCAUAGCUUUGUAAAUGAAGACUUUCCCAAUCAUGUAUGUUGUCUUAAUCAGUCUCUCCAUGGUUUGAAACAAACUCCAAGAGCCUAGUUCAAUAGACUUUCUUAGUUUCCUUCUCCAUAUAGGUUUUCAUUGUGGUAAAGUAGUCCUAUCCUUAUUCAUCUAAACAUAUAGGUCACUCCAUUAUUCUAAUAUUGAUUUACGUGGAUGAUGUUAUAGUCAUCGAAAAUGAUACAACCACCAUUGAUAAUCUCAACUUGGGCAAGUUCAUUACUUUCUUAGGUUGGAAGUUCAAAACUUUUAUGGCGGUAUUUUUGUUUCCUAAACAAAGUAUCUUAGAGACUUACUCAGUGGGAUGAAAUGCUUGAGUACUCUCACUUAAACAUGCUCAUGGCUAUCAAAUCUAUGACUAACCCAGCUAAUGAUCAUCCAGUUGAUCAAACCCUUUUAUAGGCAACUUACUUUGGUUCCUUGCAAUAUCUCAUGUUUACAAGACAAGGUGUUGUCCAUGCAAUAAACAAAGCCUAUCAACAAUUUCAAUCUCCCAUAGAGGCUAACAUGCAAGUUGUGAAAGUAUCUUGAGCUAUUUAAAGGAAACCAUGGAUUAUGGACUUUGCUUUCUUAAAAAAAUUUCCUUUUAUUUAAUAGGCUAUUGCAAUGCUGAUUAGGCUAGAUGCACCAUUUACAUGUCCCAUGAAUGAAAACUCCAUGAUCCAGUUUUUUAAACAAUGACAUUUCCACUCUGCCAUUUACAUCUAACAAUUGUCGCCAACUAUAAAUAUUUAGCAACCACUGGUGACAUCAAUAUUGGUAAUCUGGUUCUUUUCUAGGCUAGGACUUAAUGACUUUUAACACAAAAAAUUUCUCAAAUAAGAAAAUUGUUAAUGAAAUUGUAAGGUGGUUUAUUUAUACUUUACAAUCAUUAAUUUGCCCCUUGAUUCUUCUAAUAAAUACACAAACACCAUUUUAAACAAUUUAAUUUUAAUUUUGGAUCAAAAGGAUGGGGUUUCAUAAAUAGACACUAGAUAAUAAAUUGUUUCAAUGGAAAAAAAUCUUUGAAUCAUCAAAUAUUUCUCCAAGAAAUCUUUGAUAUUCUUUAACUCUUUAAGAGAUCUUCAAAUAUUCAUCUUUUGAAGAAAUCUUGAAUCUUGAAGGAAUUUCUUCAACAACUAUAAAAAUUUUCAUCGGUCUUCAAUGUAUGCUUUCAAAUGAGAGGAGCCCUCUACUUAUUGGGUUAGAAAUUUUAUUUUGAUAUUAUCUCUUGCUUUCCUAGACAUAAUCAUAUUUUUUUUAUUGUGGUAAUUAUUAUUUAUUUUAAUUAUUUAUAAUUAAUUAAUUAAGAUAAUUAUAAUAUUCUUUUGCCCCAUCACAAUUAACUGAUUUCUUUUUUUGUUUUAAUUUAUCAAAUUAUUUUUUUUGCAAGACCCAUCUAGCAAGUGUCAAUAUGUUAUUAGUUAAUUAUUGACAUGUGACUUUUAAUGAGUGGACAAAAUUUUUCUUUGUACAUAUUUCUUUCAACAUUGAUCAUUGCUAGUUAGUGGUGACAAUCUACUCAAACUCGUAAGUUGUUCUUUAUACACCUAAUGAUUUCUUGAAAUAUCACAAGUUUCUUUUAAUGUCUAGGUUUAUUUUUCAAUAAUGGUCAAUGCUAAGGCUAAGGUUGGGUUAGUUAGGUUAAGAAUAAGUUUAUGCUUCAUAUGUUUAUUUUUGUUGUGAUUUUAGAUAAAGGGGGUCCUUAUGUUCUUUCAUGAGUUUGAUGUAAAUUUUUAUGUUUGUUCCAUUUCACCUUAGUUUUAAAUAACAUCUACCUUGUUAUAUUCUUUUUUUUUUUUUGGCUUCUCUUUCGUAUGGGCUCCAUCUUCUUUACUAUUGUUUUCAUGAUUUCAACUUCAUUCUUUGUUUCCAUUCCACUUAUGGUGGCAUCUUAUUGUCUAAGGUUUGUGUAAGAAUUUCUAAAUUUCAUCAUUUGCAUCAUUUUUCAUCCCACUUCUCUAAAAUAAGACUAGAAUGAUUGGUUACUUUCAUGACAAGUUUUUAUUUUAACUCUUUCUACUUAUACUAUCUCUCCUUAUUCAUGCAUCUAGAAUUUAAUACAUUAAUAAUGCUUCAUUUUCAUUUUUAAAAAUAUGUAUAGGAAAAAAAAAAAGAGAAAAUAAGAAAACAUAUAUACUUAGCAAGCUUGAAGGAACAAUCAAGGUAGAUUGCCUUAGCGGAAUGAAACUCACGUGAGAAGAAAAUGGAGUUGUCAGUAUUAUGCUCAGGAAGGUAGUGCAAUUCUCAACCAACUAGUGAUAGGGUUGAAUAUGUUAAAGUAGAGCAAGAUGUGAUGUUUACAAAAGGUUAAAGGUAUGUGGGUUUUGUAUUAAGAUAGAUACUAUAAUAUUUAAAAUCCUUCACAAUCGUUAAGAUAUAUUUAACUUAUAUUAAUCCAAUCUUCCUACUUUGGUUAAUUUUAUGGUAAAAACCUAUAAAAACAAAUACAUUUAGACUAUUGGGAACAUAAAUAAUUAUUUUGAGUUAAAUUGUAUAAUAAUUAAGUUGCAAAAAUUUUCAAUUGUGGCUACAGACACAACUUUUUGGUCAGCCAUAUGUUGUUAUUUUCAAUAAUUAUAAAUUUUAGGUAAUUGGACAUAGAUUGGCCAUUGUUCAACUCUCAUUGAAACCAUGAAAUUACACCUCAACAUUCAAUACUAAAAAUGAGCAAAUUCUUAGCCUCGAAUUCAAGAAACUCCCAGCCAUGGGUUGGGCCUUAAAACAACCAUAGAUUAGACUCUUUCCUAGGUUGUUUUGCUUGCCAUGGUGGUGUGCACUGAAGGCCCCUCCUAUAGGAUCUUAGGAGCACAUUAUCUCAAUUUCUUUUCCAUAUCUUUUAUCACUCAUUAGGCUAGUAUAUUAAGUUGGAAUGUGAGAUUGUUUAGUAUUAAAAUACUAUAUUUUGCUGUAAAAAAAGUGCAGCUAUUAAUAGCUUCAAUAAAUAUAAAACAUCUUAUUUUUACUUUGAAGUAAAAAAAUUCAAAUUAUUACAAUUUCAUUAAACAUGAAAAAUCUUGCACACUAAACUAAAAUAAGGUUUUUUUUUCUAAAAAAAAUUUAUAAUUCCUUGUGUGAGAAAAAUCUUUCCAAAGUGAGAAACUCUAAUAUAUAUAUAUAGUGGACACAAUGUGAUGUUAAAUUGUAAAAGACUAAUCACACAUGGUACUUGAGAAUAGUAGUCCCAUUAUAUAUAAUUGUAGCUAAGGUGGCCCCCACUCUUCUUAGAAAACUAAUACACAUUGAUUCAUUGAGCCCUAACCUUCAAAUAUAUAAAACCAAACACAUAUUGGCUAGUUGAACCGUAGCCACCAAACAAUGAUCUAGGAAAGUCUCAAUUCUUGCAUAAGAAGAAGAAGAAGAUACCAAACAUGAGUCUAUCUUUGAAUAAUAGCUUGUGAGAUUGGAUCAAAGAUUUAGCAUAUGGUAAUCUUAUUCAUGUUUAGUUUGUAUUACUUUGGGAUUUCUUUAACUUUCGCUCAUUUGAAAGUAGAUUGAGUCAUAUCUUUAAAUUUUUAUGGUUUCUCUAUUUUCUUAUUCAAAAUCGAAGAAAUUUUUUGCUUAUACAUGGAGCUUCUUUGGAUUUAAUUUUUGGGAAAACAAAACCUUAGAUUCAAAAGUAUUUUUUUAAUGCCUAUGAAAUUAUUAUAAUCUUAAAUUGUCUUCAAUUUUCCCAAAUUUUCACAUAUACAUUUUGUGAACCCUAAAUUGAAAGAAUAGAAAUAGUAAAAUGGGAGUGUCAUUGUGUCAAACAAGAGGGCAUCCAUGUACUUCAUACUCUGAGAGCCAUAAAGUUUUAGUCCCUAUGAAUAAAAUCAAUUAUGCUUUUAAUUUUAUGUGAGGAAUGAAAUUUCUUGGAUUUUUUUCUAGUUUCUCUAAGUUACUACUAUAAAGAGAAAUAGGAGGAUGAAGUCUUCAUUAUUUUUAUUUUUUNNNNNNNNNNNNNNNNNNNNNNNNNNNNNNNNNNNNNNNNNNNNNNNNNNNNNNNNNNNNNNNNNNNNNNNNNNNNNNNNNNNNNNNNNNNNNNNNNNNNNNNNNNNNNNNNNNNNNNNNNNNNNNNNNNNNNNNNNNNNNNNNNNNNNNNNNNNNNNNNNNNNNNNNNNNNNNNNNNNNNNNNNNNNNNNNNNNNNNNNNNNNNNNNNNNNNNNNNNNNNNNNNNNNNNNNNNNNNNNNNNNNNNNNNNNNNNNNNNNNNNNNNNNNNNNNNNNNNNNNNNNNNNNNNNNNNNNNNNNNNNNNNNNNNNNNNNNNNNNNNNNNNNNNNNNNNNNNNNNNNNNNNNNNNNNNNNNNNNNNNNNNNNNNNNNNNNNNNNNNNNNNNNNNNNNNNNNNNNNNNNNNNNNNNNNNNNNNNNNNNNNNNNNNNNNNNNNNNNNNNNNNNNNNNNNNNNNNNNNNNNNNNNNNNNNNNNNNNNNNNNNNNNNNNNNNNNNNNNNNNNNNNNNNNNNNNNNNNNNNNNNNNNNNNNNNNNNNNNNNNNNNNNNNNNNNNNNNNNNNNNNNNNNNNNNNNNNNNNNNNNNNNNNNNNNNNAUUACACCAUGUGUACAUGAAGGUAGGACUAUAGACGGGACAAAAUAAACAAUGAUAAGGCUUAAGUUGGCCUCGGUAUUCGAGGACUACUAUAAAAAAAAAUGACUAUCUGGGUGACAUAUGAGUGUAAAAAAGAAUUACAUAUAUAUAGAUUUACAUUAUCAUAUAAAUAUCACCUCAAUUUGCCAUCUUAGAUUGUUCAUGGCACUUGCUCAUAGGAUAUCUUUGGCUCAUGGGAUAUCUUUUACCAGAAUUGAUAAUCAAUAGCAGUAUAGAAUCUUUACUCUACUACUGGUUCACAUGUGGUAUGAAGGAAGAUACUAUGAUCAAGUUUUUCAUACAAUGUCAUUUUUAUUCCACCUUUUACAUCUAACAAGUGUCAACAAUUAUAUAUUGACAUUUAACAAUCGUUAGUGACAUGAACAUUGGUAAUUUGGUUCUUUGGUAGGUUAAGCCUAAUGAUUUUUUACACAUAAAUUUUAUGAAAUAAGAAAAUUGUUGACAAAAUUGUAAGUUGAUUUAUUUAUACUUUACAAUCUUUAAUAUGCCCUUUGAUUAUUCUUAUAAAGACACAAACACCCUUCUAAACAAUUUAAUAUAUAAUUUUAGAUCAAAAGGUUAGAGUUUUGUAAAUAGACACUAGACAAUAAAUUUUCCAAUAAAAAAAAAACCUUCAAAUCAUUAAUUUCUUCAAUAAAUCUUCCUAUAUUCUUUAACUAUUCAAUAGAUCUUCAAAUAUUCAUCUUUUCUAGAAAUCUUGAAUCUUGAAGGAAUUUGUUCAACAAUUGCAAAUUUUUUUGUUGGUAUUCAAUGUGUGCUUUGAAAUGAGAGGAACCUUUUUACUUAUUGGGUUGAAAACUUUAUUUUGAUAUUAUCUCUUGCUUUCCAAGAGAAAAUCAUUUUAUUUAUUGUGAUAAUUAUCAUUUAUUUUAAUUAUCAUUGUUAAUUGAUUAAGAUAAUUAUAAUUUUUUUGCUUUAUCAAAAUUAAUUGAUUUCUUAUUAUUUUUAAUUUACAAAAUUAUUUUUUUACAAAGGCCUAACUGACAAGUGUUAACAUAUUGUUAGUGAAUUAUUGACAUGCGACUUUUAAUGAGUGGAAAAAAUUUGUAUUUGUACAUACUUUUUUUAACAUUGAUCAUUAUUGGUUAGUGGCCACCAUCUACUCAAACCAAUAGGGAGUUCUUUAUACACCUAAUAAUUUCUUGAAACAUCACAAAUUUAUUUCAAUGUUUAGGUUUAUUUUUUCAACGAUGGCUAAUGCUAAGGUUGGAUUAGUUAGGUUAAGAACAAGGUUAUGUUUCAUAUGUUUAUUUUUAUAGUGAUUUUAGACAGAGAAUUCUUUUGUUUUGUUUUUUUUUUUGUGAGUUUGAUGUAAAUUUUUAUGCUAGUUCCAUUUCACCAAAGUUUUAAAUAUCAACUACCUUGUCAUAUAUAUAUAUAUAUAUAUAUAUAUUUGUCUUCUCUUUCAUAUGGGCUCCAUCUUCUUUAUUGUUGUUUGCAUGAUUUUCAUUUCAUUCUUUGUUUCCAUUCCACUUGGUGCUAUCAUCUUAUUGUCUAAGGUUUGUGUAAGAGUUUUUAAAUUUUCAAAGUAGAGUAUGGUACUCAUCCUUUACAUCAUUUUUAUCCAACUUCUCUAAGAUAAGAGGAGAAUGAUUGGUCAUUUUCAUGGAAAGGUUUUAUUUUAAGUCUUUUCACUUAUAUGAUCUCUCCUUAUUCAUGCUUAUAGAAUUUAAUACAUUAAUGACAUUUCAUUUUCAUUUUAAAAAAAUAUGUAUAGGAAAAAAAGAAAAAAAGAAAACAUACUUAGCAAGCUUGAAAGAACAGUUAAGGUAGAUUGUCUUAGCGGAACGAAACUCACGUGAGUAAAAAAUGGAGUUGUCAGUAUUAUGCCUCUUAAGAAGGUGGUGCAAUUCUCAACCAACUAGUGUUAAGAUUGACUAUGUGAAAGUAGAGUAAGAUUUGGUGUGUAAGAAAGGUUAAAGGGACAUGGAUUUUCUUAUGGGGAACGGGCCCUGCAAAUAGGAACAACACACGCUAAGAUUCGUCUCGUUUACAACACCCUAUCCGAAUUUUCUAGUAUGAGGACAACAUAGUUAAGUGAACUAAGAUAGUACUAUAAUAUCUAAAUCAUUCACCAUCAUUGAGAUAUAUUUAAUUUAUAUUAAUUUAGCCUUCUGAUGAGUUAAAUUGAAUAAUAAUUAAGUUGCCAAAAUUCUCCAUUGUACAUACAAAAACAACUAUUUAGUGAUCCAUAUGUUGUUAUUUUCAUAGUAUGUGUAAUUGGAAAUAGGUUGCCAUUGUUUAGCUCUCAUUGCAACCAUAGAAUCAUAUGUCAACAUUCAAUACUACAAAUGAGAAUAUUAUCAGCCUUGAAUUCAAACAACACUGGAUUGGGACUUGAACCAACCAUAGAGCAAACUUCUUUUUGUGUUGUUUUGUUGCCCAUGGUGGUGUGCACUGAAGGCCCCUCCCAUAGGUGCUUAGAAGCACAUUAUGUCAAUUUUUUUUCCAUAUCUUUUAUCACACAUUAGGCUAGUUUCUUAAAUUGGAGUGUGAGGCUGUUUGGUAUUAAAAUACUUUAUUUUAAUGUUUUUUUUUAUAAAAAAAGUAGAGCUAUUGAUAGCUUCAAUAAACAUAAAAACAUCUUAUUUUUAUUUUGAUCUUAAAAAAAAAAUUGAAUUAUUUAAAUUUUAUUAAACAUGAAACAUCUUACACACAAAACUAAAAUAAGUUUUUUUUUUUAAAUAGGAUUCCUUGUGUGUGAAAAUUCUUUUCAGAGAGAGAAACCUCUAAAAAAAUUAUUAAAAUUCAAGUAAAAUGUCUUAAUGAGCUGACACAAUCCACUUAAAUUGUAAAAGACUAAUCACACAUACUACUUGAGAAUAGUAGUCCUAUUAUAUAUAAUGGUAAUUGGGCGGGCGGCCCCCACUCUUUUUAAACCUAAUACACAUUGAUUCAUUGAACCUUAGCCUUCAAAUAUAAAACCAAACACAUUGGUUACUGGACCCCUAGUCGUCAAAUAAUGAUCUAUGAAAUUCUCAAUUAUCUCAUAAGAAAAAGAAGAUAUUAAACAUGAGUCUAUCUCCGAUUAAUAGCUUGCGGGCUUGGAUCAAAGAUUUAGCAUAUGGUAAUCUUAUUCUUAUUUGAUUUGUAUUACUUUAGGAAUUAUUUAACUUUCACUCAUUUGAAAGUAGAUCAAGUCAUAUCCUUCAAUUUAUAUGGUUCCUCUAUUUUCUUCUUGAGAGUUGAACAAAUUUUGUGCUUAUACAAAGAGCUUUUCUGGAUUUAAUUUUUGGGAAAACAAAACCAUAGAUUGGGAAAUAUUUUUUUUAGUGCCUAAUAAAUUAUUACAAUCUUAAAUUCUCUUCUAUUUUCCAAACUUUAACCAAUACAUUUUGUGAACUCGAAAUUAAAAGAAUAACAUUAGUAUAAUGGGAGUGUUCAUUGUGUCAAACAAGAAGGCCUUCAUGUACUUCAUAUUUGAGAGCCAUAAAGUUCUAAUCACCAUAUUGAAUAAAAUCAAAGAUGCCUUGAAUUUUAUAUGAGCAAUGAAACUUCCUCAAUUUUUUCUAGUUUCUCUAUGCUAUUAGUAUAAAGAGAAAUAAGAGGAUAGAAUCUUCAUUAUUUUCUUAAUUUUUCUUUAGUUUUUCAUAAUUUAAUAUUAUUUGAUGUCGUUAUAAAUCAAUGACCAUCCUUUAUCAUUUUCUUACAUUUUCUUUAGGCUUUCAUAGUUUAAUACUAGUUAGUAUGCCCUUUGAUACAAAACAUUGUGGGAUCAAUGUAAGUCAAAUGUGAGUUUUUGAAUUGAUCCUAAACAUACAUAUAUUAUCCUUACUCUUUAUAUUUCAUGAUUAAUUGAAAAAUGCGAUAUUAAUCGUAAACUUACAUAUACUUCUCCUACAAUUAAUAUUUGGUUAUGGAUUUUGAAAUUUGUUAUUAUUCCAACUCUAAAAUAAAUCAUCAAAUAAAUGUACCUCAAUAUUUUCUCUGGGCUAGAUAAUGAUCAUUAUGUCAUUUUACGAUUAUCAUUGGUAGUUGUUUAUUUUGUUUUUCUGCGUUUUGAUACUUUGUGCAGACACUAGUACCAGGUUUGAGUCUUAGAAAAUUGUGGCCCUGCCAAUCUAAAACUAAGAGAUGGAAAUUUCCCUUGGAGAUAUUUUUCUUAGGGUAAUUUCCAUCUUUAAGAAGAUUAUAGGUUCUCACACCAAGUUCAAGCAUGGUUAGUGUCUACAAAAGAUUAGAUGAAAAUUUGGGGCAACUUUACACAAUUUGGAUAAUAUGGAUUAAUUCAAUAAUAGUUUGAAAUGAAACAAUAAAACCACAAUGUCUACUAUUGGGUGUUUGAGCAUGGACAAAAUUGCUUCUAUGUUUAGACCAUGUGUACAUGAAGGUAGGGCAUUAGAUGGGAUAAUAUAAACAACCAUAAAGCUCAUGUUGGCAUAGGUGUUCGAGGAUUACUGUCAAAACAAUGACUCUAUUCUUGUAUUAAACAUGAAUAUAUAGUUAUGCUUGUAACAUUGUGUCGACAAUAUUAGCACCUAGAAAGUGCUUAUAUAUAUAUAUAUAUAUAUAUAUAUAUAUAUAUAUAUAAUUAUUAUAUUUUAAAAAAUUACAUUAUUUUAUAUGUAUCCCUUGAAUUUUCCAUCUUACAUUAUUCAUGGCACCUCCUCAUAGGAUAGUUUUUGUACUUUGAUGCUUCGUAUUCCUUUGUAAACUACUAGAAGGAAUAUGAAUGACAUGUCUAUAUUAUAAUUAUAUUUCACCAGUAUUGAUGAUUAAUAGCUAUAUAGAACAUUUACUCUACUAUUGGUUCACAUGUGGCAUGAAGGAAAAUCCUAUAAUCUAAUUUUUUAGAUAAUGUCAUUUCCAUUCCACCAUUUACUACUAACAACUAUCAACAACUAUAGACAUUUAAACAAUUUAAUUUUGGAUCAAAAGGUCGGGGUUUCAUAAAUAGACACUGGAUAAUAUAUUCUUUCAAUGAAAAAAAUGAUCAAUUUCUUCAAGAAAUCUUUAGAUGUUAUGCAACUCUUUAAGAGAUCUUCAAAUAUUCAUUGUUUGAAGAAAUCUUGAAUCUUGAUGGAAUCUCUUCAACAACUAUAAAAUUUUUGGCCGAACCCUCUAUGGUUGGAAAUUUUAUUUUAAUAUUAUCUAUUUAUUUCCUAGAUUUAAUCAUUUUCUUUAUUGUGAUAAUUAUAAUUUAUUUUAAUUAUCAUAAUGAAUUAAUUAAGAUAAUUAUAAUAUUCUUUUGCUUUUUCAUAAUUAAUCGAUUUUUUUAUUAUUUUUAAUUUAUUAAUUUUUUUUAGCAAGAUCCAUCUGACAAGUGUCAACUGUUAUGACAUUGAGUCUUUUUUAUAUGUUAGCAAUUUUGUUCCAAUUUAUGUUUGACCAUAGAAGUCUUUUUAGAUAAUGACUUUCUCUCCAUUGAAGAUCAAGGGUUACUUUUCAUCCGAUUAAGAAAUCACACGUACGUCUAAAAAGGUUUGGUUUGUGGCAUAUAAGACUUCUUUGAUCUAUAAAAAGUUUGGUGUCAAUUUUGGACUCAAACUUUUUUUAAAAUGCUUUUUAAAAAAGAAGGGGAAGCUCAUGUGGUUAAUCCCGAUUAAGCAGUCAACUUGCUCAAGUGGCAUGAAACACUUAAGCGGAGUGCUCAAGUGGUCUAAGCCUCCUCAAGCGGUCAUGUCUGUUGAGUUUAGAAACAUAUUUUGAAUGAAUUUCACUCAAACUUUAAUUUAGAAACUUAAGAUACUUGGACUCUUUGACUUGUGCUUAUAUAUACUUGUCUAAUAACCCUUUGAGGGUUAAAGAUUCGGGCUAAGAGAUUAGAAUUGAAAAUAUCUGAGUUUAGAGACCUCUUAUUCUUUAGAGGGACUCUUUGAGAGAAAGCCUUAUUGCCACACCAUUUUCGAUAUCUUUUUCAAGGAUUUGGAUUUUUGAAUUGUUGGUUGAAGACCUAAAUCCCUUUGAAGGUACUAGAUGAUCUAUUAGGGAGCAAUAGAGUGUUGUUGUGUCACAUAAGUAGAUCAAGUUAUAGGUACUAAAGAGAAAGUCUUUAGGGUUAAACGACUAGUUAAAUCUGUGUAACUUGAUUUCGAAUAGUGGAUUUAGAUUGAUAGGUCUUAGACCUUGUGGUUUUUUUUCUCCAUAAGUUUGUGGGGGUUUUCCACAUAAAAAAUCUUAUGCCUCAUUGUCUAUUUCUUUAUAUUUGUUAUUAUGUUUGAAGUGCCUCGAUUAGGUUAAUUUGAUUAAUCUUAAUAUAUUGCAGGGCUUUCCUAAAAAAUGCAUAUCUAUUUAUUCCUGCUUUUUUUCUAGUUGAUAACUUUGAAUAUCUUAGUUUUAUUGGUUAAUUAGUUAUUGAGUUAGAUGAUUUGUUAUCUUGGUGGUUGUGGUGGUUAUACCCAUAACCAAUUAUUGAUUAAUUUAUUGAGAUUAUUGUAGAGUUUGCUAGGUUGGUUAUUCUAGUAGUUAUUAUUAUUAUUAUCCCCAACAUAUCUGAACAUAUAUCGUUAAUCUUUGGAUAUCAAUUAACCAUAAAAAUUAGUUUUUUAUUUGGAGUGAAAUCUUAAGAUAAAGUUUAGACAUAUUUUAUAAAUAAUUUAUUAAUUUUUUUAAAAAUCACCCAUCUACCCCCAUCUGGGUGUUCCCCUAUCAGACUUUUGAUAAUUAUUCAAGUCGUAUUUGAGCAAUACCCAUUUUUCAUCAACAUAGUAUUUGUUAAUUAUUGACAUUUGACUUUUAAUGAGUAGACAAAAUUUCUCUUUAUACAUAUUUCUUUCAACAUUGAUUAUUGUUAGUUAGCGACAACCAUCUACUCAAACUGGCAAGGAGUUCUUCAUACACUUAAUGAUUUCUUGAAACAUCACAAAUUUCCUUCAAUGUUUAGGUUUAUUUUUCAACAAUGGCCAAUGCUAAGGCUAAAUGCUAUGUUUCAUAUGUUUAGUUGUUGUGUUUUUAGAUAAAAAGGUCCUUAUGUUUUUCUGUGAGUUUGAUGUAAAUUUUCGUGCUUGUUCAAUUUCACCAUAGUUCUAAAUAUCAACUACCUUAUUAGAUUUUUUUUUGCUUCUCUUUUAUAUGGGCCCCAUUUUUUUUAUUGUUGUUUCCAUGAUUUUAAUUUCAUUCUUUGUUUCCAUUCAACUUGGUUUCGACAUUGUAUUAUCUAAGGUUUCUACAAGAAUUUUUAAAUUUCCUUAGUACAGUAUGACAUUCAUCCUUUGCAUCAUUUUUAUCACACUUCUGUAAAAUAAGAGGAGAAUGAUCAGUCAUUUUCAAGGAAAGGUUUUAUUUUAAGUCUUUGUACUUAUGUUAUCUCUCCUUAUUCAUGUAUCUACAAUUUAAUACAUUAAUGACACUACAUUUUCAUUUUACAAAAUGUGUAUAGGAAAAAAAAAGAAAAAGAAAAGAAGAAAACAUACUUAGCAAGCUUGAAGGAACACUCAAGGUAGAUUGCCUAAAUGGAAUGAAACUCGCAUAAGAAAAUGGAGUUCUCACUAUUAUGCCUACUAGGAAGGUGGUGCAAUGCUCAACUAAUUAGUGUUAAGGUUGAAUACGUGAAAGUGGAGUCAGAUGUGAUGUUUACUAAAGGUUAAAGAUAAGUGGGUUUUGUAUUAAGAUAGAUAUCAUAACAUCUAAAAUCAUUCUCAAUCAUUGAGAUACACUAACUUAAUUUAUAUUUAUUCAACCUUCCUACUUUGGUUAAUUUUAUGGUAAAAAUCUAUAAAGACAAAUACAUUUAGAAUAUUGGGAACAUAAAUAAAUCUGAUGAGUUAAAUUGAAUAAUAAUUAAGUUACCAAAAUUCUCCAUUGUACAUACAAACACAACUAUUUAGUGAAUCAUAUGUUGUUAUUUUCAUAGUCUAUGUAAUUGGACAUAGGUUUGCCAUUGUUUAGCUCUCAUUGCAACCUUGAAAGCAUGCCUCAACAUUCAAUACAAGAAAUGAGCAUACUCUCAACCUCGAAUUCAAGCAACACCUAACCAUGGAUUGGGCCUUAAACCAACCAUAGAGUGAACUCCUUCUUGUGUUGUUUUGCUACCCAUGGUGGUGUGCAUCGAAGGCCCUUCCCAUAGGUGCUUAGAGGUGCAUUAUCUCAAUUUCUUUUUCAUAUCUUUGAUCAUACAUUAGGCUAGUUUCUUAAGUUGGAGUGUGAGACUAUGGUACUGAAAAUAUUUUAUUUUAAUGUUAAAAAAAAAAAAAAGUAGAGCUAUUGGUAGCUUCAAUAAACAUAACACAUCUUAUUUUUAUUUUGAUGUAAAAAAAAAAAAAAAAGUGAAUUAUUGCAAUUUUAUUAAAGAUGAAUCAUCUUACACACAAAACUAAAAUAAUAGACACAAUCUGGCAUUCAAUUGUAAAAGACUAGUCACACAUACUAUUUAAGAAUAGUAGUCCCCUUAUAUAUAAUGGUAGCUAGGGUGGAUCCCACUCUUUUAAAAAACCUAAUACACAUGGAUUCAUUGAACCCUAUCCUUCAAAUAUAUAAAACCUAACACAUUGAUUAUUUGAACCCUAGCCAUCAAAUAAUGAUCUAUGAAAUUCUCAAUUCUCUCAUAAGAAGAAGAAAAAUACUAAACAUGAGUCUAUCUUCGAUUAAGAGCUUGCGAGGUUGGAUCAAAGAUUUAGCAAAUGGUGAUCUUAUUCUAAUUUGAUUUGUAUUACUUUGGGAUCAAUUUAACUUUCACUCAUUUGAAAGUAGAUUAAGUCAUAUCUUUCAAGUUUUAUGGUUCCUCUAUUUUCUUGUUGAGAGUUGAAGAAAUUUUGUGCUUAUACAAGGAGCUUUUUUUGGAUUUAUUUUUUGGGAAAGCAAAACCAUAGAUUGGGAGGUAUUUUUUUUAAUGCCUAAGAAAUUAUUACAAUCUUAUAUUCUCUCCUGAUUUCCAAACUUUAACCAAUAUAUUUUGUGAGCCCGAAAUUGAAAGAAUAGCAACCAUAAAAUGGGAGUGUCAUUGUGUCAAACAAGAGGGCAUACAUGUACUUCAUAUUUGAGAACCAUAAAGUUCUAAUCACCAUGUUGAAUAAAAUCAAAGAUGCUUUGAAUUUUAUGUGAGCAAUGAACUUCGUCAAUUUUUUCUUGUUUCUCUAUGUUAUUUGUAUAAAGAGAAAUAGGAGGAUAAAGUCUUCAUUAUUUUCUUACUUUUUCUUUAGUUUUUAAUAGUUUAAUAUUAUUUGCUGUCAUUCUAAAUCGAUGAUAUCAGUUAUCAUUUUCUUACAUUUUCUUUAGGCUUUCAUGGUUUAACACUAGUUAGUAUGCCUUUUGAUCCAAAACAUUUAUGGGAUCGAUGUAAGUCAAAUGUGAAUUUUUGAAUUGAUCCUAAACUUACAGAUGCUUUCCCUACUUUUUAUGUUUCAUGAUCAAUUGAAAAUUUUGAUUUUAUUAAUCUUAAACUUACAUAUACUUCUCCUAAAAUUAAUAUUUGACUAUGGAUUUUGAAAUUUGUUAUUAUUCCAACUCUUAAAUAAAUCAUUAAAUAAAUGUACCUCAAUAUUUUAUCCAGGCUAGAUACUUAUCACUAUGUCAUUUUACUAUUGUCAUUUUAAAUGUUAUUAGUUGUUUAUUUUGUUUUUCUUAUGUUUUGAUACUUUGUGCAAAUACUAGUACCAUGUUUGAGUUUUAGAAAGUUGUGGUUUCUUGCAGAUUGCUAUCUCAGGGUAAUUUCCAUCUUUGAGAAGAUUGCAGGUUCUUGCACCGAGUUGAAGCAUGGUUAGGCUCUACAGAAGAUUAGAGGAAGAUUUGGGACAACUUUAUGCAAUUUUGAUAACAUGGAUUAAUUCAAUAAUAGAAAUAGCGAUACAGCUCAAGUUGGCGUAGGUGUUCGAGGAUUACUAUAAGGAAAAUGACUCUAUUCUUGUGUUAAACAUAAAUACAUGGUUAUAAGGAAAAUGACUCAACUAUCAUGUUAUAUUGUUUUUUUUUUUUUUUCUAUUUUUAAUUUUUUAAUUUUUUAAUUUUUUAAUAUUUUAAUUUUUUAAUUUUUUAAUUUUAAUUUUUUGCUUCUCACUCAUACGAGUUUCAUCUUCUUUGUAGUUUUUUUCCAUGAUUUUAAUUUCAUUCUUUGUUUCCAUUUCGUUUGGUGUUGGCAUCUUUUUGUCUAUGGUUGGUGUAAGAUUUGUAAAUUAAUUUCCAAAGUUGAAGACAAUACUCAUCGUUUGCUUCAUUUUGCAUUCCAAUUCUUAAUGAUAAGAGGAGAAAGAAUGGUCAUUUUCAUAGAAAGGUUUUAUUUCAAGUGUUUGCAAUUAUACUCUCUCUCCAUUCAUGCUUCUAAAGUUUAAUACAUUUGAGACAUUUUAUUUUCAUUUUAAAAGUUAGGUAUAGGAAAAAAAGAGAAAAAUAAGAAAACACACUUCGCAAGAUUGAAGGAACAAUCAAGGUAAAUUGCCUUAGUAGAAAGAAACUCAUGUGAGAAGAAAAUGGUGUUGCCAGUAUUAUGGUUGAAUAUGUGAAAGUAUAGCAAGAUACGAUAUUUAAGAAAGGUUAAAGUUAAGUUGGUUUUGUAUUAAGGUAGAUACUACAAUAUCUAAAAAAUCAUUCAUAAUCAUUGAGAUAUAUUUCAUUUGUAUUAAUUCAGCCUUCCUACCUACUCUAGUUAAUUAUAUCAUAAAAACCUAUCAAAAUAAAUAUAUUUAGAUUGUAAGGAAGAUGAAUAAUUUUGAUGAGUUAAAUUGCAUAAUAAUUAAGUUGCCAAAAUUUUCCACUGUAUAGUGAACCAUAUGUUUUUAUUUUCAGUAGUUAUAUAGCCUAUAAAAUUGGAAAUAAGUUGGCCAUUGUUCAACUUUCAUUGCAACCUUGACAUUAUACCUCGACUUUUAAUACUAUAAAUGAGCAAAUUCUCAUCCUCAAAUUCAAAAAAAAAAAUCCUUUCAUGGAUUAGGCCUUAAGCCAGCCAUAAAGUAGACUAAUUCUUUGGUUGUUUUGCUGCUCAUGGUGGUGUGCACCCAAGGCCCCUCCCAUGGGUGCUUGAAAGCACACUAUCAUAACUUCUUUUCCAUAUCUUUGAUUGCAAAUUAAGCUAGUUUGUUAGGUUAGAUUGUGAGACUGUUUGGUAUUAAGCUACUUUAUUUUGAUGUGAAAAAUAAAAUAGUAGAGUUGCUAAUAACUUCAAUAAACAUAAAACAUCUUAUUUUGAUUGGGAUGUAAAAAAAAAUAAAAAUUGCAUUAUUACAAUUUCAUUAAAUAUGAAACAUGUUACACACUAACAUCAUCAAAGAUGAUUAUUUAAUUAUUCAAAUGCUAAAAAAUAAAAAUAAAAAUAAAAUUUAUAAAGAUAGUAAAUAUGCACUUCUAACAUCAUCAAAGAUGAUUAUUUAAUUAUUCAUUUAUUUAUUUUUUCAAUUAUUUAUUAGGAUUACUAAGGGAUUGAAAAGAAGAAAUGGGGAAAGAAGAACAAGAAGAUGAAUAUGCAUUAAUUUGAAUUGGGUUGGUUUAGUCUUUAACCAAACGGAUACCUCUAUAGUCUUAAAAAAUAAAAAAUCAUAAAUUAGGUAGAUAAUUAAAGAAAUUAAAUUAGGUGGAUACAAAUAUAAUUUUUUCUUUAUAAAAAAUCCCAACAUAUAUGCUGAAAUUAUAACUUGUAAUAUUGAAAUAAAAUCAAAUUAUUAUUUCAACCUUAUAAUUUUAAUUUUGGUUCACAUCUAAGCAUAAGAAUUGGAAUUAUCAAAUUCAUUCAUAUUUCCUUGAAUAGAAAUGAAAACAAAAUAUUCAUUAUCAUUCCUUACUUCGCAAAUCAAACAUGUCCCAAUUGUUUUUUAUUUUUCAAAAAAAUAAUUUUCUUCUGGAUUCUUUAACAAAGUUUUAUCAACUCUUUUUUUCUCACGUGGCACCAAUUUAAAACCCAUCUCAACGAGUCAAUUGGGAAUCUGAUGUUGUAACAUCUGCUCCCAACCGUGUAGAUAUUGUCCACUUUGUACCCAAAGUGACCCUCACGACUUUAAAACACAUCUAUAGGUUUAAGAGAAGUCCAUACUUAUAUAGUGCCAGGAACUUUCCCCCUUAUCUGAUGUGGGAUAUCACAAACACCUCCCCAUGCAGACACAACGUCCUCGUUGUGUCCCAUUGGAUUGUAGGGCCAAAUAGACGAACACCCCUACGGGGCCAAACAAACCCCUACAUCGAGGUCGGAGAUCUGCUUUGAUACCAUUUGUAACAACUCACUCCCAACCGUGUAGAUAUUGUCUGCUUUGGAUCCAAAGUGGCCCUCACGACUUUAAAACGCGUUUAUAGGGUUAAAAGAAGUCUAUACUUAUAUAGCGUCAAGAACUUUCCCCUCUAUCCGAUAUGGGAUAUCAUAAAUGUUCUAGUCCACAUUGACGCUAACAUGACAUGAAAAUUUGAAUGAAGAGGAACCCACAUUAUUGAUAUUUUUUAUUUAUUAAUUUUCUAAAUUAAUAUUAAUAUUAUAAAAAUACGAACAUUUAAAAAUUUUAACAACGAAUUAUAAUAUGUUUAAAACUCACAUACAUUUCAAUUUAUUUUAAAAUAAUAUUAAAUUAUAAAAUAUAAAUAAAAAAUAGUUUUUUGCAUGAAUAUUGUAAUGAUAAUUUUGUUAAGACAUGAAUGUAGAUAGUAUAUUAUAAAAACAAAAUCAUAUAAAACAAUGAUAAUAAUAUUUUAAAAUUUGAUAAUGCUUAAUAAUGUUUUAUUUAAAAUGAAUAAUAAAAAUAAAUAUAUUUCCUUUUCUAAAUAUAUAAAUAAAUUAAGUUUUUCAUUAUAUAAUACAAAAUUUUACCUAAUUACUAACAAGGUGUUUUGUACCACUUUGGUUCAAGAAAUUCUUGUAUCAAUCGAAUCAAUUUUUGAAUUUAAAAUUAUUUUUAAAAAUUACUAAAUCUGUUAACAAAUUUAAAGCAUUAAAUUUCAAUUGAUUUACUUAAUGAAAACUUUUGAAAAAAAAUAGUUGCAUACAUACGAGAUAUAAAAAUAGACAUUCCAAACUAGUUUUAAUUUAUGAUUUUUUUUAUAUUAAUUAAUUUGGUUUUUAAAUUGCAAAUUAUUUUUAAAAAUUACUAUAUUCGUUGCAUAUUGAAAUCUUGGUAGCAUUCCGAGUAACUCCUCAACCUAGAAUUCCAUCCAAAGAAGUAGGGAUCGCGAUAGCUAUUGAAUCUUCUACUGGUACAUGGAUAGGUGUGUGGAUUGAUGGACUUACCGGUCUUGAUCGUUACAAAGGACGAUGCUACCACAUAGAGGUAGUUACUAGAGGAGAAAAUCAAUAUAUUGCUUAGGUAGUUUAUCUUUUAGACCUUUUUGAAGAAAACUCUAUUACUAACAUGUUUACAAGUCUCACUUAAUUUAAAGUUUAUUUUUCUCAGAAAAAAAUUUCAAGAAAUAGGGAAAAUUCAUUGGAAGCUGGGUGCAAGUAAACAUGCUCACAUCAAGGUAAAUGCAUAUAUAAAAUGAAAGUUCAGACGUAUACAAUUGAAAAAUACAUUUAUACUAUUCUUUGUUUAUGCAUGUACUACAUGUUGUUCAGAUAUAUACUAUUCUUUGAGAAUGGGAGUGCCUCCAGUACCAUAGAUUCAUUGCAUGAAAUGUACGUAGGCUGAUAGGACAAAGCGAUGGAUGUUAAAGAGCAAAUAUUCAGUGAUUUUGCAAAUUACAGUAAAUCAGUAGUCACCUUUUGCCGAUUACACGUGUUUUUAAAAAUAAUUUUAAAAUGAUAGUUAUGAAUCUAUUCCUUAAAAUACAGCAUUAUUAUAUUUAUAUUAAAAUUAUAUUUUUAAAAGACAAUUUCAUUAUAAAUUUAUAAAUUCUAUUUAUAUUAAAUAUCUUUUGAAAAGAUAAUGGAGGUUCAUAUUAAGGAUAAAAGUAUCGAGAUAUCUCGUUGGAACCACUAAACCAAAUCUCUUAUUGUGUAAAAUUUUGACAUAAAAAUAAUAUAUACUAUGUAAAUUAAUUAAAAUAAAAUUAUUAUAAAUAAAACAAUUUUAAUUAUCGUACUAUGCCUUCCAUAUAAUAUUUUAAUUUAAAACAAGUAUAAAUUUACAAAUAAAAUUAUCACUAUUUUUAAAUAAAAAAAACUUAUUCCAACUAAAUAUAUUAUAAUUUUAAGUUUAACGUGUUUUUAAAUUUGGUACAUUAGUACAAAAUGUCACAAAAUAUAUUAUACAUACACACACAUAUAUAUUAGAGUUUUUCUGCAUAUUUUCAUGAGUUUUGAUUAAUUUUUUAUCCAUUAAUAUUUCCUGAUAUAUUCAUAAAAUCAAGUUAUCAAUAUGUCUCUCAAAACCGAUAUUUUUAUCCUUGUUCAUAUCUAAUUGAUCUAUAAAGAUAUUCCUUAGGAUCGGCUACAUAGAACCGCCUUGUGGUAUGUCCCUCAUUUAAUUGGAAUGAUCAUUACCUUUUACAACUAUUAAUAUCAAAAUGAUUUUAAAAUAUAAUUAUUUGAUUAAAGGAAAUGGAUAAAUCCUUAAUUUGUAAAUUUACUAAAUUUUUUUUUCUAGGGUAAAAGAUAUUCAUUUUUUACAAGAAUACCUUUACUUCUUUUUGUAGAAAUAAUCUUCAUGAAAUAUUGAAAACCUUAAAUUCAAAUAUGGGAGAUUAGAUACAAAUUUGAGAUCAUUUUAUUCCUUUUAAUUGAUUCAUUCUAUUAAAAUCCCAUUUUAAAAAGGUGAUAUGUAAUUUUUUUUAAAGAUGAUUUUAAAAGUAUUGUAUUUUUUAAAAUAUUGUUUUUGUAACAUUUUUUUAAUAAUAUUAUUAAAAUAAAAAAAUCCCUAAAUUUAAUUAUUUUAGAAAAUAAAAAUAAAUAAAUCUUUUGACACAUACAAUGAAAGAAUAAUUUAUAUAAAAUAUUAAAAAUCAUACUCAUUCUUGUUCGUCCAAAAUUUAUUGUUCGCUAUUUUGAAACAAAUAUUUAAAAUAACCUUUUUGUCAUGUAACUUAUCUUUUAUUUAUUUUUAAUUGUGAUUUGUUAGAAGUAAUAAUUUAAAUUUGCAACUUCAAUAAAUUUAAAAACCACAUUGGCUUUAGUACACAUUUAGAAUUUAAAAAGUUGGUUUUUGAAAACAUGGUUUCAAACCAAUUUAAAGAAAAUAAAAAUAAGUUACUUUGAAUAAUAGUUUCAUAAGAUCCUAUAACCUAUAUUUUUGUUUGGUUAGUGGGCCAUUUAGUUUCUUCAAUCCAAUAUAAUGAUAGUGGGCUAUAUAUGUAAUAAGGAAUGCACUAUGACACCUAGCAUAAAUGUAUCAAUUGAAGCAAUGGUGGAUGCAGCUUGUUAGGGAUAGCAAUGCAUAAUGUGUUAACUAAAUCAUGCACAUAUGAACAAAAGAUUUUUAACAUGUGUAGACCCUCAAUUUUGUCCCUUUAGCACAUGUCUUUAAAUUCACUUCCAGUGCUCCACGGCAGUUCCUUGGUGGCCCAUGACUACUCAUACCACUUACCUUUUUCUGAGUCACCUCGGAGAUUUUGGUUGAGGGAUUAUUUGAUCCUUUCUCGUGACCCUUGGCAACCCUAAUUUAGACUUAGGCUUUUGUUAUUCUUUUUAGGAUAACUUUUUUUUUUUAGACACACUUGACCCAUUAGGCACCACCCUAGGCCCACUUAGAUUCACCUAGGCUCAUUUAGGCACAUCUAGGUCCAUUUAGGCACCCUAGGCCCACCUAGAUUCACCUUGACUCGCACUGAGGCACCUUACAGUUUACACACACUCACUUUAGGUCCACGUAGGCAUCCUAGCCCACCUAUGUUACCUUUUAGGUAAUUCCUACGUGACUUGUAUAAUUUGCAUGAUCUGCAUUUUUAACGUUGGCAUGUACUUGAUGUCUUAUUUCUACUUAUUUUAUUUAUUCAUUUACUUAUUUAUUUAUAAUUAUUUGGCUAGUUAUUUGCUUUUAUUUAUUUAUUUUAUAGAAUAUUGCAUGAAAUUGAUGAUUAAUUUUGUAAACUAAUGUCUUAAUUAUUUUUUGUAUACCUAUGAUAGACAUAAUGUUUUUAAUUGCAUAAUUUUAGUUGGUUUUAAUUUUCAAUUUCAUGACUUUUACUGAUUUUAAUUCGUAUUUUAUUUUGGCAUGAGAUUUGAACGCACACAUUGGAGAGGAUCCAUAGGCACGGCUACAAUCUUCCAUGGGCUGCAGUUUUGGAGAUCACAUAGUUGCAUAUCUGGAAGACGGAACAGACUUCCGUGGCAAGAUGCACAGGAAGGAAAGGUGAUGUCCAGAGAAUGAGGAGAAGAAUGCAUAAUCACACUUCCAACAAUGUAUUACUGUCAUAUGGUGUAUUCCUCGAACCCAAAACCCUCUCUCAAUUCCAAACGCGUUCGAGAUUCACUGUUUCUGCAAGUCUCGGUGCAUUUCGUUUUAUUAAAGGUCAUCCUUCCGCACAAUUGCACCCUGAGAUUGACCGACAGUGGAGUGCACGUUUUGGAGCCCUUGGAAUCAGAAGAUAGAUGGGAUCCUUGCCACUUAAAGAUGGCGCACUUCGGAUUGGACCCCAAGCCCACUCUCACAUGGCUUGCAUGGCCACCCCUUUUGUACAUUAUUUUAAAGCCAGCAUGUCUCAGCCCUUAAUUCCUCUUGCAUGUUUUCCAAAAUGGAUUUUUAAAGAUCCAUUCUUUUUUUAAUUUUCUGGGGAAAUGUUGGACAGUUGCAGUGAGGAUUAUCUCCCAGAUUUUUACCAUGUUAGUGAAAGAUCCCACGCACAGCCCACAAUGGAAGAUUCCACGCACAGCCCGCAAUGAAAGAUCUCCAACAGCACACAUCCAAGGAAGGAAGCCUAUAUAGGAGAUAUGGAACCAUGAUCAGUCCACACCAACCAUGAUUCUUAAGGAAAUCAGCCACAAUUGAGGGGCCCACAAAACAUCCAGAUUUUGAUUCCCACAGGCCGCACCAUCCCGAGGGGAUCUCCUCCACGCACCACUCAAUUUUUUUGGAAGGCAUGGCUGCAUCUUAAGCAUGCAUCACGUGGAAAAUAGCAUGAAAAUAGGAAAGAAGAUGGCCACUUUGUGCACAGCACGCAUAUGAUGGGCUGUAAAGGGAGAUUCCUUUUGGUUUUUUUUUAGAAAGAAAAGUCCACUCAUCUAAUCACUUACCAAACAGGGUACAGGGCAGCAUCUUUGAAAAAGUCUCCAAUAUGAACCACACGUAAGCACUUUCCAUAUGUCUAAAUGCACUGAAAAAAAGAAACAAAAUAUUCCAUACAAUGUGCGGCUGCCAUACAAAAAAGGAACGAGCAGAGAGGAAGUGAUCGACACCGAGAGAUAUUAUUUUUUGAGGGAACGAAGAGAGGCCUGAAAGGAAGGAGGAGGCAGCCACCACACAUUCUCCAUUGAUCAUCAGCCCGCGCCACCAGUAACAGCAGGAUAACACCUUGGUUUGCGUAUUGAAGGUUCGGUUUAUGAUUAUUUUUUUUAUUUUAUUGAAAAUUGAUAAUUUCAUGUGUAUUUUAGUUUAUGACUUAUUUUUUUCAUUCUAUGAUUCCAAGUUUCGAUAUUCAUUUACUUGUGUGACGAUAUGAUAGAAUUGAGAAUUCUUGAUUGAUUAAUUUUGAUUCCAAGUUUUGAUUUUCAUUGAGAACUUUGACUAAAUAUAUUAAUUAUUAUAUUCGAUUCGAAGUUUCUUUUUUUCUUAGUUGAUUGAGUUAAAUUUAAGAAUUUGUUUAAUUGUAUGGAUUAUCAUUGUCUUGAUUCCAAGUUUUGAUUUUUCUAGGUUGUUAUGUUUUUAGAAUUAUAGUUUAUUAUUCCUAUUGAACCACUUGAUUAAAUCCAUGUUUUACUUUUUUAACUUUAGUUUUGAUUGAUCUUGUUUAGCUUAUGUGUUUUUAGAAUUUUAGUUUAUUAUUCCUAUUGAACCCGUGUGAUUAACUCCAUGUUUAAAAUUGUUAACUUUAGUCUUUGAUUGACCCUAUUUAGUUUAUGUGUUUUAGAUUUUUAGUUGAUGAGUCUAUUACUUUCUCAUGUCAUUAUAUCCACAUUUUGAGCUUGUUCGUUUUAAUCCUCGAUUGAUCCAAUUUUAUUUUGUGUGUUUUUUAGAGUUUUAGAUAUUUAAUUUAAAAGUUACUUUUCUCAUGUUGUAAGCUUGUUAAUUUUAAUUCUUGAUUGACCUAAUUUUAGUACGUGUGUUUUUUUAGAGUUUUAGUUAAUUAGUUUAAUCAAUGCUCAUGUUUUAAAAAGUUUGUUAAUUUUGGUUUUUGACUGAUCUUGUCCUAGUUUAUAGUUUUUCAAAAUUUUAGUUAAUUAGUUUUAUCCCAUGUUAUUAUACUCAUGAAUUAAAAAUAGUUAAAUUUAGCUUUUCUACUUAGCUGAUGUGUCCUUUUUUAAAUUUUUGGUUAUCAUUUUGCUUAAUCCCUUGUUACUUAGUUUUGUUUUUGUUUUGGAAGUUAUUAAUGUCUAGUUGUUGAUUGAUAUUACCCUAGUUUAUGUGCUUCUAGAAUUCUGAUGGUUAGUUUUUUUAUUAAUAUCUUGUUAAUUUGUUUGAUCUAGAACCCAUUAGUUAGUUGCUUUGAUGAAAUCCCUACAAAAAACCUAUUUUUCAAAAACCCUUUAUUGUUAGUUUGUUCGAUUAUUUGACUUAUAAUUUUUCUAAAAAUUUUCCAAGUGUUCCAUGGUAGUUUAGACUUCUUGAACUUGAAUUUAAGACUUUGUUUGAGUUAAAAAUCACUUUUAAAAUGGAAGAUAUGAAUGAGUCUUUUGGGUGGUUCUGUUUUCACCCAGUUUUGGACACUUAAAAUUUUUUUAUAAACAUAAAUUACUAGAUGACUCUUGAAAAGUAAAUUUUUGUUUGCUUAAUUUUGAUUCAUUACUUUGGUUUAAAAGGUGAGAAUUUUUUGUUUUAUUUUAAUUUUGAUUCAUUAUAUUACAUUGAAAAAUUAAAAUCUUUGUGUAGUUUGGACUUGAUUCCUUGCUUAGUUCGAAAAGUUAGAAUUUUGCUUAGAUCGGUUUUAAUAGAUUUAAUUUUAAAAGUCAGUUUUUUUUAGGAGUCAGCUUUUUAUUUAGUUCAAGUAUUUUAUAAUUUUUAGUCUAUUAUUCUAAUUGAUCCUAUGUAAUAAAGUUUAUGUUUUUAAGUUUAUUUUGAUCAUGUUUUGGUUCAUCUUAUUUAGUUUAGGUACUAAUCUUAUGUUAUUUUGCUCACGUUCUAAAAUUGAUGAUUCUAGUUUUUGAUUAGUUAAUAUGUUUUAGAAUUCUAUGUGCUUGUGUUACUAUAUUCACAUUAUUAUAAUUACAUGUUUAGGUGUUUGGUUGAUUUUAAAUUAGUUCUAGAGUGUUUAUCUCAAUUUAUGUGUUUGAUUGAUCCUUAUAAAUUCCCGAUUAAUAUUUCAUUAGUUUUAUUUGAUCUAAAGUCGUUUGGUUUGUUGCUUUGGUGAAUAUUUAUUAAAUUUGAUUUUUAGAGGCCAUUGGAAAAUCAUGAAGAUUGGCCUCUACCAUCACCAUUAUCAUUUUUGUUAAUUACUAAAAAAAAUUUUACUUUGAGGUUUCAUUUUUGUUUUGUUUGGUGUUUUAUUUUUUCCCAAAUUAAUCCCUUUUAUUUUAAAAUAAAAUACUUUUAUCAAAAAAUCAUUUUAAAAAAAAUCUAUUUCAAAAACUCAUUAGAUUCCUCAGGAUCAAAAUCUUUUUUUUUAUUUUUAAAAAAUAAUAUGCAACCAUAUUUUGUUCGGUUUGCAUCCUUCUCGGUUUCUAACAAAAGGUUUGGUUUUGAACAAAAACACGAAUCAAAGCUUAUGGUCCCAAAUAAUGGGAUAAUUCUGGGCUAAAUUUGUGUAUAUUAAUUUGGGGAAUUGGCGAAACCCCUACAUAAGAAAAUCUUUUCAAAAAUUAUUUUUGUUGCCAUUUUUGUCACUUUUUGAAAUUAUAUCUAUCUUUUUUUUUAGAAAUUGUAUACAAGAUGAGUGUGAUAAUUAUUGUUUUCAUAUAUUUUGACAAUUUCUGCUAUGAUAAUUAGAUAACGAGCAUGCUAGGACUUCUUAUUUUAUUGUUUGUUAUCUAACCUCUCAUGUUUUGUGGAAGCGCAUUAGGAGUUAAAUAUGCUAUCCAGGUACGUUCCCUAAUACCCACUUUCUAAACCCUAUGAAUAUGUAUGCCCAUGCUUGCUAUCCUCUUUAAUUGCCUUGAUAUACAUUUGAUGAUUGUUUGAUUAUCUUUGAUAAAACAAAUGUUGUGUGAUGUAUCUCCAAACUAAUCUCUUAUGUUUUAUGAUAGCGCUUGGGAAGCCGUCCAGGUACGCAUUUUUAACUCUCCUUAAUUGUGAUUUGAUUUUGUUUGAUAUGUUAUAUUUUUUUUGGAAUCACCUAGCCUACUUAGGUAUCCGAGAUCAACCAUUUAAUUGCCACGCUUCCCUUAACUUAGUCAGUAGAGACCUCUUUAGGGCUUAGAGGGGUGCUACCUCCUAGAGGUACCUUCCCAAUAAGUAACCUGAUCCCCGGACCAAGACUUGGGUUUUCAAAGACACGCUUUUCCAAAAAUUAUGGAGUCAUUUUUUUUAGGGUUUUAUUUCUUGUUUUAUUUUCCCUUCAAAAAUAAAAAUAAAAUAAGUGGCGACUCCAACUUUUUUUUAAAAAAAAUCAAUUUUUCACAAAUAAAUAAAAAGCGAGUCUCGCCGAUCGAGUGGGGACGCACGUGAAAAAUGCGGGUCCACAACAUGGUUCAGUGAUUAAUGUGAUCCCUAUGUUCAGGUGAAGUGCAUCAAUACUCAACAAUUAAUCCAUUAAUCAAAAGGAAUAAGAAGAGUUACAAUAGUAAAACUUUCAAAAAAACAUAUUUCAAUUGCAAUCUCACUCUCUAAAAAACAAAACCCUAAAACAUAAAAGGAUUACCAAAACGAGUCUUGAGCCCUAAUCCAUAAGGGAGCAUUUAUAGGGUUGUCCACUAGGCUUAACUAACUUGAGCCAAUCAAGGCUUGGGUCACUUAAUCUAGCACAAAACGAGUUCUAAUUGAUUAAUUAACCACAUAGGGCAUCUAAUUAAUCAAUUAGCUCAACCAAGGACUUUGUUCAUUAUCGCUUGUGUAGUCUUGCAUGAUAACCAAAACACCCUUAUGCAUAAGAAUGAACCUAAAGCCAAUUCAACCCUCAUAAACCAUAUCAUCAUGGUAUAAAAGUUCAAAACGGGGACCACUAGGACCCAUAGGAGUACUAGCUCCCUCAGAAUCCAAUUCUAAAGUUGAUUCAACAUUCUACUAAACAGAAUCAACUACACUCCAAUAUCUUAAAUAAAUAACAAUGUGAUAAAGGUUAGGUCAUUAACCUUAUCCACUGCAUGCAAACUCCUCAUGAACUGGUGUUUGUAAUCUAACAAGGUAGACUAUCACCUAUUAAGAUUACCUCUCAAAUACUUGAGUUACAAAUCUUACUUAUUAUGUGAUUAACAAACAUACUCCAAUUCCAAGGAGCAUAUGUCAAAUUCCACUAAAUGAAUUAUUGUAGUCAUAGAUUUUAUGAUCAUGUGUCCUUUGGAUUACCCAAGGAGACACACCAUCUCAUUACUUCUAUGAGAUAUCAUGGUGCCUCUAUCAAGAAUACUCAUUGCCAUCAACCAUCUUCAAUAGUAACCUAAUAUAUUAGGAUAUAUGACCACUUUAAGGUCUUACCCAUAGGUCAAGGCCUCCCAUUGAUGUUGGCAUAGACUCAAUAUCCUAUCAAGGUUGAGAGUUCAUGUAGUAUGGUAGCUUAGUGAAUCAUGACAAUUGAUUGCCUUACAUCAUGAUUCAUCGUGGGUCUUGUCUAGUGCGCAUCAUAUACACUAGUGGACUUACCAAGGAAAAACCAUCUUGAUGGCCAAGACAAGUCAUCCCUCCAAUUAGGAGGUGGUUUUCAAAUUUGAUUUGAUAAUCAAUUACCGAACCAGUUUUUUGAAGUUGAAUGAGCUUGUUAAACAUAUUUUCGAAUUGGUUAGUAUUAAAAUGAGAGAAAAUUCCUUGCUUGAGAUCUUCCUAAGUAACAUACAUAAGUUCUUCUAAUAUUUGGGACCAAAGUUGGGCUUCACCCUCUAAAUAAAAUGAGGCUAGAGUAACCUUAUAAAAUUCAAUGAUUUCCUGGAAUGAAAAGUACUUUUCUACCUUGCUUACCUAAGUUGUAGGAUCAUCUUGACUAUCAUAAUGGGGAAAAUCAAUCUUAAAGGUCUUAGGAACGUAGUUGUUAAGAGAACCCCAUAUGUCAAAAUUAACACCAUUUCGACCAUUGCCCUUACUUGUAGAAUGCUUUCUAUCAUCCUUACUUUUACCAAAAAUGUGUUGGAUGAAUUGCUCCAUUCUCUUAGUGAUAUGACCCAGUAUCUCCUAUUGACUAAAGGCAAGAGCUGCCAUGGUCUCUUCCAUCUUUUUCAAACGAUCUUGUAGAUCCAUUCCUGGCUCUUAUAAAAAAUUUACGUUGAGGAACUAAAGCAACAAAAAGAAAAAGAAAAAUCAUUAGCUUAUAUGAGGAACUAAUGCCCUUCCCAGGCAGCUCAAAGAUUUGAUAUAAUUGUUCAAUGCCUUUAUUUAGAAUCAUUCAAGUCUUUUACAAUGACUUGCUUCACAUUUACAUGCAUAAAAGUAGGAAACAAUAACUUAAAAUAAACAUGUUCUAACAUGAACAAACACAUCCUCACAUUUACAACUAAUUCAAAUAUUAAAUAGAGAAAAAUAAGGAAUAAAAUAACAACUAGUUCUAAGGCAGCGUAAUAGCUUCCAUGAUUUUAAUUUCAUUCUUUGUUUCCAUUCCUUCUGGUGUUGGCAUCUUAUUGUCUAAGGUUUGUGUAAGAAUUUUACAUUUCCAAAGUAGAGCACGGUGCUCAUUCUUUACAUCAUUCAUCAUUUCCAUCCUAGUUCUCUAAGAUAAGAGGAGAAUGAAACCAUUUUCGUGGAAAGGUUUUUUUUUUUUUUUUUUAAUUUUAAUUUUUAUGUCUUUGCAAUUGGACCAUCUCUACUUUGUCAUGCUUCUAGAAUUCUAUACAUUAACUAAUGACCCUUCAGUAUCAUGUUAAAAAAACGUGUAAAAAAAUAAAAAGAAAACAUAGUUAGCAAGCUUAAAGGAAGAGUAAAGAUAGAUUGCCUCAAUGGAAAGAAACUCAUGUGAUAAGAGAAUAGGCUUCUAGGUAUUUUCCCACUAGCAACCAUGUUGCCUUAAGUGUUGAGUUUGAACAUGUGAAAGGAGACCAAGAUGUGGUCUUUGAGAAAGGUUAAAGAUAAGUUGGUUUUAUUAGUUAAAUUGUAUAAUAAUUAAGUUCCCAAAAAUUUUCAUUGUAGAUACAAACACAACUUUUAAGUGAACCAUAUGUUGUUGUUUUCCAUAGUUAUAUAGAUCUUUUGUCUAUUUAAUUUUGAGACCGUUCACUAGAAUGCCUAUUGAGCUACAUGCUCAAUGAACCAUAUACACAAACCAAUCCUACAAUUACGAUAAAAAAAGAAAAAAAUAUUCAAGUUUAUAAAUGAAUGGGGAUAGAGAUAUAUAAAAUAUACAACUUGAUUACAUGGCAGCUAGUUUACCUUUUGUUGUGUAAGAAUUUCCUUAUUUAGGCAUUUUAGAUUCUAUGACCAAUAUUUUGGAAGCCAUAUAUAAAAAUUCAUGGUAAAAGAAUAAAAAUAGAGUCAAUUUCAUUCAUACAAUACAAGAAACUAAGUUAUAGUGACAUGAUUUUAGUAGGGAUAAAAAAAAAAUUGCAACUAUAUAGUUUAUAUAGUUGCAGUUCCAAAAGGAUCUGUUUCUAUAGUUUUUUUAUGCCAAAAUUUGGUGGAAAAUAAUUUCCCUCUAAUGUUUAUAGGCACAGACGAUAUAUUCCAGCAUCAUUAUAGACUAUAAUGUUGUAGCCAGACAAGUGAGGCAGCCAUAGGAGUUCCACACAUUAGAGAUGGCUGCGGGGUACUUUUAUUCUGCUACCAUAAACCGGUUUUGCAUGGGGAUUCUGCUACCAAAAAUAGAUGGCUCGCAGAAAUAAAAGACCCUAAAAAUACCAUCUCGCUCUUCACAAUCUGAAACCUUUGCCUCCACACUGACAUUCUUUGUUGCUUCACGUUUGAAAUCCCCUCAAAAUCUUCUACUUCCUCUACUUCAACAAAACCAUUAUUGGAUCCUCUUCAUCCACUUCACUGGAAUAAAACACCAUCAAAUCUAGCUUUGAAACCGGUAAUCAAGGUACCUUCUCUUCACAUCAUCUCUGGUCGAUCUCUUUUUUCACUUUUUUCAAAGAGAAUGAUAUAAAACCCUAGCCUAGUCUUCAUCUUAAGCUGGAUUCUCUGAACUUUUGCUUUAGAAGUUGGUUCACUGUGUUAUUUUUUCAUUUAUCCAGAGGUUUUGAAAUUGAAAGUAGUUUGCUACUUGUUUGAAUAUGAUAUUUAAUUUGAAAUUAUUGAUUAUGAAUUGAAAUGGAAGGUUUGGGUUUGUUUAGGUUGCAGGUGUUGAAAUGAUGCAUAGGAAAAAAAUUGCAUAAACUAAUUUCAGUUUACCAAUCAUCUGUUUAAAUGAAAUGGAUGUGGUAUUUGCAUCUUUUUUUUUUUUUAAUCAUUAAUGUGUUCUCAUCGAAGUGUAGUUAAUUGCUAGAUCAGAAAUUCCUGUUUACUUCUAAGGAUGACAACUCAUGACUAAAGGCCAUAGAUUUUGGCUUGUUUGAUUUUGUGAAACAAGGCAUGUUCUUAGCCCUUCAAUCCAUAGAUAUAUGUAUAUUAAACCAGGAAUGUUCUUAGCCCUUCAAUCCAUAGAUAUAUAAGAUUCAUAAGAAAGUUUCUAAUAGAUUCUGUUUUCUCAUGCAUUAAAGGUAUUUCAAGCACCAUUCUUUGGAUCAACUUUGAACUUUUUCCAUCAAACUAAACACAUUUCCUUUUUGUUAUGAAAGACUGCUCAAAAUUGAUGGAGAUAAUUAUCCUGAGGUACAGAGUUUUAAUGUAACACCCUUAGAUUAGUUUAUGAUGAUUGCACAUUUGUUUGACCCCUAAACUGAAUUAUUCAGAUUUCUGAUUAAAUCCAAAUUGUGUACUUGAAUGUCAUACUCCCUUAUCAUAUUUAAACAUCAAUUCUGCAGACACUUUGCAGAAUGUUUAUCAUUAAUGUUGGACCUGGUUUUGAGCUGCCCUGGAACAUGUACAGUGACGAUUUAUGUUUAUCUAAGAACAACUUCCAAGAUUCAUGUGAGUUAAAAGAAGUUAUUUUAAUCUAAUAAAACUAUGACCUCUCUUUGCUACGAACAAAAGUUUUGAGUGAUUGCUUUUUGAAAAUUUUCUUAUGUUCUUGUUUCAAUGGUAUUGUAAUCGGAUUCAUUAGUUGUUAGCAGAUUGAACUCAUAACAUUAGCCAUUGGAUCUCUACUAUCCCAUAAGAAAGAAAAAUAAAGAAUAAAAUUAGCCACCAGACCAUCCAUUGUUUCUGUUGGAGGAAUAUCUAACAUAUUUUUGCACAAACUUGCUGAAAAUAUUCAAGAUGCAUAUGCAGAGGCAACAAAUAUUGCUUAGUAGGUUAAGUGUACCUGCUAAUAUUCCUUAAAUUCAACAAAAAUUUCUGAAAUUCUUUUCAUGAGUGGGUUUUACUUGACCAUACUAACUAGAAAAAUUGUAGCUCUUGUUGGUAGAAAUGGUUGAGGAAAAAGUAGUAUAAUUCCACUCAUGGAAUGGUUUGAUGAUCCUAUAUUAUGUAUUAGAUACACACUAGUUUCCUAUCUUUUGCUUACCUAUUUUCUUUUGCUUUAUAUGACUGUCAUUGGAAUCCUUUUAAAAAAACUUCUCAAAUUUUAAUGUUCCAAUAUCUUCUAGUAUAGGAGAGGUACUUUUGGAUGGAAAAAAUAUUAAAAACCUGAACCUGCCUUACUAUGUUUGAGCAUAAGAGAUGACAUUGCUUAUGGGUGGUCCAAUGCUACUUCUGUUCUUAUUGAAGAAACUGCUAAAAUAGGCAUGCACAUUCAUUUAUCAGCUCUCUUGAGAAAGGAUAUGAAAUAUAGGUAGAAAGUAAACUACACUGGACAUCUUAAGCACACAUUAUGGUCUUAACAAUCAUUUUUUGAUAUUCAUCUAGUUCAAUGCAAUGUAGGUGGGUUAAGUUGGUAUAACAUUGACAAAAGAGCAAAAAAUAAAUCUAUCUGUGUUAGGGUAGUGGUUUCAAAUCCAUCCAUGCUUCUACUUGAUGAAAUCGUUGGUGUCCUUGACUUUGAAGCAGAUAGUGUUGUUUAGGAGGCCAUAGAUAUCCUCAAGUAGGGACGAUCAACAUUAAUCAUUGCUCGACUAAUAAGUCUGGUAAGGAAUGUUGAUUACAUUACAGUGAUGGAGAAGGGCCACUUUGUUGAAAUGGGUACACAUGAUGAAUCGUUAAUAUGCAUAGCUUCUCUAGUGUGCAGAAGCUAUGAAACCUCCUAAAAGAUAUAUUCUUAUCAUAAACUUGUGCUUCUGUAGGACCUAGUGCAGUAUCUUGUACGCUUAUGUAAUGUGUUGAAUUUAGCAGUUUGCAACAAUUAAUCUCGUGUAACAAUUUUUUAUAAAUUGCAAAAAUACAUAUAUGUCAAUUUAUUUAUGUUUUUAAUUAUAAAUGGUGGUUAUUUUUACUUAUUUUUAAUUGGAGUGUUUUCUAUGUCACACGUUGAUCUUGCAAAUAAACAGGUUCUCUUAAAAAGCUCCUAAGAGUGGAAAUUCACACAAUGCAAAAAACCCAUUAGAUAUCAAAGUUAUAUCCUUCAUGACAUUCUUCAUGGUAUGUUAUAUUCAAGUUCUUCAACAAUGCAAAGUUUAUACCAAAUUAGAUAUCAAUUAUUUCUCAGUUUCCAUGAAUGCAGUUUCAUGCUUAGACUUACUUGAAGAGCUCUCUUUACACUAUGAGUAGACGGUUAUAACUAUUGCUUUCUUCUGAUUAGGAUGCAGCUUGAUGUUACAGUCAGGUGAAACCGUAAUUAUUGUUUUAGUUUUGUACUUUACGUAACUUAAUCCAGCAAAAAUCUAUUUGCACAAUAUCAGGAUAUUGUUUGUGUAAUUUUUGUCAAGUAAUAAAGUCCAUGUAUAACUGGACUUCACAUCGUGUGCUUUAAUUGAUCAAAUGUUAUUUCUUCUGUUGAUCAACAACAUAGUCUAGGAGAUUAUCACUAGGCAGAAACAUAGGUAACCACUCUUUUAUAGAACUGUGGAGAUAAUUUUUUUUUGUUCACUUUAAUGCAAACGAUAUGUUUGUGUAUGAUUUAAGUGGUUUGUUUUCUAAAUGCAGAGAGGAAGGGUGUUAAAGUAUGACAACCUGUACAUUACGGAAGAAAUCAUGCAAUUACUACAAACCAUGUGGGGGGGGGGGUAUAACUGAAGUCCAUAGUCAAUGACCACUACCCUAAUGAAUCCUUGUACAGUUGUAUAAGCUCGUGCAGUUGUAUUCCUUAAACAGCUUAUAGUCAUUGACUCUCUUCCUUGAUUUCACUCAUAGUUGUUUUAUCUCUUGUAUAUAUAUGAACAGUUUCAUAUAUUAAUAGAGCAUUACAAUCAUUCACACAAAGUCUUGUAUAUAUAUGGACCGUUGUUCCUAUUGAAAUUUCAAUAAAUUAAACCUACCCUUAUGUAGAUAAUGGAUGACGUUCUAGAUAUAUUAGAAGUAGAGUAAUACUUCUAUCUUUGAUAUUUGAUAGAAAAAUGCUUUCUUUGGAAUUCUUAUACAUUUAGUCAAAAUAUUUCCAUUUUGAUUUAUGGUUGUGAUUUAUCAGGAUUUUGUAUACAUAUAUAUAUAUAUAUAUAUUGAUAUCUAUCUUUAGCUGAGAUUUUGAGUCUCGCAUGUCUACCAUUUCACCACCAAGGCAUCUUGAGAGUGAAUGGUGUUCCAUGAAUAUGAUAUCCAUCUAGUGUGAUGUAUGGAAUAUAUGACAAAGGUGGAGUGUUAGAGUAUUUCUAUUAAUCGGUCAUGUCAUAUAGGCCCAAAUUGGACAUCCAAUUGCUUCGAUUUGAAUUAUUAGGAGGAUGCCUUAUAUACAUUAUAUAAAAAAGAUGGACAAUCAAACCUAUUUCUCAAUUCAAUAGAAGCCCAAAAGGGUGAAUAGGGUCCUAAAUAACGAGAGAUAUGUAAAAAACAGGUCCGAUUAUGCCUAUUCCUAAUCCUAAAUGAAAUGUAACGAUGUAAGGAUUCAUAUGUAAACGUAGUAUCUAUUUAGAUAAGCUCGAAUGACCCCUUCUCAUAAUGAGAAUUUAUAUAACCCUAUUCUGGUCUGAUUUGUUAUGGAAUGAACUUAUAAUCAUGGAACUAACUCAAUCAUCAGAUUAUAGAUUAUAAGUUCAUAACCCUAACCCAUUCCCAUUUUGGGAGAAAUAGAUCUAGUAAUUAUUUGAUUCUAGUUAGUAAGAGGGAUCUUAAACUAAGAAAUAGAUCAUAGAAACUAAAAAAAAGGUAUCUUGAGCAAUUGCAAUUAUCGGGUUCAUUGAUAUUCUUGGUAUAGUAGAUGUUUUCACACAUACAAUCAUACUCAAUUCGAUGGAAUUGUUUGAUCUUAAAAGAGAUCUUAUAUAAUUUCGCACAUGAGGGGUUAUUUCUUGGUUUCAUCCAGUCAUUAAUAACUUGAUUAUUUUUAGAUAAAAGUAGAUAGAAACAACAGAGUAAGGAGUCCUAUUGAAACCAAGAAAUAUAGGUCUUCCUGCCAUCCACACCAAAAUAAAUGGAGUUUUUAAAAAACAACCUGCUAGUGGAGGAAGACCUCCUAGGGAUAAGAGACAUAGGGCUAAAAAGAAAGCCGAAAAAGGAUAUUUCAUGUAUAAUCCUACAUAAUCUCGAAUGUUAUCAGUUCUGGUACAUAGACCAAAUGAUACAAUGCAAGCAAAAGUUCCUAGAUUCAUGUAGAUAUAGAACAACAUAUAAGUUAUCAUGCUUGCAUAUCCACCAUUUGAGUCUCCAACAAUUAUUUCAAUAAUUACAUAUUCGAUUUGACCUAUGGACAAAUAUGCAAGCAUACGUUUCAUGCUUAUUUGAGUAAUAGCAAUGAGAUUCCCCUAUAUCAUGCUAAGAAUAGCUAGGAUUUCCAAAAGAUGUCAUUCAUUUGAUGGGAAAUAAAAAGGAAUAUCGAAAAUUCAAGUGUCUAAAGCAACUGCUUUCGAAGUAAUAGAAAGAAAAGCAAUGACUAGAGUGGGAGAGUCAGAGUCAAAAAGAGGAUUCCUCACUUCUUUCUCUCAUUCAAAACCGUGCAUAAGACUUUUAUCUUGCACAACUCCUAAGUGAUAAAAGAAAGAAGAACUCAUCUUUCUUUUUUUAUUACCUUCCUCGCGUAUGUAUAAGACUGAAUCCCUUUGAUUUCUAAAAAGGAUUACUAAUCCUUAACUUUUAGAGGAAUCCUUCAUCAAUGGUUGUGAAUGACUGAUUUUUUCAAACUUUUCGACCUUGGUUAUGUAGCAGCAAGUAGCAAGAUUGAGAAAUAAAACCAUUUAAUUUGAUUCGUUCUCAAUAACCAUGAGAUGAUCAUCUUAGGGUGAUCCUUACGUUGGCAAGUGCUCCUAUCACACUCGUAGUCUCUAAAGGAUGAGAACCAACUAUGUAGCACCUACAUCAAGAAUUCAAGUAUUGUAUAUGCCAUUAGUAUGAUCCUUUGUAGGAACUACCCAUAAUAACAAACUUACAAAAUGGAUAUGUUUAUCAUAAAGAGAUUUGUUGUUCCUGACCCUGCUUCACCUUGAUUUUUAUUUGAAUAAAAGUUAUGUAUUGGUCCGAGUGGGGAUAACAUUUCUCUUCUACAUGUCCAUGAAGUUUUGAAAAAUCUAAACAUCUCAAAGAUAGAUAGAGAGGUAGGAAUUUAUCGAACGAACCACACUCCUUUGUAUAAGUCAAGAGUCCAUUGAUGAGAAGGGGAUGGGUAAAGCUUAAACCCUAUUCCUACAAUGAUGAAUAUAAGUGCAAUUGAAAUUCCUGGGGAGUUAUACAUUUGUGUAUUGAUAAGACCAUUCACUAUUUCUUGAUGCUCGAUCUCUCCCCCGAAUGAACCAUAUAGCCAAGAGAAACCAUGAAUCAGAAUAGAAGAACUUGCCCCACCUAUGAGUAAAUAUUUCGUAGUAGCCUCACUAGAUCGUACAUCUCUCUUGGUAUAUCCAAAUAAUAGGUAAGAACAUAAACUGAAACAUUCUAGAGCUACAAAAAUAGUUAUUAAAUUGUUAGCAUAGCAUAAAAACAUUCCUCUUAAACUAGUUGUUAAUACGAAUAAGAGAAACUCUAUAAUAGCCAUUUUUGUACAUUCAUUGUACUCUACGGAUAGAGGAAUACAUAGAGUUGAGCAUAGUAAAAUAAGAAAUUGUUCGUUUGGAAAUUUCUCGAAAAGCUAAUCAUAGGUUCUUCUCUCCAUCGGACCAAUAGGGUCAUUAUGCUCAUUACUAAACUUGUUGAAGAGAUGAAAUAUAACCAAGCUAUAUCUUUUUUAUCAGAGGUUGAAUCAAUCAUCAGAAGAAGAAUUAGGCCAAAAAUUAUGAUACAUUUUGGGAAAAUAAAACUUCCAUCGAAGAGAAGAAAAUGAAAGGCUUUCAAAAAAAUUCUCAUAGAAUCAAGAAUGAUGUUUUCAUGCUAUAUAUGCCAGAUCAUAAAUUAGUAAUUGCAUUCAAUCUCCAAAAAAAUCCCAAUUGUUUCUAUUUUUGGAAUGGAAUAUUUAAGGAAUCACCAUGAAUAGGAUCAAACCUUAUUCAAUGUUAUUUACAUGAGAUUCCUCUUUCUUAUUCUUAAGCAAGUCCCUGAGAGGACUUGGUGGAUCCAUGAUUUAUGUUGCAUCUCUUGUUUCCUUUUCGUUUGUUUCGAGAAAUAUAUCGAUCAAUUCCAAUUCUUUUGUUUUCUAUUGAUUCUUUUCUGAUCGAGAUGUAUUGACUGGAUCCUUGGAUCUAUGUGUCUAUAUAGAUUCUGUUCAUGGAUUAAUGAAAAUGUGCAAAAGCUUUAUUUGCCUCUGCCAUUCUAUGAGUCUCUUCCUUUUGGCAUAUGGCAUCGCCACUCCCUUUGGCAACAUCCACUAAUUUAGAACUUAAUUUGAAAGUCAUAUUUUGACCCGAACGUUUUUGGGAUGCUCCUAAUAAUCAAUGAAUGGAAAGUGCUUUUCCUUGUGUGGAUCCUAUUUCAAUGGGAACUUGAUGAGUCAAUCCACCUACACGUCUUGCUUUUAGUCCUAUAUCAAGAGUUACUCCACGUAUUGCUUGAUGUAAAACAUAUAGUGGAUUUGUUUGUCUUUUGUUGAAUUUUUUUCACGGAUCGAUAGAUAAUUUGAUAAGCCAAUGAUUUAUUUUCAUGUUUCGGAAUACAAUUAACCAACACGUUAACUAAUCGAUUAGGAUAAAUUGAAUUGGAUUUCACUUUUUUUUUCUGUAGCACCUCGACAUGACAUGAGCGUGAAAGGGGUUUAAGAAUUAGUUUUCUUUUUAUAAGGUCUAAAAUCAUUUAUUUUGGCUUUUUGACCCCAUAUUGUAGGGUGGAUCUUGAAAGAUAUGAAAGAUCUCCCUCCAAGCCGUACAUACGACUUUCAUCGAAUAUAGCAUUCCAUAGAAUUCUAUAUGUAUCCAUGAGAUCAAGUAUGGAAUUUUGUUUACUCAUUUUACAUUGAGUAUUUGUUUCCCUCCUUUUCCUGCUAGGAUUGGAAAUCCUGUGUUUUACAUAUCCAUACAAUUGAGUCAUUGGGUUUUUGAAAUAGUGUAAAAAGAAGUGCUUCGAAUCAUUGCUAUUUGACUCAAACCUAUUCUAAAAAAGUCGAGGCAUUUCAAAUUGUUUAUUGACAUGGAUAAAAUCAGGGAAAACCUCUGAAAUUAUUUCAAUAUUGGACCUUAGACAUAUAAUAGUUUCUAAUCGAAUCCCUUUAAAAAGAUCUUUUGUCUCAUGGUAGCCUACUUCAGUCCCCUUACGAAACAUUUGUUAUUGGGUUAGUCAUACACUUCACAUGUUUGUUUCUAGCGAUUCACAUGGUAUCAUCAAAUGAUCAAGUCUUGGAUAAGAAUCUACAAUGCACUAGAACACCCUUGUUGACAAUCCUUUACAGCGUUUAGAGUUCCUCGAACAAUGUGAUAUCUCACACCAGGUAUUUUAAUGCCAGAGAUCUAUCUUAUGUCACUGUCAUUUCAAUAGGGUAUUUUCGAAAACUAUGAACAGCAGCCGUAUGCAGUGGCAUAUAUUGGAACCUCCAUGUUGGUAGUAUACAUCCAAAUAGUAUUCAUAAAGGAGUGGCUUCUGAAUACUAUGAAAUCUGGCUCUUCUAAAAAUGAAAAUGAUGAAGGAAUGGUAUAUGAGCUUGAUCUGCCAGUGGAACACAAGGGUGAGCCUGACACUUUUGAACUAGAAAAUCAAACAUCCAUAGUAAAAAAUAUACACAGAGGAGUUAGCAUGAGGGGAUUUGUUAAAUUGGGCUCUUAGCUCGCUCCUAUCUGGCUCAUGACAGAGGUCAGCCAUUAUAUCAUUGUUGGCACUGAAUGUUAUUUUGCAUGUAACUGAAAUCUCAAGCAUAUAUAUCUAUAUAUGUAUGACACAUUUUCUUUUAUCCUUGCAUACAUAUUUGUUUCUCUUCAGUCUCCAUUUCUAGUUGUGGUCAAUUUACAUUAUUUUUACAAUAAUGGAUGCAUGUAGUACUUUACCCAUGCUGCACUUGCAAGAACAAGCAUUGCAACCACAACAUUACUGUCUUCAUCAGCUUCAGUACUUUUCACUCUUCUGCUUGGUGUCCCUUUGGGCCAAGAAUCCAUAAAUGCAGUCACAAUAGUUUAUGUCGUCAUCAGUUUGGCUGGUGUUGCAUUGACCACCCUUGGGCAGACUUGGGCUUCAUAUGAUACCCAGUAAGCAGAUCAUUUAUAUACACACCCAGAAUUAUUUAUUAACCCAAGAGCUUUAUCUAGUUAUAUAAUUGAUAGUUGUUUUUCGAGCAGCUGAUAGCUAAAAUUUGAUGUUUUAGAAAUGGGAAGCAUUCUCUUGUUGGAGAUCUUUUCAGUGCUCUCAGCUUUGACUUAUAUAUGAACUAUGUACCAGUGAAAAUAUUCUCUAACUGUUAUUAAUGAAUAUUUAGUUCAGCUAUGAUGGAUCUUGCUCAUAGCUCAUAUGCAAUAACAACAACAAUAAUAAUAAUACAGUGUUGUUUUAAAAAAUUGUUGGAGAAAGUGGGAGAUAAGAUAGAAGUGUAGAAGAAUACAUAGGAUUAUUCACACUCGUUGGCCUUUGGUGGCUAGGUUCUAGCCGAAGUAAUUAACAAAGGAGGUCUGUAUGCACUAGGUGAUGAUGGUAUCCAAGCCAUGGAAGCCACUCCAUCACGCUUCUGAGGUUUGGCAUCAAUGCAUUGGACGUCCACAAACAAAGUCCUUGAAUUUUUUACAAGAUAAGAAUUUUAUUAAUUUGUGCUAGUUGUUAAUUAGGCAAUAGCUAUUAACUUUUUUUUAGUUUAACAAGAAAGACUUCAAUGAAUCAUCUUGAUAAAAUACAUUAUGAUUUAUGGGGACCUAGACCAAAUAAUUCCACUCAAGGAUACAAGUAUUAUGUUUUGUUUAUUGAUGAUUAUACUUGUUAUACAUGGAUUUAUCCUUUGAAGAAAAAUCAGACUUCUUUGAAUGUUUCUUGAAAUUUCAAAGACUUGUUGAAAAUCAACUCGAGAGGAGCAUUAAAAUUUUUCACAACAAUGGAAGGGGUGAGUUCCAACUUGUUGAGUUUCAAAAUCACUCGAGUCAAUGUGGAAUUUUACAAUAAUUUUCCUAACCAGGAACUCCAAAAUAGAAUAGUAUUGUAGAGAGAAAGCAUAGACAUGUUGUAGAGAUGGGCCUAAUAAGGAUAUAUCAUGCAAACCUACCCGUUAGUCUAUGGGUGGAUGCAUUUUUUAUAGCCACCUAUCUUAUAAAUGGAUUGCCUUCUACAGUUGAAAAUAUGAGAAGUCCUUUUUAUAUGUUAUUCAAACAACAUCCAGAAUACAACGACUUGAGAGAUUUUGGAUCAGUGUUUUCCAUACCUUAGAGAAUAUGAGGAAAACAAAUUCCCACCAAAAACAUAUCCAUGUGUUUUCAUUGAAUAUAACUCUCUACACAAGGGAAAUUGAUACCUGCACCUCUCAACAAAGAGUAUAUAUAUCACGUCAUGUUAUUUUUCAUGAGAAAUUUUUUUUUUAUUCUAAUUCCUCUGAAAACAAAAAAAUCCAUGCAUAUUCUGUUAGAGAUUUUUCAUUCCCAACUUAUGAUGCUCCACUUAAAAUAUUAAAGCUUGUGCAACCUACCAAUACUUCUGAGUCGACAACAACCUUUAAUAAUGGUUGCAAUUCCACAACUUGUCUUGGUAAUGCUCUUGCUAGCCUCUAGAAUGUCACUCCAUGUGGUGACCGAGAAGCUAAUCAUUAUUACUAGACUAUUGCAAGUGCUGAUGUAUGUGCUGAUUCCCCUCGACAUCAUACCCAAUUUGAUGCCUAUGCAAAUUGCUCUCCAUCUUCUGAUUGUGUUGUUUCCCUUCAACAUAAUUCUCAGCUUGAUACUCAUGUAGCCUGCUCUACACAUCCUACCUGUCCUCAAGCUAAUCAUCUUAUAGAGACCUUAAGUGAUUUGUCAUAUUCAAGUAAAUCUUGCAACAACAAUGAGGAUUGUAGUGAUAAAUUUUUUAAUGUGUUUCCUUAUAUCAACAAGAAUCAAGGAGUUGAUCUCUUUCUUCGUGCAAAAUAGAAAAGGACUGACCAAGGAUUUACAAUGAUCACUAGAAACAGACUUAAAAAUGAACCAAGUCUAAAAUCUCAAAUGAUCAUCCUUACUACUACAAGAGGUCACAUUUGCGAGCUAAAAACCUAUCGUGGUGCACUUAAAAUUCCUGACUAAUAUGCUGCAAUGCAGAAGAAUUCACAACAUUAGAUUAGUACCACACCUAGGAUCUUGUUCCUAGGACUUCGGUACAAUUAUAGUGAUGUCCAAAUGGGUUUUUGAGACAAAACUUAAGGAGGAUGGCAUAGUGGACAGAUUAAAGGCUUGGCUUUUGCUCGCGGCUUUACUCAAAUACCAGGUUUGGAUUUCUGUGAAACUUUCAAUCUAGUAAUUAAACAUUCAAGGAUUCAUUUGAACCUCUCACUUUGCAGUCUCUUUAAAAUGGAUUAUCAGGCAGCUAGAUGUCAAUAAUGCCUUUUUACAUGGGUUUCUCAAGGAGUAUGUGGUCAUGGAGUAGCCCAUAGCUUUGAAAAUGAAGACUUUCCCAAUCAUGUAUGUUGUCUUAAUGAUUCUCUCUAUGGUUUGAAACAAACUCUGAGAGCCUAGUUCAAUAAACUCUCUUAGUUCCUUCUCCAUAUGGGUUUUCAUUGUGGUAAAGUAGUCCCAUCCUUAUUCAUCUGAACAUACAGGUCACUCCAUUAUUCUAAUAUUGAUUUACGUGGACGAUGUUAUAGUCAUUGGAAAUGAUACAACCACCAUCAAUAAUCUCAUGCAUACAUUAAGCAAAGAGUUUUCUUUGGAGAACUUGGUGUAAGUUCAUUACUUUCUCAGCUUGGAAGUUCGAAACUUUUAUGGUGGUAUCUUUGUUUCCCAAGCAAAGUUUCUUAGAGACUUACUCAGUGGGAUGAGAAUGCUUGAGUACUUUCACUUAAGCAUGCUCACGGCUAUCAAACCUACGAGUAACCCAGUUGAUGAUCAUCCAGUUGAUCAAACCCUUUAUAGGCAACUUACUGGUUCCUUGCAAUAUACCACGUUUACAAGACAAGGUACUGUCCAUGCAAAAAACAAAGCCUAUCAACAAUUUCAAUCUCCCAUAGAGGCUGACAUGCAAGUUGUGAAAGUAUCUUGAGCUAUCUAAAGGGAACCAUGGAUUAUGGAUUUCACUUUCUUAAAAAACAGUUCCCUUUAUCUAACAGGCUACCAAUGCUGAUUGGGCCAAAUGCACCAUUUACAUGUCCCAUGAAUGAAAACUCCGUGAUCCAGUUUUUCAAACAAUGCCACUUCCACUCUGCCAUUUACAUCUAACAAUUGUCACCAACUAUAAAUAUUUAGCAACCACUGGUGACAUCAAUAUUGGUAAUCUGGUUCUUUGUUAGGCUAGGACUCAAUGAUUUUUAACACAUAAAUUUUCUCAAAUAAGAAAAUUGUUGAUGAAAAUGUAAGUUGAUUUAUUAUACUUAACAAUCAUUAAUAUGCCCCUUGAUUCUUCUAAUAAAAACAAAAACACCAUUUUAAACAAUUUAAUGUUUAAUUUUCAAUCAAAAGGAUGGGAUUUCAUAAAUAGACACUAGAUAAUAAAUUCUUUCAAUGAAAAAACUUUGAAUCAUCAAAUAUUUCUCCUAGAAAUCUUUGAUAUUCUUUAACUCUUUAAGAGAUCUUCAAAUAUUCAUCUUUUCAAGAAAUCUUGAAUCUUGAAGGAAUUUCUUCAACAACUAUAAAAAUUUUUGUCGGUCUUCAAUGUGUGCUUUCAAAUGAGAGGAACCCUCUACUUAUUGGGUUAGAAAUUUUAUUUUGAUGUUAUAUCUUGCUUUCCUAGACAUAAUCAUCCUUUUUAUUGUGAUAAUUGUUAUUUAUUUUAAUUAUUAUAAUUAAUUAAUUAAGAUAAUUAUAAUAUUCUUUUGCAUCAUCACAAUUAACUGAUUUCUUAUUAUUUUUUACACAUUAUUAGUUAAUUAUUGACACGUGACUAUUAAUGAGUGGACAAAAAUUUUCUUUGCACAUAUUUCUUUAAACAUUGAUCAUUGUUAGUUGGUGGUGACAAUCUACUCAAACUAGUAGGGAGUUCUUUAUACACCUAAUGAUUUCUUGAAAUAUCACAAAUUUCUUUUAAUGUUUAGGUUUAUUUUUCAAUAAUGGUCAAUGCUAAGGCUAAGGUUGGGUUAGUUAGGUUAAGAAUAAGUUUAUGUUUCAUAUGUUUAUUUUUGUUGUGAUUUUAGAUAGAGAGGUCCUUAUGUUCUUUUUCUGUGAGUUUGAUGUAAAUUUCUAUGUUUGUUCCAUUUCAUCAUAGUUUUAAAUAUCAUCUACCUUGUUAUAUUCUAUAUAUAUAUUUGGCUUCUCUUUCAUAUGGGCUCCAUCUUCUUUACUAUUGUUUCCAUGAUUUCAAUUUCAUUCUUUGUUUCCAUUUCACUUGUGGUGGCAUCUUAUUGUCUAAGGUUUGUGUAAGAAUUUUUAAAUUUCAUCCUUUGCAUCAUGUUCAUCCUACUUCUCUACAAUAAGAGCAGAAUGAUUGGUUAUUUUCAUGGAAAGGUUUUAUUUUAAGUCUUUGCACUUAUACCAUCUCUCAUUAUUCAUGCUUAUAGAAUUUAAUACAUUACUAGUACUUCAUUUUCAUUUAAAAAAAUAUGUAUAGGAAAAAAAAAGGAAAUAAGAAAAAUACUUAGUAAGAUAGAAGGAACAAUCAAGGUAGACGGUGUUAGCAGAAUGAAAUUCAUGUGAGUAAAAAAUGGAGUUGUCAAUAUUAUGCCCCCUUGGAAGGUGGUGCAAUUCUCAACCAACAAGUGUUAAGGUUGAAUAUGUGAAAGUAGAGCAAGAUGUGGUGUUUAUAAAAGGUUGAAGGUAUGUGGGUUUUGUAUUAAGAUAGAUACUAUAAUAUCUAAAAUCAUUCACAAUCAUUGAGAUAUAUUUAAUUUAUAUUAAUUCAGUCUUCCUACUUUGGUAAAUUAUAUGGUAAAAACCUAUAAAAACAAAUACAUUUAGACUGUUGGGAACAUAAAUCAUUCUUUUGAGUUAAAUUGCAUAAUAAUUAAGUUGCCAAAAUUUUCCAUUGUAGAUACAAACACAAUUGUGGACCCGCAUUUUUCACGUGUGUCCCCACUUAAUGGGCGAGACUCACUUUUAUUGGUGAAAAAUUUAUGUUAAACAUGCUCUAAAAAUAAUUUUUAUUCUCUAAAAAAUAAAUUUAAUAGAUUGAAUAUAUCCAUAAGGGUGUUAACUGAAGAAAUUUGAAACGAAUGAUGGCUUACUGUAUUUACCCUAAAUCUCAAUGGGUGAGAGUGAAAUUAACUCAUAAAAUUAUUGUUCCCAUAAAUAUUUUUAUAUGUUUAACCACAACUCAUUUUCAAUUAGCAUAGAAGGUUUUGGCAUGUUAUACUUGCUAAUCUCAAGGGUGGUUAUGACUUAUCUACAAAGUUUUUCACUUUUGAGUCACCAUGCUAUUAAGGCUGCCAUAUAUUUCAUACAAUCGGUUCAUUUUGGCUUUACAAGGGCAUGAACAAUUGUUGAUUAGUGCAAGUGAAGAAAACAAAGAAUUCGUUAAUCAUGAACAAGCAUUUUCUUCCUAGUGUGGAUGAGGAAGAAAAUGUGGUGCAAAAUUCCAUUUGUAGGUUCACUCCAAUUAAUCACUUCAAUAACCAUGGACCUUGGGAUCAGAAACAAGUUUUUGGUAUUAGAAGCAAGCCAUCUAAGAACAGUCCUAAUGAACAACCAGUCCCACAAUAGAAGUAACAACCUAAAAAAUCAAGUGGUACUCUCAUUUACCAAAUAUGUAAUAAGGCUAAUCACUUUGCUUUGGAUUAUUGGAACAAAAUUUGAUUACUCAUAUCAAUAAGAUAAAAUUCCCCAAACUUUGGCGACUAUGACAUUGAAUAAAGAAAGGGGUGAUCUCAACUUCUAUGUUGAUUCUGGAGUCACAACCCACAUAACAAUCAAUCCUACUAAGAUGUCCCAAGUUGUUCCAUAUAAAGGAAAUGGUGUAAUUUUUGUUAGAAAUGAAGAACCCCUAAGGAUUUCAAUUUUUUUUUUUUUUUGAUAACCGUGGAUGUCCGGGCCAACUUACGCACACCUUGUCUAAUCCCAUGGGGCCCUGAAGUUAACGUCCAGGUAAACCUCUAAUGGCCCUAAGGAUUUCAAAUAUUACAGAGGCUAAAUUAAGAACAAGACAUGGAAACUUGAAUCUUAAUGGUCUUAGUUGUUUUAGAAAUUAACAAAAUGUUUCUAUCCAUUGGAUAACUUAUGAUAAUUCAUGUUCCAUAGAAUUCUCAUCUAGUGGUUUUGUUAUAAAGGACUAACAUCAACAAGUUCUAGCCAAAGGAAUUAACAAAUGAGGUCUGUAUGUACUAGGAAAAUAUGUUAUCCAAGCCAUGGCAGCCACUCACUCCAACAAGGCAUCAUGAGAGGUUUGGCAUCAAUGCAUUGGACAUCCACAAACAAAGCCCUUGAAAUUUUUACAAGAUAAGAAUUUAAUUCAUAUGUCUAGUUGGACUAAAUCUCCUUCGGCUUGUGCUAGUUGUCAAUUAGGCAAGAGGUAUAAACUUUCUUUUGGUUCAACAAGAAAGACUUCUAUGAAUCCUCUUGGUAAAAUACAUUAUGGUUUAUAGGGGCUUGGACCAAAUAAUUCCACUCAAGGACAUAAGUAUUAUUUUGUGUUUAUUGAAGAUUAUGCUUGUUAUACAUGGAUUUAUCCUUUGAAAAAAAAAUAGACUUCUUUGAAUGUUUCUUGAAAUUUCAAAGACUUGUUGAAACUCAACUUGAGAGAAACAUUAAAACUUUUCAAAGUGAUGGAGGGGGUGAGUUCCAACUUGUUGAGUUUUAGUAUCGAUUGAGUGAAUGUGGAAUUUCAAAACAAUUUUCCUAUCUAGGAGCUCCAAAAUAGAAUGGUAUUGCAUAGAGAAAGCAUAGACAUGUUGUAGAGAUGGGCCUAACAAUGAUAUUUCAUGCAAACCUACCCCUCAGACUAUGGGUGGAUGCAUUUUUUACAACCACCUAUCUUAUAAAUCGAUUGUCUUCUACAAUUUAAAAUAUGAGAAGUCCAUUUUAUAUGUUAUUCAAACAACAUCUAGAAUACAACAACUUGAGAAUUUUUGGAUACUAGUGUUUUCCAUACCUUAGAGACUAUAGGAAAAACAAAUUCUCACCAAAGGCAUAUCCAUGUGCUUUCAUUGGAUAUAACUCCCCACACAAGGGAAAUCAAUGCCUACACCUCUUGAUAAAGAGAGUAUACAUAACACGUCUUGUUGUUUUUUAUGAGAAAUUUUUUUUUUGCAUGAUUAUUCCUUUGAAAACAAAAACUCCAUGCAGAUUCUAUUAGAGAUGGAUUCAUUCCCAACUUAUGAUGCUCCACUUAAAAUUUUAAAGGUUGUGCAACCUACCAAUACUUCGGAGUCAACAACAACCCUUAAUAAUGGUUGCAAUUCCAUAACCUAUCUUGGUAAUACUUUUGCUAGCCUCUAGAAUGUCACUCCAUGUGGUGACCCAGAAGUUGAUCACUAUUCCUAGACUAUUGCAAGUGCUGAUGUGUGGGUUAAUUCUCCUCAACAUCAUACCUAGUUUGAUGCUUAUGCAAAUUGUUCUCCAUCUUUUCUUUGUGUUAUUUCCCCUUAACAUAAUUCUCAGCUUGAUACUCAUGCAACUUGCUCUACACCUCCUACUAGUCCUCAAGUUGAUCAUAUUAUAGAGACCUUAAGCGAUUUGUCAUCUUCAAGCAUAUCUUGUAGCUACAAUGAGGAUUGUAAUGACAAACUUUUUAAUGUGUUUCCUCAUAUCAACAAGAAUCGGGGAGUUGAUAUCUUUCUUCCUACAAAAGAGAAAAGAACUAACCAAGGAUGUACAAUGAUCAUUAGAAACAGAUUUAAAAAUGACCCAAGUCUAAAUCUCAAAUUAUCAUCCUUGCUACUACAAGAGGUCACAUAUGCGAGCUAAAAACCUAUUGUGUUGCACUUAAAAUUCCUCACUAAUAUGAUGCAAUGCAAGAGGAAGCCACAGAAUUAGAUCAGAAUCACACCUAGGAUCUUGUUCCUAGGCUUUCCAAUGCAAAUAUAGUGGAGUCCAAAUGGAUUUUUAAGACAAAAUUUAAGGAGGAUGGAAUAGUAGAUUGAUUAAAGGCUUAACGGAUUGCUCAUGACUUUACUCAAGCACCAAGUUUGGAUUUCUAUGAAACUUUCAAUUCAAUUAUCAAACAUACAAUGAUUUGCUUGAUCCCUCACUUGCAGUGACUUUGAAAUGGACUAUGAGGCAACUAGACGUCAAUAAUGACUUUUUACAUGGUUUCUCAAGGUGUUCAUGGAGCACCCCCUCGGCUUUGUUAAUGAAGACUUUCUCAAUCAUGUAUGUUGGCUUAAUCAUUCUCUUUAUGGUUUGAAACAAACUCCGAGAGCCUGGUUCGAUACAGUUUCUCAGUUCCUUCUCUAUAUGGGUUUUUGUUGUGGCAAAGUAGAGCUAUCGUUAUUCAUCCAAACACAUAUGUCACUUUAUUAUUCUAAUAUUAUUUACGUGGAUGAUGUUAUAAUCACCAAAAAUGAUACAACCACCAUUGAUAAUCUCAUUCAUGCAUUAAGCAAAGAGUUCUCUUUGAAGGACUUGGGAUAACUUCAUUACUUUCUCAACUUGGAAGUUUGAAACUUUUCAAGUGGUAUGUUUGUUUCCCAGACAAAGUAUCUUAGAGACUUAGUGUGGGAUGAAAAUGAUUGAGUGCUCUCACUUAAACAUGAUCAUGGCUAUCAAACCUACAGCUACCCAAAUUGAUGAUUAUCCAGUUGAUCGAACCCUUUAUAGACAACUUGUUAGUUCCUUGCAAUUUCUCACAUUUACAAGACUAGGUAUUGUCCAUGAAGUAAACAAAGCUUGUCAAUAAUUUCAAGUUCCCACAGAGGUUGACAUGCAAGUUGUGAAAAGUAUCUUGAGAUAUCUAAAGGGAACCAUGGACUAUGGACUUUGCUUUCUCCAACAAGUUCCCUUUGUUUAAUAGGCUAUUACAAUGCUGAUUGGGUUGGAUGCCCCAUGAAGGAAAACUCUAUGAUCCAAUUUUUUAGACAAUGCCACUUCCACUAUGCCAUUUACAUUUAACAACUAUUAACAACUAUAGACAUUUAGCAGCCAUUGGUGACAUCAACACUGGUAAUCUCGUUCUUUAGUAGGGUAUGACUUAAUGAUUUUUAACACAAAAAAUUUCUCAACUAAGAAAAUUAUUGACAAAAUUCUAAGUUGAUUUAUUUAAACUUUACAAUCUUUAAUAUGCACUUUGAUUUUUCUAAUAAAGACACAAACAUCGUUUUAGACAAUUUAAUGUUUGAUUUUGGAUCAAAAAGUCAUGAUUUCAUAGAUAAUAAAUUCUUUCAAUGAAAAAAAAUAUCCGAAUCAUCAAUUUCUUCAAGAAAUCUUCAUAUAUUUUUUAACUUUCUAAGAGAUCUUCAAAUAUUCAUAUUGUCAAGAAAUCUUGAAUCUUGAAGGAGUUUCUUCAACAACUGUAAAAAAUGUUGUCGACGUUCAAUGAGUGCUUUGAAAUGAGAGGAACCCUCUACUUAUUGGGUUGGAAUUUUAUUUUGAUAUUAUCUCUUGUUUUCCUAGAGAUAAUCAUCUUAUUUAUUACAAUAAUUAUUAUUUAUUUUAAUUAUCAUAAUUAAUUAAUUAAGAUAAUUAUAAUGUUGUUUUGCUUUAUCAUAAUUAAUUGUUUUUUAUUAUUUUUAAAUUAUCAAAUCAUUUUUUUUUGCAAGACCCAUAUGACAAGUGUCAACAUGUUAUUAGUUAAUUAUUGACAUGUGACUUUUAAUGAAUGGACAAAAUUUAUCUUUGUGCAUAUUUUUUUCGACAUUGAUCAUUGUUAGUUACUGGCAACCACUUACUCAAAUCGGUAGAAAGUUCUUUAUACACCUAAUGACAAGGUAUAUAAGCUCAAAGUGGGAACCACUAGGGCCCAUAGGAAUACUGGCUCCCUUGGAAUCUAAUUCUAAAGUUGAUUCAACACCCCACUACAAAGAAUCAACUAAACUCAAUAUCCUAUGUAAAUAACAAUGAGACACCAAGUGCUCAGGUUCGUGACUUGCUAUCUAUUGUGUUCAGUCUCCCCAUGAACUGGUGUUUGUAGUCUAACAAGGUGAAAGUUAUUAGCCUUUCAGGACUACCUCUACCAUCCUUAAGUUACAAAUCCUCCUAUUGUGUGUUUAAUUGACAUAUCUUAGCUCUUAAAGGGCUUAUGUCAAGUUCCACUUAAGGAACUACUAUGACCAUAGUUUACAUAAACAUAUCUCCUUAGGAUCACCUAAAAUAACACACUAUCUCAAUCCUAAGAGAUAUCAAGGUACCUUUAUUGAGAAUACCUAUUGUUAGUGGCUUCUAUCAAUAGUGACCCAAUCCAUAGGGAAUAUAUGAUCAACUUACGAUCUCACCCGUAACUCAAAGUCAUUGCUAACUUCAACAUAAGUUCAAUAUUCUCUUAAGGUUGAGAAACAACACAAUGAAGCAGCUUGGUGGAUUCAUGACUACUUGAUAGCCUUAAGUCAUAACUCACCAUAGGUCUUGUCCAAUGUGCAACCAUACACACUAGUGUACUCACCAUGGGAAACCCAUCCCAAUAGCCAAGACUAGUCAUCCCUUCAAUUUGGAGAUGGUGCACUAUAGUCUCUAAUGGGUUGCCUAAGCCCAUGAACCGACUGUGAACAAGUCAUCUAUUUGCAAGGAACCCAUGACUUAGAUUUUCUGUGCAACUCUUAAUGCACCUAAAUAACGUACAAUGAAAAAGAUGUAGACAUUCGCUCAUAAAGUAUAACACAUGGAAUAAGAAUAGAUAAAAGUGAAACUAGAAUAUCAUUAAAUAAAUAAUAAAUUCCAAAUUCAUUACAUCAUGUCAUGCUUCUAAGGGCUCUAUUCUAACACCAAAAUGCUCGUAAAGUAUAAUGCAUGGAAUAAGGACAGAUAAAAGUAAACUUGGAACAUCAUUAAAUAAAUAAUGCAUUCCUAAUUUAUUACAUUAAGUCAUGCUUUUAAGGGCUUUAUCUUAACAUUCUCUCACUAGCCCUUAAAACAUCAUGUUAUCAAAGCAGACAGAUACUCAUCUGAAACCUAUGUUAUCCCUGUGAUCAUCAAAGACUCUCCCAAUCAAUGUCAAGGUAAAAGGAUUUGUUAGGUUCUCUACAAAAGGUAUCUAUCGAACUGUCACAUCACCCCUCUAAUAGAUCUCAAGAGUCUAAAACACAAGCACAUAAUCCCUCAUUCUCCAAAGAUACUUGAGUAUAUGCUUUACAAUUGUCUAGUGUUUUAGACUUAGAUUUGACUGAUAUCUACUUAUAAUAUCCACAACAAAGAAAAUAUCCGGUUAGCACAUAGCAUCGCAUACAUAAGGCUACCCAUUAGAAAGACAUAAGGUACCCCUUAAGUGCAAUCUUUCUCCUUUGAUGUCUAAGGACAUUGAUUUUGAGAAAGGCUAACUCCAAACCUAAAGGGCAACAACCCUUCUUAGAGUCCUGCAUUAUACACUUAACCAAAUGCUUAUCGAUGUAGAUGAUAUAGUGUAAUUUCAUUAUUCUUGCAGUCCAAAAGAACCUUAAACCCAAGAAUAUAUUGUGUUCCAUCUAGAUUUCCAUCUAUAAUUGAGUAGACAAAUUGAUCUUGAUUGCUGAUAAUAUCUCUACUUCAUUCCCGAUGAGUAGAUUGUCAUCCAUCUACAAGAUCUUAGAGCACCACUAUGCUUUCCUAAACCUUCUUGUACACAUAAGGCCCUUUGCGAUGAAAAUGUCUAGUUGCAUAAAAAAAUGCUAAAAUCAAGACAAUCGUUCAAGAACGCUAUCUCAACAUCCUAUUGUCAUAUCUCAUAAAUGAGAUAAACUACAAUGGAUAGGAGUACUUUAAUGGAUUUUAGUAUGGCUACUAGUGAAAAGGUAUCCUAUAGUCAAAACAAUGUUUCAAACUAUAACCUUUAGCUACAACCUAGCCACAUAAAACUCAACCUUUCCUUCUACUUCUUUGUUUCUCUUAUAGACUAACUCACACCUAUGGGUUUUAUCAUUUCUGGAGUUUCUAUAGAAAUCCAAACUAUGUUAUAAUACAAAGAUUCUAAUUAUAGCUUCAAAGCUCCUUGCUAAGUUAUGAGCACCAACACGCUCAUUGCUUCAUAAUACAUGGUGUAUAAACCUCCCACUAUGAUGAGUCACUCAUAUACUAGAAGUAAUGGGAAUGAUAUCUCACUGGAUCCAUAGUAUCUUGUGUAAAACUAGGACUAUCCUUUAAGUUUCAGUUGUGUGUCAGUGUAUGAAUUAGUGGAGAAAUGCCAGUCAUGCAAUGCUUAGGUUAGUGGAGAUUUAAUGGUCAUAUUAUGAAAAUUUCCAUGGCUACAUACAGUGAAGAACAUAUGUUGCACAAGGUAAAGUGAACCUUCCUUUUACUUGCUAAAAAUGGAGAUCUAAUAUGGUUAAAUUUUUAAUUGUCGAAAGUGGAGAACUCAUGUGGCUGCAAUGCAUGAGAAUUCAAGUCGUGUAGUGUAUGCAAUUUAGUGAUAUGUAAUGGAAUUCAAUUGUGGUUGAGUUAUGGCUUUUUAGGGCUGAAAAUUUACAAUGAUAUGGACUGAAAUUCGGUGAAGUAUUAUGGAGAAAUGAGCUGAAUAUUGUGGUUGAAUUAAGGAGAAAUGUGGUUGAAUUUGUUAGAACAUUAAGUCUUGUUUAUUUGUUGCCAAUUUUGUUUCAAUUAAUAUUUGGUCAUAGAAAUCUUUUUAGAUAGAAACUUGCUCUCCAUUGAAGAUCAAUGGUUGUUGUUCGUCCAAUUGAGAAGUCACAAGUACAUCUAAAAAGGUUUGGCUUGUGGCAUAUAAGACUUGUUUGAGAUAUAAAAGGAUUCUAUAUCAUUUUUUGACUUAAAAUGUUUUUAAAAUAUUUUUAAAAUAUUUUUUCAAGAAGUAGGGAUUGAUUACUACUCAAAAAGUACUUUUUUAUAGUUUGAAACUAACUAUUUAAAACACUUUUGAGUAGUAGUUAAUACCUUUUAACUCAAUUGGCACAUUAAGGAACCUAGCAAGGGUUACUAAUCAGUUUUUGGCAAGUUUUGGUGUUUUUGGUAGCUAUUAAUCAUUGAAACAACCCAAGAAUGAGGGAGAAUUUUGUGAAAUCCAUGGCAACGCAAGUUAAAGCUCAAAUACAUGAAGAAUCCAAGCUUUGGAGCACUUCAUAGCCCUUUGCCAAGCCAAUCAGAGAUGCAAGGAAGAAAACUAGAGGAAAAAAUCCAACAACCAGCAUUUUCGCAUGGUUGUGUGAAAUUUCGCACACCAUGCGAAACCACUUAAGGCAGCCAAAGAAUUUCACACACCAUGCGAAAUUUCGCAUGGUAUGCGAAAUUUCGCAUGGUAUGCGAAAUCUUCCUGUGCACUGACUCCGUUAGAUUUUUAUCUCCAGAUAUUUUGUGUAAUUUCCUAUUUUCUCCUUGUAAUCAACUUAGAUAUUUUUUAUAAUAUUUUUUUUUAUAUAUUUGGUGUGUGUAGCAUAUUUUGAUAUAGACACACAAGGAUGUAAUCAAAGAACACUUGUAAAUUCCCUGUAGUAAGAAAUUUACAGAGCUUUUGCUCUACAUUUCCUUCUCAUUUUGUAUUCACUCUUCUUUCUAGCCAAACAACCUCUGAGGAUGAUUUCUCAGGGGAUGAGUGGCUAGGUUUUAUGUUUCUUGGAGUAAUGGAAGCUAGGUGAAGGACCGAAAUGCAAAGAUGGGAGUUGUCCUUGCUUUAAAUGAAAGUAGUUGUUAACCAUUAAUGGUUUUUAUUUUAGGGUUUAGCUUUAUAUCCCUUAAAAGCACCUUGAAUGGCCAAUACUUCGUAAGCUUUUCAGAUUCUAUGGAUGCUUAUUAAUAGAUCCAUGGAUGUCUAUUAGUUAUCAUUUACGAGCCAUUGGAAGGUGGUUCAAGGUGAGAGUCUUUAGUGUUUGAAGCCAUUAAUGGGAAGCAACUAUUAUUUUUCAUGAACCCUUUGGAUCAAAUCUUAAUUGCUAAAUAUAAAACUGGUUCGGGAGAUAACCAUCCUUUAUGUUAUUGUCCCCAACGCGAGGAGAAGAUCCGGAAUCUCCCCCUUUGUCUAAGGGACCCGAUCCUAGUGAGCUAAAGCUCCAAGAGACCUUUUCUUUGUAGUUAACUUCACUUAUUAUUUUUGCUUAACUUAAAAUCAAUCUUUGCAAUCACAAUUCCAUUUUCUUUAAAAGCUAAUUUUCAUAAGGAUAAACACCAUUUUAUUUCCUUCACUAAAGUCAACUGUACGAUGAAAACCCAUCCCUGUGGAUGAUCCUAGAGCCACUAUACUAUGUUAGCUAUGCUACCCUAGUGUGGGGAGAUUUAGGUUUUAUAAAUUUUGUUGAUAACACCCGUAUGAGCCAGAAUCAAAUGGCAUGACUAUAAUGGGGACGAAUUAGGGACUGCUCAAGCAGUUAUCCCACUCAAAUGAUCAGCCCACUCAAAUGGUCAUGUCAGUCCUGUCAAGUUUAGAAAUGUAUUUUGAAUAAAUUUCACUCAAACUCUAAUUUAGAAACUUGAGAUACCUAAACUCUUAUGGAUUUUGCCUAUCAAUACCUCUCUUGUAACCCUUUAUGGGUUAAAGAUUCAGGCUAAGAGAUCGUAGAGAUCUUAGAUAUUAGAGACCUCUCAUUCUUAAGAGAAGGACUCCUUGUGAAGAAAACCUAAUUGCCACCAUAUUCAUGAUCUCUCAUUCAAGGAUUUGAAUCUUUGAAUCACGGGUUAAAGACUUUAAUCCCUUUGGUGUUACCAAAAGAUCUACUAGGAAGCAAUAAGGAGUUGCUAGGUAGCAGACGUGGAUCAAGUUGUAGGUUCUGGAAAGUAAGUCUUUAAGUUAAAGCAGCCACAUAAAUUUGUGUAACUUGAUUUUGAAUAAUGGAUUUGGAUCGAUAGGUCUUAGACCUCAUGUUUUUUUAUCUCCACUGUUUGUAAGGGUUUUCCAUGUAAAAUCUUGUACCUCUUACAUAUCAUUUUAUUACUACUUAUAUUUUGGUUGAUAAUAUUAAUUAUAUUGAAUUGAUUGGAUAGUUUGCUUUUGAGUUUGUUGGGUUAGUAAUCUUGGUGGUUGUAGUGGUUAAACCUAUAACCAAUUACUGUUAUCCCUAACUUCUCUUCGAAUGUCUUUUGAUUAAUUUGUUGGGUUGUUACUGAGUUUGUUAGGUUGGUUAUUUUGGAUAAUUUUAUUAUUCCUCACAUAUCUCAAUAGAUAUUUUUGAUAUUGACAAUUAUAUUAUCCCUAACAAAUUGCAAGGUAUCCCUAAAAGUUAAAAAUCAUAUUUGUAUAUACCUAAAGUUCUAAGUAUAAUCAUUUAUUUAUUUGUGAUAUCCCCAAUAUCUCUCAAGGUAAAAAGUUGGUUAUAAUUUAUAAAUAUUUAUUUAAAUUUUUAAAUCACCCAUUCACCCCCUCCUCCGUGUUCCCUAUUGGACUUCUGGUCUUCAUUUUAAUGGUAUUAUGGACCCGCAUUUCUCACGUGUGCCCUCACUUGAUCGGCGAGACUUGCUUUUAUAGUAUGAAAAUUUUAGUUUUGGAAAAGUCAGAGUCGCCACUUAUUUUAUUUUAUUUAAUUUUAAAAGGGCAAAUAAAACAAGAAAGAAAACCCUAAAGAAACGACUCCAUAGUUUUUGGAAAAUCGUGUCUUUGAAAAACCCAAGUCUAGGUCCGAUGAUCAGGUUACCUAUUGGGAAGGUACCUUUAAAAGGUAGCGCCCUUCUAAGCCCUACAAAGAUCUCUACUGACUAAGCUGAGGGAAAUGUGGCAAUUAAUUGAUUAACUGAAGAUACCUAGGUAGACUAAGGUGAUUUUAAAAAAUAGCAUGCCAAACAAGAUCAAAUCACAAUAAAGGAGAGUUAGGAUGCAUACUCGAAUUGCUUCUCAAGCGCUAUCAUAAAACAUCAUAGUUAAUAUAGAAAUAUAGCACACAACAUGUAUUUACUUAUAGUGAAUCAAGCAUACAUCUAAGCACCUAAGGAUCACAUCAAUCAUAAAUAAGGCUCACAACAACAUGCAUAUUCAUGGAAUCCCGAAAAGUAGUGAUAAAGAGCAUACUUGGAUAACAUGCAUAAUUUAUAAGAUUCCUCAAAAAAAAAAAAAAGGCUAGAGUGGUUAGGACAAGUAUAUAUAUUAUAUAACACCUUUAUUAUGUCUAAUAUACAGUGCCAAAGCCAAAAUUCAGCUAAGAUAAAUCAAAUGACUCCAAAAAUAAUAACAAUUCAAGCAAGUACUGAGUCAUUAACAUGCAUAUAGUAAAGGGAGCAUCACAAAAAUAAUUUCUAAAAAAUGUCUUGGAGUGGAUUUUAAUCACAAAAAAAUUUCUAGAAACAACUCCUACACGUCUAGAACAAGAUACCAAAAUCCAAACACUCAUUCAAAUGUCAAAUUGCAGCAAAGACGCCCAAAAGUUCCAAAAGGUCCAGAUUAGGUAAAAAAAAAUAGGGGCAUGCAUAAUUUUUUUUUUAAAAAAAUAAUAAAACAUCAGAUAAAAUCAUACAAAAAAUCACACACAUUUUUCAAGGUGUCUAUAUCAUAGGAAAAAUAAAUUCAGGGUUUGAUAGUAUUCAAAAAUAUUUUUAAAAUGCUCCAACUAAUCAUAUAUCUAGAUUCCAUCAUGCAUAGUAGGUACGGAUUUAAAAAAAUCACAUCUCCCUCAAAAAGGCACAUUUUUCAAUAUUUCAUGUAUCUAAUAUAAAUUUCAAGAAGCCUAGAAUUUAGAAAAAAAAAUUUUAAAAGUCGUAUGGUAUUUUAUUUUUGCAAAAAGAUCUCGGUUGUCCAAAACUGGGUGAAAAUGGAGCCCCCCUAAAGACUCAUUUAUAUCUUCUAUUCUAGAAUUGCUUUCUAACUCAAACGAAAUUUUAAAUUCAAGUUCAAGAAGUGAGGAAAAUCAUACAAGUUUCAUAAAAUUUUUAAAACAUUCUAAAGUUAAAACAAAUUUUAAAUCUAAAGGGUCAGUGGUUGAGUGAAAACUGGCAACAAGGAAGAGUUUUGAAAAAAUUUCUUAUGUAGGGGUUCCAUCAAGUCCCCAUUCAAUUUCCAUAAGUUUUACCUGUGUAUCCCCAUUAGUUUGGGAGCACAAGUCCAAACCUAUGUGUAUAAAAACCAAAUUUCUGAAAAACCAACAAAGGAGAAAUGCAACUUAAAUGAAAUUAGUUACAUUAUUUUAAUAGAAAGGGUGUUCUUUGCCUAAAGCUAGAAUGAAUGUUUUCUAAAACCUUUUAUUGGUGAUUUAAAUGCUUUUGAAAAUGACUUUAAGGGAAGUAAAAAAAAGGACCCAAUGGUUUGUUAAAUCCCAUACAAUAGGCACAAAAUAGAGAUUUUUGAUUUCUAACUUGAGAGGGUUUUGAAAAUAAAAGAAAAGCUAAAUUGGAUCCUCUUUUUAGCUACCUUUUAUUUGGGAUCAAGGAGCCAAACUUAUGAUGGAAAAAUUCAUUUUUGGAAAAAGAAAAUUUGAUUCAACUCAAAAUGUCAAUUUAAUAAAGAAAACAUUUUCUAAAAGAAGGUUCAAACUCAAGAAUUCCCUAAGGUGCCUAUAAAAUAAGUGUCAAAGAUAAAAAAACUAACAAUUGAAUCAAAUAUAAGGAAGCCAACAUCAACAAUUAUGUAUUAAACUUUGGAAAGUAAAGAAUUAAAUGAGAACCAAUCAAACUAAAUAAAAUUAUCAACUUGAACAUGCAAGGAUUUUUGGUUAAAAUUAAAAUUAUAGACAACCUUAACAACUGGCAAGAAUCAAUCAAACUAAUAAAUUAAUCCUAAAGACAUCACAUGAAUUUAAAAAAUAAGAACAUAAGAUAUUAAAGACAUGAGACCAAUUAAGAACAUUAACAACUAAGGCAAUUGUGUGGAUUAAAUUCAGAACAGAAUAAUCUAAAACUCAGGGAUUAAAUAAAAUUAUCCGAACUAACAAAAAAAAAAAAAAAACAAUUGAGAACAUGGCAUGGAUUUUAUCUAAAACCAAUAAUUAUAAUUUAGUAAUUAAUAGGAACCAAUCGGAUCAACAAUUUAUCAAUUUAAUGACAUGACAAGGAUUUUACAAAAAUGAAAUUUUAAAAUUCCAAAAUUAUUAAGAAUUAGAUGGAAGCACCCAAAAUAAAAUUUAUCAACAUUCUAAAUAACACAUGUACAUGGAUAGGGCAAAAAUCGAAACUAAACUAGACCCAAAAUUUUUCGAUUUAAACUCAAACCUCCCUAAUUUAAUCUAAAAAGUUCGAAACUGAAACUAAGUAAGCCAAACUCUAUCAAACUGACACAAUAAAUCAAAGCCUCAACCAAUGACGAUCAACACAUUUUUUUUAUGUAAUAAAUCAAGAUUUAAAUAGAACAGAAUUCCAACUUACCUUUCCAAGCAAUGGCGUGGAUUGUGUAUUUCUUAAAAUGGCAGUUGUGCAGAUGAAGAUUGGAUGAGUGGCAAUCUAGAUGGAUUGUCUGUGGCUUUGUAACAUGGAGAAAGAGAAACCCAACAACCUAAAUCUCUUCCAAAACAUGGACUGAUUUCACCCCGAACACUAGCCUGAAUCUCUUCGAAAACACGGACUGAUUUCACCCCGAACAGCAACCUGAAUCUCUUCCAAAACACGGACUAAUUUCACCCCGAACACUAGCCUGAAUCUCUUCGAAAACACGGAUUGAUUUCACCCCGAAUAGCAGUCUGAAUAUCUUCUAAAACACGGACUGAUUUUUACCCUGAACAACAUCUUGAAUCUCCUCCAAAAACAGACUGAUUUCACCUCGAACAGUAGCCCGAAUCUUUUCCAAAAAUCGGACCGAUUUCACCCCGAACAACAGCCUGAAUCUCCUCCAAAAAAUGGAUUGAUUUCACUCCAAACAGCAGACCGAUCUAUUCCAAAAACUAGACUGAUUUCACCCCGAAUAGCAGCCUGAACCUCCUCUAAAAACCGGAUUGAUUUCACCCCGAAUAGUAGCCCGAAUCUCUUCCCAAAAUCAAACUAAUUUUUACCCUGAAGAGCAGCCAGAAUCACCUCCAAAAUCAGACUGAUUUUACCCCAAUGGCAGCCCGAAUCUCUUCAAAAAAUCAAACUGAUUUUUACCCCGAACAACAGCCUAAAUCGUCUCCAAAAAUCGGACUGAUUUCACCCUGAACAUCAGCCCGAAUCUCUUCCAAAAACUGGACUGAUUUUUACCCCGAACAACAACUUGAAUCACCUCUAAAAACUGGACUGAUUUUACCCCGAACGGUAGCCUCAAUCUCUUCCAAAAUCGGACUGAUUUUUACCCCAAACAGCAGCUUUAAUCACCUCAAAAAAACCAGAUAGAUUUUACCCCGAAUAGUAGCCUGAAUCUCUUCCAAAAUCGGACUAAUUUUUACCCCUAAUAGCAACCUAAAUUGCCUCUAAAACACAGACUAAUUUUUCCGCGAACAGCAGUCUGAAUCUCUUCCAAAAACCGGAUUGAUUUCUACCCCAAACAACAGCCUGCAUCGCCUCCAUAAACCGAACUGAUUUUACCCGGAACAGUAGUCCGAAUCUCUUCUAAAACUGGACUAAUUUUUAUCCGGAACAGCAGCCUGAAUUGCCUUCAAAACAUGGACUGAUUUUUCUUGAAUAGCAGCCUGAAUCUCUAUCUAAAAAACGUAGCCUCACCUCUCAAAAAAAUCUUCUAUGCCUCCUCUUUCACAUGGACUCAUUCUCUUUUUUUCUUUUCUUUAAUUUUUUUUUUCCAGACCAACGUGAUUCCCCCCUCCCAAAAAAAACUAGUCAACCCUCUUACCUUUUUCUCUCAUCUCUUUCAUUUUUUUCUCAUUUCCUUCCUUUCAUGCAACUGACCUUUUUUUUUUUUUUUUUUUGCUGUCAAUCUUCUUCUUGUUUUGGUGCUGCCCCCUACUUCCUUUCUGGAUGCGUGUUUGUUAAUGUUUCCUUACGUGCAGCUGCAAACCCUCCCUUAAUGGUGUGUUUUUCUCUUUUCUUUCAGACCACCAUUUUCCUUUUCAAAUCAAUCCCACUCACUCAGGCUCCAUCUUCCUUUUCUGGUGAGUUUUUCUUUUCUCUCUUCCUCUCUCUCUCCAAUUACUAGCGGGCUGUCACAAUUUUCUUUUCCAAAAUGAUCCAUUCCUUUCCCAUGCAUGCUCCAUUUCUUUCCCAUAUGGAGCACGUGGAAUCCUAUGCAAAACCAAUAAUAAAAAUAAUAAAAGGGAAAUAAAAAUACAAAUAAAAGAAAACUAAGGGUUAAAAUAAUAAUAAAAAAACGUGUAACUAAGAAUUAAAAAAAAAUCCAAAAUAUGCAAUUUUAAACGAAAUUUAAAAUAUAGAUCACAUGCAAAACUAAAAUGAAUUACCAACUUAAACAACUUUCUAUCAAAAUAAAUUAAUAAAUAGAUAAAUAAGAAUGAAAUCAAUAUAAUCAUUAAGCUCAUGCAAUUUUCUAAAAAUAAGUAAAUAAAUGAAUAAAACUAAUAAAUUGAGAGAUAAAAAAAAUAAAAAAUCAAACACAUGCAAGCCAUACGAGCUAUGCAACCAUGCAAGCCAUGCAAACCAUGCAUCCAUGUAAAAAAUAAUCUAAAUGGGUCAAGGGUGCCUAAGUGGGCCUAAGGUGAUGCCUAAUGGGCCAAGUGUGCCUAAAUGGGCCUAGGGUGCCUAAGUAGGCCUAGGGUGCUUAAAUGGGCCUAGGGUGCUUAAAUGGGUCUAGGGUACUUAAGUGGGCCUAGGGUGCCUAAAUAGGCCUAAGGUGCCUAAAUGGACCUAGGAUGCCUAAUUGGGCCUAAGGUGCCUAAAUGGGCCUAGGGUGUCCAAAUGGGCCUAGGAUGCCUAUGUGGGCCUAGGAUGGUGCCUAAUGGUCCAAGUGUGCCUAAAUGGGCUUAGGGUACCUAAAUGGGCCUAGGGUGCCUAAAUGGGCGUAGGAUGCCUAUGUGGGCCUAGGAUGGUACCUGAUGGGCCAAGGGUGCCUAAAUGGGCCUAGGGUCCUAAGUGGGCCUAGGGUCCUAAGUGGGCCUAAUGUCAUAGGAUGCUUCAAAUGAGCCUCCUCAUGGGUUUAUAUAAAGCCCAGGAAGCUUCUGGAGACUCCUGGAGCCAUCUACACUAAGCCAUUGGAGGGAAAAGUGUGGAAGGUUCUAGUGAUGCCUAGAAAUGUCCAUACAACUCUAAACUAUGGUGGAAGGCAUGAGAGGAGUCCAAGGCUUUCUAGAGAAUUCUAGAAAUCUCUUGUACAUAGGGUUGUACAUAGAAUUGUGUAGGGUAUUCUAGAAUCUUCUUGAUUUGUAAGGAACCCUCCAAGGUUCCAGAGAGUUCCAUUGGUGCCUAUAAAUAGGUGAGGGCCUCAUUUGGCCAAGGCACCACCCAAAUCACUUCCUAACCAAGCAAGUGAGCUUCCAAGCACUUGUAAAGGCUUCUUUGAGUUAAUAAGAGCUUCCAUUAUUUAAAGAGUUGCCUACUAAGCUUCUUAAGCCUUUGAGUCGUGAGCGCCUUAGCCUAGCAAGCUAAGCAUUGGGGAGCAAGGCUGACUUAGCAAGAUCAAGAGUCUUGACUUGCCUAAGUGCCGCACGAGCUUAGUGAACGACUAAGUCUGUGACACUAAGGUGCCUAAGUGGGCCUAAGGUGCCUAAGUAGGCCUAGGGUGCCUAAAUGGACCUAGGAUGCCUAAUUGGGCCAAAGGUGCCUAAAUGGGCCUAAGAUGCCUAUGUGGGCCUAGGAUGGUGCCUAAUGGGCCAAGUGUGCCUAAAUGGGCCCAAUGUACCUAAAUGGGCCUAGGGUGCCUAAAUGGGCCUAGGGUAUUUAAAUUUGCCUAGGAUGCCUAUGUCAGCCUAGGAUGGUGCCUAAUAGGCCAAAUGUGCCUAAAUGAGCCUAGGGUGCCUAAAUGGGCCUAGGUGCCGAAAUGGGCCUAAGGUGGUGCCAAGAGUAUCUAAGUGAGCCUAAGUCUAAAUUAAGGAUGCCAAGGGUCAAAACGGGGUUAGAUAGAUCCCUCAACCAAAGUCCCUAAGGUGACUUAGAAAAUAUAGACUACACGAGUAGUAAUGAGCCACCAGAGAAUUGUUGUAAAGUACUAAACGAACACACAAUAGGGCAUGUGCUAGUAGGACAAAAUGGAGGGUCUACAGGUAUUUAAGCAAUACCCAUUUUUUUCAGAAUUUGUGGAAGAAAAUGUGAGAAAUGUGUAUGCAUAUGAAGACUUGUAAUGGCUGAAUUUCAAGGGAGAAAUGAGCUGAAUAUGGUGGUUGUGCAUGCAUAAUUAAUGGCUGAAUUUUAUGGUAAAAGAAUGGUGUUUCGGUGGCUGCAUGUGCAUGAAUAUGGAGGCUGAAUUUUAUGGAAAAAAGAAUGGUGUUUUGGUGGUUGAUAUGAGCAUGAAUUUGGAGGCUGGUUUUGCGGUAAAAUAAUUGGGUUUCAGUGGCUUUAAUGGGAAGGCUUGAGGUUCAAUUCCUUAAUGUUGUUUAAUGUGAAUAUUAUGACUGCAUAUAGAGACUUCUCAUGGCUUGUGGCAUAAAAGACUUGUUUGAGAUAUAAAAGGAUUCUAUAUCAUUUUUUGACUUAAAAUGUUUUUAAAAUAUUUUUAAAAUAUUUUUUCAAGAAGUAGGGAUUGAUUACUACUCAAAAAGUACUUUUUUAUAAUUUGAAACUAACUGUUUAAAACACUUUUGAGUAGUAGUUAAUACCUUUUAACUCAAUUGGCACAUUAAGGAACUUAGCAAGGGUUACUAAUCAGUUUUUGGCAAGUUUUGGUGUUUUUGGUAGCUAUUAAUCAUUGAAACAACCCAAGAAUGAGGGAGAAUUUUGUGAAAUCCAUGGCAACGCAAGUUAAAGCUCAAAUACAUGAAGAAUCCAAGCUUUGGAGCACUUCAUAGCCCUUUGCCAAGCCAAUCAGAGAUGCAAGGAAGAAAACUGGAGGAAAAAAUCCAACAACCAGCAUUUUCGCAUGGUUGUGUGAAAUUUCGCACACCAUGCGAAACCACUUAAGGCAGCCAAAGAAUUUCGCACACCAUGCGAAAUUUCGCAUGGUAUGCGAAAUCUUCAUGUGCACCGACUCCGUUAGAUUUUUAUCUCCAGAUAUUUUGUGUAAUUUCCUAUUUUCUCCUUGUAAUCAAUUUAGAUAUUUUUUAUAAUAUUUUUUUUUAUAUAUUUGGUGUGUGUAACAUAUUUUGAUAUAGACACACAAGGAUGUAAUCAAAGAACACUUGUAAAUUCCCUGUAGUAAGAAAUAUACAGAGCUUUUGCUCUACAUUUCCUUCUUAUUUUGUUUUCACUCUUCUUUCUAGCCAAACAACCUUGAGGAUGAUUUCUCAGGGGAUGAGUGGCUAGGUUUUAUGUUUCUUGGAGUAAUGGAAGCUAGGUGAAGGACCCAAAUGCAAAGAUGGGAGUUGUCCUUGCUUUAAAUGAAAGUAGUUGUUAACCAUUAAUGGUUUUUAUUUUAGGGUUUAGCUUUAAAUCCCUUAAAAGCACCUUGAAUGGCCAAUACUUCGUAAGCUUUUCAGAUUCUAUGGAUGCUUAUUAAUAGAUCCAUGGAUGUCUAUUAGUUAUCAUUUACGAGCCAUUGGAAGGUGGUUCAAGGUGAGAGUCUUUAGUGUUUGAAGCCAUUAAUGGGAAGCAACUAUUAUUUUUCAUGAACCCUUUAGAUCAAAUCUUAAUUGCUAAAUAUAAAACUGGUUCGGGAGAUAACCAUCCUUUAUGUUAUUGUCCCUAACGCGAGGAGAAGAUCCGGAAUCUCCCCCUUUGUCUAAGGGACCCGAUCCUAGUGAGCUAAAGCUCCAAGAGACCUUUUCUUUGUAGUUAACUUCACUUAUUAUUUUUGCUUAACUUAAAAUCAAUCUUUGCAAUCACAAUUCCAUUUUCUUUAAAAGCUAAUUUUCAUAAGGAAAAACACCAUUUUAUUUCCUUCACUAAAGUCAACUGUACGAUGAAAACCCAUCCCUGUGGAUGAUCCUAGAGCCACUAUACUAUGUUAGCUAUGCUACCCUAGUGUGGGGUGAUUUAGGUUUUAUAAAUUUUGUUGAUAACACCCGUAUGAGCCAGAAUCAAAUGGCAUGACUAUAAUGGGGACGAAUUAGGGACUGCUCAAGCAGUUAUCCCACUCAAAUGAUCAGCCCACUCAAAUGGUCAUGUCAGUCAUGUCAAGUUUAGAAAUGUAUUUUGAAAAUUUCACUCAAACUCUAAUUUAGAAACUUGAAAUACCUAAACUCUUAUGGAUUUUGCCUAUCAAUACCUCUCUUGUAACCCUUUGUGGGUUAAAGAUUCAGGCUAAGAGAUCGUAGAGAUCUUAGAUAUUAGAGACCUCUCAUUCUUAAGAGAAGGACUCCUUGUGAAGAAAACCUAAUUGCCACCAUAUUCAUGAUCUCUCAUUCAAGGAUUUGAAUCUUUGAAUCACGGGUUAAAGACUUUAAUCCCUUUGGUGUUACCAAAAGAUCUACUAGGAAGCAAUAAGGAGUUGCUAGGUAGCAGACGUGGAUCAAGUUGUAGGUUCUGGAGAGUAAGUCUUUAGGUUAAAGCGGCCACAUAAAUUUGUGUAACUUGAUUUUGAAUAAUGGAUUUGGAUCGAUAGGUCUUAGACCUCAUGUUUUUUUAUCUCCACUGUUUGUAAGGGUUUUCCAUGUAAAAUCUUGUACCUCUUACAUAUCAUUUUAUUACUACUUAUAUUUUGGUUGAUAAUAUUAAUUAUAUUGAAUUGAUUGGAUAGUUUGCUUUUGAGUUUGUUGGGUUAGUAAUCUUGGUGGUUGUAGUGGUUAAACCUAUAACCAAUUACUGUUAUCCCUAACUUCUCUUCGAAUGUCUUUUGAUUGAUUUGUUGGGUUGUUACUGAGUUUGUUAGGUUGGUUAUUUUGGAUAAUUUUAUUAUUCCUAACAUAUCUCAAUAGAUAUUUUUGAUAUUGACAAUUAUAUUAUCCCUAACAAAUUGCAAGGUAUCCCUAAAAGUUAAAAAUCAUAUUUGUAUAUACCUAAAGUUCUAAGUAUAAUCAUUUAUUUAUUUGUGACAUCCCCAAUAUCUCUCAAGGAAAAAAGUUGGUUAUAAUUUAUAAAUAUUUAUUUAAAUUUUUAAAUCACCCAUUCACCCCCUCCUCCGUGUUCCCUAUUGGACUUCUGGUCUUAAUUUUAGUGGUAUUAUGGACCCGCAUUUCUCACGUGUGCCCUCACUUGAUCGGCGAGACUCGCUUUUAUAGUAUGAAAAUUUUAGUUUUGGAAAAGUCGGAGUCGCCACUUAUUUUAUUUUAUUUAAUUUUAAAAGGGCAAAUAAAACAAGAAAGAAAACCCUAAAGAAACGACUCCAUAGUUUUUGGAAAAUCGUGUCUUUGAAAAACCCAAGUCUAGGUCCGAUGAUCAGGUUACCUAUUGGGAAGGUACCUCUAAAAGGUAGCGCCCUUCUAAGCCCUACAAAGGUCUCUACUGACUAAGCUGGGGGAAAUGUGGCAAUUAAUUGAUUAACUGAAGAUACCUAGGUAGACUAAGGUGAUUUUAAAAAAUAGCAUGCCAAACAAGAUCAAAUCACAAUAAAGGAGAGUUAGGAUGCAUACUCGAAUUGCUUCUCAAGCGCUAUCAUAAAACAUCAUAGUUAAUAUAGAAAUAUAGCACACAACAUGUAUUUACUUAUAGUGAAUCAAGCAUACAUCUAAGCACCUAAGGAUCACAUCAAUCAUAAAUAAGGCUCACAACAACAUGCAUGUUCAUGGAAUCCCGAAAAGUAGUGAUAGAGAGCAUACUUGGAUAACAUGCAUAAUUUAUAAGAUUCCUCAAAAAAAAAAAAAAGGCUAGAGUGGUUAGGACAAGUAUAUAUAUUAUAUAACACCUUUAUUAUGUCUAAUAUACAGUGCCAAAGCCAAAAUUCAGCUAAGAUAAAUCAAAUGACUCCAAAAAUAAUAACAAUUCAAGCAAGUACUGAGUCAUUAACAUGCAUAUAGUAAAGGGAGCAUCACAAAAAUAAUUUCUAAAAAAUGUCUUGGAGUGGAUUUUAAUCACAAAAAAAUUUCUAGAAACAACUCCUACACGUCUAGAACAAGAUACCAAAAUCCAAACACUCAUUCAAAUGUCAAAUUGCAGCAAAGACGCCCAAAAGUUCCAAAAGGUCCAGAUUAGGUAAAAAAAAUAGGGGCAUGCAUAAUUUUUUUUUUAAAAAAAUAAUAAAACAUCAGAUAAAAUCAUACAAAAAAUCACACACAUUUUUCAAGGUGUCUAUAUCAUAGGAAAAAUAAAUUCAGGGUUGGAUAGUAUUCAAAAAUAUUUUUAAAAUGCUCCAACUAAUCAUAUAUCUAGAUUCCAUCAUGCAUAGUAGGUACGGAUUUAAAAAAAUCACAUCUCCCUCAAAAAGGCACAUUUUUCAAUAUUUCAUGUAUCUAAUAUAAAUUUCAAGAAGCCUAGAAUUUAGAAAAAAAAUUUUAAAAGUCGUAUGGUAUUUUAUUUUUGCAAAAAGAUAUCAGUUGUCCAAAACUGGGUGAAAAUGGAGCCCCCCUAAAGACUCAUUUAUAUCUUCUAUUCUAGAAUUGCUUUCUAACUCAAACGAAAUUUUAAAUUCAAGUUCAAGAAGUGAGGAAAAUCAUACAAGUUUCAUAAAAUUUUUAAAACAUUCUAAAGUUAAAACAAAUUUUAAAUCUAAAGGGUCAGUGGUUGAGUGAAAACUGGCAACAAGGAAGAGUUUUGAAAAAAUUUCUUGUGUAGGGGUUCCAUCAAGUCCCCAUUCAAUUUCCAUAAGUUUUACCUGUGUAUCCCCAUUAGUUUGGGAGCACAAGUCCAAACCUAUGUGUAUAAAAACCAAAUUUCUGAAAAACCAACAAAGGAGAAAUGCAACUUAAAUGAAAUUAGUUACAUUAUUUUAAUAGAAAGGGUGUUCUUUGCCUAAAGCUAGAAUGAAUGUUUUCUAAAACCUUUUAUUGGUGAUUUAAAUGCUUUUGAAAAUGACUUUAAGGGAAGUAAAAAAAAAGGACCCAAUGGUUUGUUAAAUACCAUACAAUAGGCACAAAAUAGAGAUUUUUGAUUUCUAACUUGAGAGGGUUUUGAAAAUAAAAGAAAAGCUAAAUUGGAUCCUCUUUUUAGCUACCUUUUAUUUGGGAUCAAGGAGCCAAACUUAUGAUGGAAAAAUUCAUUUUUGGAAAAAGAAAAUUUGAUUCAACUCAAAAUUUCAAUUUAAUAAAGAAAACAUUUUCUAAAAGAAGGUUCAAACUCAAGAAUUCCCUAAGGUGCCUAUAAAAUAAGUGUCAAAGAUAAAAAAAACUAACAAUUGAAUCAAAUAUAAGGAAGCCAACAUCAACAAUUAUGUAUUAAACUUUGGAAAGUAAGGAAUUAAAUGAGAACCAAUCAAACUAAAUAAAAUUAUCAACUUGAACAUGAAAGGAUUUUUGGUUAAAAUUAAAAUUAUAGACAACCUUAACAACUGGCAAGAAUCAAUCAAACUAAUAAAUUAAUCCUAAAGACAUCACAUGAAUUUAAAAAAUAAGAACAUAAGAUACUAAAGACAUGAGACCAAUUAAGAACAUUAACAACUAAGGCAAUUGUGUGGAUUAAAUUAAGAACAAAAUAAUCUAAAACUCAGGGAUUAAAUAAAAUUAUCCGAACUAACAAAAAAAAAAAAAACAAUUGAGAACAUGGCAUGGAUUUUAUCUAAAACCAAUAAUUAUAAUUUAGUAAUUAAUAGGAACCAAUCGGAUCAACAAUUUAUCAAUUUAAUGACAUGACAAGGAUUUUACAAAAAUGAAAAUUUAAAAUUCCAAAAAUAUUAAGAAUUAGAUGGAAGCACCCAAAAUAAAAUUUAUCAACAUUCUAAAUAACACAUGUACAUGGAUAGGGCCAAAAUCGAAACUAAACUAGACCCAAACUUUUUCGAUUUAAACUCAAACCUCUCUAAUUUAAUCUAAGAAGUUCGAAACUGAAACUAAGUAAGCCAUACUCUAUCAAACUGACACAAUAAAUCAAAGCCUCAACCCAAUGACGAUCAACACAUUUUUUUUGUUAUGUAAUAAACAAGAUUUAAAUAGAACAGAAUUCCAACUUACCUUUCCAAGCAAUGGCGUGGAUUGUGUCUUUCUUAAAAUGGCAGUUGUGCAGAUGAAGAUUGAAUGAGUGGCAAUCUAGAUGGAUUGUCUGUGGCUUUGUAACAUGGAGAAAGAGAAACCCAACAGCCUAAAUCUCUUCCAAAACAUGGACUGAUUUCACCCCGAACACUAGCCUGAAUCUCUUCGAAAACACGGACUGAUUUCAUCCCGAACAACAACCUGAAUCUCUUCCAAAACAUGGACUAAUUUCACCUCGAACACUAGCCUGAAUCUCUUAGAAAACACGGAUUGAUUUCACCCCGAAUAGCAAUCUGAAUCUCUUCCAAAACACGGACUGAUUUUUACCCUGAACAACAUCUUGAAUCUCCUCCAAAAACCAGACUGAUUUCACCUCGAAUAGUAGCCCGAAUCUCUUCCAAAAAUCGGACCGAUUUCACCCCGAACAACAGCCUGAAUCUCCUCCAAAAAAUGGAUUGAUUUCACCCCAAACAACAGAUCGAUCUAUUCCAAAAACUAGACUGAUUUCACCCCGAAUAGCAGCCCGAAUCUCUUCCAAAAAUCAAACUAAUUUUUACCCUGAAGAGCAGCCUGAAUCGCCUCCAAAAUCGGACUGAUUUUACCUCGAAUGGCAGCCUGAAUCUCUUCAAAAAAUCAGAUUGAUUUUUACCCCGAACAACAGCCUAAAUCGUCUCCAAAAAUCGGACUGAUUUCACCCUGAACAUCAGCCCGAAUCUCUUCCAAAAACUGGACUGAUUUUUACCCCGAACAGCAACUUGAAUCGCCUCUAAAAACUGGAUUGAUUUUACCCCGAAUGGCAGCCUCAAUCUCUUCCAAAAUUGGACUAAUUUUUACCCCAAACAGCAACUUGAAUCACCUCAAAAAAACCAGAUAGAUUUUACCCUGAAUAGCAGCCUGAAUCUCUUCCAAAACCGGACUAAUUUUUACCCCUAAUAGCAACCUAAAUUGCCUCCAAAACACAGACUAAUUUUUCCGCGAACAGUAGUCUGAAUCUCUUCCAAAAAUCGGAUUGAUUUCUACCCCGAACAACAGCCUGAAUCGCCUCCAUAAACCGAACUGAUUUUACCCAAAACAGUAGUCCGAAUCUCUUCCAAAACUGGACUAAUUUUUAUCAGGAACAACAGCCUAAAUUGCCUCCAAAACAUGGACUGGUUUUUCUUGAACAGCAGCCUGAAUCUCUCUCUAAAAAACGCAGCCUCACCUCUCAAAAAAAUCUUCUAUGCCUCCUCUUUCACAUGGACUCAUUCUCUUUUUUUCUUUUCUUUAAUUUUUUUUUUUUCCAGACCAACGUGAUUCCCCCCUCCCAAAAAAAAACUAGUCAACCCUCUUACCUUUUUCUCUCAUCUCUUUCAUUUUCUUCUCAUUUCCUUCCUUUCAUGCAACUGACCUUUUUUUUUUUUUUUGGUGUCAAUCUUCUUCUUGUUUUGGUGCUGCCCCCUACUUCCUUUCUGGAUGCGUGUUUGUCAAUGUUUCCUUACGUGCAGCUGCAAACCCUCCCUUAAUGGUGUGUUUUUCCCUUUUCUUUCAGACCACCAUUUUCCUUUUCAAAUCAAUCCCACUCACUCAAGCUCCAUCUUCCUUUUCUGGUUGAUUACUACCCAAAAAGUGUUAUUUUACACCUUUAAUUCAUUAUGUUUUAAGCACUUUUGUGUAGUAGUUCUCCAUCUUUAUUCCAAUUGGCAUGUUAAGGACCUAGCAAUGACUUCUAAUCAUAUUUGUGGCUAGUUUUAGUGUUUUGACAGCUUUUUGAAUCAUUAAGACAAGCCAAGUAAAGGAGAGAAGCAAAGAGGAAAAACAAGCAAAGUGAAGAAAAUAGAGGACAGCAGCUGUAGUCUUCCUUCACGCUUUUUGAGCACUUCCCGAAGUCCAUUUUCUACAUGCUAUAUACCAUUUCAAAGCUCAGGAAGUCAAGAAUCCAAUGCUUCAAACUGUGUACGAUUUGAAGCUGAAAUGAGGAAGAUAUGGCCUUUGGAAGACAACUGCAUCACCUUGAGAAAAUUUCGCAAGGAGAUUUUCUUCAUGGUGCGAAAUUUGGACCCUUCAUCUUUCCCAUUUCGAAAAUGCCUUUGAAAUCCUCUAUUUCUCCACGCACGCACCACCGACUUCCCAGAUAUUUUUAGCUUGAUAUUUUCUCAUGUAAAUUCCUUUUGUAACCUUAUAUUCAGCCGACAUAAGGCUUUAUCUUGUAAUUUUGCUAUAUAUAGAGGUGCACAACACCUCCACAAUAUAUUGGGGGAUCGAUCCUCUGUACAUUAACUUAGAAAUAUAUAAAGCUCUGUUUUUCUCUCUUCUCCUGUUCUUCCCCAUUUCUAUUUUCUUAGUAGUCAAACAGCCUCUGAGGGCUUUUCCUCAGAGGAUGAUUGGCUAAAACUUUUAGUUUCUCAAAGUAUGGAUGUUAUGUGAUGGCUUGGAUGCAAUCCCAUGGAAAUUUCUCGCACCUGGAAGGUAAGGUAGUCGUUUUUCAUUAAUGGUUCAUUAAUGCAAAGUUUGGUUUUUAUUUCCUUUGGACAACUUCCAACGGCCAAUACUUGAUAAGCUUUUGGAUUUCUAUCCAUUAGUUAUCUCCUACGAUCUAUUGGAAGGUGAGGUUUUCAAUUCCAAGUUUUGCAUUAAUCCGUUAGAACCAAUUUCAAUGGCCAUUGAAAGGUGAGUUUAUCACUUGGAAUGACUUUGAGUUGCCAAUAUUUGGUAAGCUUUUGGCUUUAGACCAUUAGUUAUCUCUUACGAGCCAUUCAAAGGAAGUCUAAGGUGAAUAACCAUUGAUGAAAUUCACUACCAUUUGUUUUGCCAUUUUAAAGGAUUAAAACUUGAUUUGCUAAAUCCAUACCGGUUCGGGAAGCAAGCAUCACCAUAGUUGCAACCCCAACGCGAGGAGCCUAUCCUGAGAUUUCCAAUUUGCAUAAGAGCUAGAGCAUAGCUAUCCUAUCUUUGAGAAACUUGUUUUUACACCCUUUCAUUUUAGUCUUUAAUGUUAGCUUAGAUUAGUUUAAAUCUUAAACAUUUAUAUCUUCUUUUAAAGCUAACAUCCAUAAGAAAAUCACCUAUUUUCCUAAUUUGAAUAUCACUAGUGUUUGCAAAAACCCUUCCUAGUGAACGAUCCUAGAACCACUAUGCUAUAGUAGCUUGGCUACUUUAGUAAUAGUAUUUAAGGUAUAAAUUUUGUUGAUACGCCUUUAAAGCUAAGCUACCAUGAGUCGCAUCACUGGUGAGUUUUUCUUUUCUCUCUUCCUCUCUCUCUCCAAUCACCAGUGGGCUGUCACAAUUUUCUUUUCCAAAAUGAUCCAUUCCUUUCCCAUGCAUGCUCCAUUUCUUUCCCAUAUGGAGCACGUGGAAUCCUAUGCAAAACCAAUAAUAAAAAUAAUAAAAGGGAAAUAAAAAUACAAAUAAAAGAAAACUAAGGGUUAAAAUAAUAAUAAAAAAACGUGUAACUAAGAAUUAAAAAAAAAUCCAAAAUAUGCAAUUUUAAACGAAAUUUAAAAUAUAGAUCACAUGCAAAACUAAAAUGAAUUACCAACUUAAACAACUUUCUAUAAAAAUAAAUUAAUAAAUAGAUAAAUAAGAAUGAAAUCAAUAUAAUCAUUAAGCUCAUGCAAUUUUCUAAAAAUAAGUAAAUAAAUGAAUAAAACUAAUAAAUUGAGAGAUAAAAAAAAUAAAAAAUCAAACACAUGCAAGCCAUACGAGCUAUGCAACCAUGCAAGCCAUGCAAACCAUGCAUCCAUGUAAAAAAUAAUCUAAAUGGGUCUAGGGUGCCUAAGUGGGCCUAAGGUGAUGCCUAAUGGGCCAAGUGUGCCUAAAUGGGCCUAGGGUGCCUAAGUAGGCCUAGGGUGCUGAAAUGGGCCUAGGGUGCCUAAAUGGGUCUAAGGUACUUAAGUGGGCCUAGGGUGCCUAAAUAGGCCUAAGGUGCCUAAAUGGACCUAGGAUGCCUAAUUGGGCCUAAGGUGCCUAAAUGGGCCUAGGGUGUCUAAAUGGGCCUAGGAUGCCUAUGUGGGCCUAGGAUAGUGCCUAAUGGUCCAAGUGUGCCUAAAUGGGCUUAGGGUACGUAAAUGGGCCUAGGGUGCCUAAAUGGGCGUAGGAUGCCUAUGUGGGCCUAGGAUGGUGCCUGAUGGGCCAAGGGUGCCUGAUGGGCCAAGGGUGCCUAAAUGGGCCAAGGGGGCCUAAGUGGGCUUAGGGUUCCUAAGUGGGCCUAGGGUGCCUAAAUGGGCGUAAGGUGCCUAAAUGGGCCUAGGGUGCCUAAGUGGGCCUAGGGUCCUAAGUGGGCCUAAUGUCAUAGGAUGCUUCAAAUGAGCCUCCUCAUGGGUUUAUAUAAAGCCCAAGAAGCUUCUGGAGACUCCUAGAGCCAUCUACACUAAGCCAUUGGAGGGAAGAGUGUGGAAGGUUCUAGUGAUGCCUAGAAAUGUCCAUACAUCUCUAAACUAUGGUGGAAGGCAUGAGAGGAGUCCAAGGCUUUCUAGAGAAUUCUAGAAAUCUCUUGUACAUAGGGUUGUACAUAGAAUUGUGUAGGGUAUUCUAGAAUCUUCUUGAUUUGUAAGGAACCCUCCAAGGUUCCAGAGAGUUCCAUUGGUGCCUAUAAAUAGGUGAGGGCCUCAUUUGGCCAAGGCACCACCAAAAUCACUUCCUAACCAAACAAGUGAGCUUCCAAGCACUUGUAAAGGCUUCUUUGAGUUAAUAAGAGCUUCCAUUAUUUAAAGAGUUGUCUACUAAGCUUCUUAAGCCUUUGAGUCGUGAGCGCCUUAGCCUAGCAAGCUAAGCAUUGGGGAGCAAGGCUGACUUAGCAAGAUCAAGAGUCUUGACUUGCCUAAGUGCCGCACGAGCUUAGUGAACGACUAAGUCUAUGACACUAAGGUGCUUAAGUGGGCCUAAGGUGCCUAAGUGGGCCUAGGGUGCCUAAAUGGACCUAGGAUGCCUAAUUGGGCCUAAGGUGCCUAAAUGGGCCUAAGAUGUCUAUGUAGGCCUAGGAUGGUGCCUAAUGGGCCAAGUGUGCCUAAAUGGGCCCAAGGUGCCUAAAUGGGCCUAGGGUACCUAAAUGGGCCUAGGAUGCCUAUGUCGGCCUAGGAUGGUGCCUAAUAGGCCAAAUGUGCCUAAAUGAGCCUAGGGUGCCUAAAUGGGCCUAGGUGCUGAAAUGGGCCUAAGGUGGUGCCAAGAGUAUCUAAGUGAGCCUAAGUCUAAAUUAAGGAUGCCAAGGGUCAAAACGGGGUUAGAUAGAUCCCUCAACUAAAGUCCCUAAGGUGACUUAGAAAAUAUAGACUACACGAGUAGUAAUGGGCCACCAGAGAAUUGUUGUAAAGUACUAAACGAACACACAAUAGGGCAUGUGCUAGUAGGACAAAAUGGAGGGUCUACAGGUAUUUAAGCAAUACCCAUUUUUUUUUCAGAAUUUGUGGAAGAAAAUGUGAGAAAUGUGUAUGGAUAUGAAGACUUGUAAUGGCUGAAUUUCAAGGGAGAAAUGAGCUGAAUAUGGUGGUUGUGCAUGCAUAAUUAAUGGCUGAAUUUUAUGGUAAAAGAAUGGUGUUUCGGUGGCUGCAUGUGCAUGAAUAUGGAGGCUGAAUUUUAUGGAAAAAAGAAUGGUGUUUUGGUGGUUGAUAUGAGCAUGAAUUUGGAGGCUGGUUUUGCAGUAAAAUAAUUGGGUUUCGGUGGCUUUAAUGGGAAGGCUUGAGGUUCAAUUCCUUAAUGUUGUUUAAUGUGAAUAUUAUGAUUGCAUAUAGAGACUUCUCAUGGCUUGAUUUUCAAUGGAGAAGACAAUAGUAACUAGCAAUUUGGAUAUCACUUUGCAUCAUCGGAAUUGGAGGUAAGUGUUUAAGACUUUGUUUUUUAUUAUUAUUCUCAAUCUCCAUCUUCUUCUUCUCUUAUUUUGCAUCAUUUGGAUAUGAAACUUUGUCAUGAUAUGUGUGGAUGUAUAGGUCGCACAGAUUGUUGAUCAAUUGAUGAUGAUGAUAUAUUGAUUUUAUGUUGAUGCUUGUUAAGUGAUAAUUGUAUGAUUAGAACUGAUUCUUCUUUAAUUUUUUAUUUUUUUAUUUUACCUAAGUAAGUCAUUGGAUAAACACAUGAAAAUUGGCUUUUAUAUGAAUGUAAAUCCAUUCUCUUUGAUUUUGUGUUUUUGGCUAAUGGAUGCUUAUAGCUCACCUUUCAUGAUACACACACUUGACAUUAAUAGAUGAUCACAAGUUUAGGCUUGAUUAGGCACUUUCUAAGGAUAUUUUUGUAUCAUAACUUGGCACCUAAAAUAGAUCACUAAUGGUCUUGUAUACAACUACACUUUAGGUUAACCUUUGGAUUCACAUUAGUUCACAAGUAAGUUCACAUUCACAUGCUUUCACUUCUUUUGAUUAUUUGGUGUUUGAUAUCUCAUGGGUUUUAAUGCUUUUAAAAAAAAUUUCAACCCUUUCCAUAAAUAAAUCAAUCCUUCAACCUCAUUCAAAAUUCAUGAUUAUGUCAUUAGGUGUGAAAAUGUAUUUUUCAAAAGUCAUGCUACCAAUUUCAAUCGGUACGCAUCUUUCCAUUAAUUUUUAAAUGAAUUUCAAUUUUGAAAUACAUGAAAUAAAUUCAUGACUCCACAUAAAUGGGGUAAUUCCUUACCUUGGUGAGCUUAUCCAUGAUUAGAUGAGGUUAAGAAAGUAUGGAUAAUUUUCAUGGACAUUAAUUUGGGAAGUGGUAAAUCCCUACAUUCAAGUUCUUCAAAAACAAAUAUUUUACUCUCUUUGGGUAUUUUGUUGAACCUUUGGAUGAAAAAUUAAAUUCAGAUUAUUUAAGUCCUUCCUAAAAUUUUUCUAAUAACUAAAUGAUGUUAUAGACUUUCUAAAUGUGCUAAUAUAAUUUUUUUUGAGUUCAAAAUUGUUUUCAAUUUAUAGAUAUAAAUCAAUCUUUCCACAUAUUCAUUUUCACUAUGUUAUGGACACUAGGAAUUUUUUUCUAAAAUUAAAUUAUUUAAUGACUUCCUUAAUUCCUUUUGAUAUUUUUCCUUUAAUCUAGACUUCUUGAAUUUAAUCUUAGGUACCUAAAACACUCAAAACGGAUUUCCCAAGUAGGAGAUAUAAUUUUUUUUUUCUCCUAAUGGUUCUUUUCAAGAGUUAAGGGGGUGUUUAUUUAAUUUAAAUAUGUUAUGUGUGUGAUCAUACUUUAUGCCUAUUUUUCAUGAAAAUUAGACAUAUUGAAUAGGUUGUACAAAAUUGUUUAGGAUUUUCAAGCAUCUCUGAGUCAGUAAAAUAAUUUAACUUUUGCAUGUCAUGGAAAUACGCUUUGUUCUGGACCAAUUGGGAGUUUAUAAAAACUAGUAUUAAAAAAAACAUAAUUAAAUAAUUUUACCUUUUAGGUUGUAAUCUAGACACAUAGAAGAGAUUGCCUAAUUUUUUUCAUAAUGAAAUUACACUUCUAGAUAAUUAGUAGAGACCUAUUUUAGGACUUAGAGGGUUGCUACUUUAUAGUACCUUCUUGAUAUGUAACCAAACCCCUAGACUUGGAUUCAAUUUUUAAAGACAUGUUUUUCCAAAUAAGGAGUCAUUUUUAGUAUUUUAUUUCUUAUUUUGUUUUUCCUUUAAAAUAUAGAAAAAAAUAAGUGGUAACUCCAAUUUUUACAAAAUAAGUUUUGCAUUAAAAAGCAAAUCUCACCAUUGAACAAGAAUGUACGUGACAAAUGCAAGUCUGCACUAUGGUAUACCAUUAGAUUAGUUUUGGUUCCACCCACAAAUAUGUAAGGAACAUCUAAGGCUACCUGCUUCCGUAAGUUUCACUAUGUUGGGCAUUGUAUUAACAAUGUAACAAUUUUUAUUUAUUUAUAAUAUAUGCACAUUUAUUGAAAAAUAUAUAUGCUUUAAGACUUUAUGAAAAAUAACACAUGUGAUACAAGUUUAUUCACUCCUUUUAUUAAAUAUUUUUAGGUAUACUUAGAUUUUGGGAAUAAGUGACAUGUGUAUGAAAGGUGCAAAAGCCUCUUUAUUUCUUUAGCUAAGAGACUAAUUUAAUUAGAUAUUUUUUGUAUUAAUGGUUCACUUUACUACGUACUACUUUUUAGGGGAUUUGUCAUAAUUUAAUUUAUGGAUUUUUGUAUGAAAAGAUAAAUUGCAAUUAAGUUAGAACUUUUUUGUUAGCUUAAUUACUACUUCUCAUGUCAAACCACACAUGUGAAAUGAUUGUGGCGUCCUAACCUCCGGGAUGGGUCACAUCAUUGGCUUACAUUUCCAUGAGAAGGGUUAUGAUAAAUUAGCAAUGAUGCUUCAUGCUAACGUGCCUUCAAAUUUUUAGGUUGAUGUUUUCCUUGUUGCACCAUAUCUCAUCAACAAGAUACCUUCCACAACUUUGAACUUCGACACCUACAUUAAAAGUAAAUAUUUCUCAAAAGGUAUAGCAAACACAAAUUCACCCAGAAGACAUACCCUUUUUGUCUUCCUAGCCUAUUGCUCUGUUCAAAAGAGAUAAAUGCUUGCAUGUAUCCCCAAACAAAUAGAGUUUAUGAAGACAUGUUUCUACUUGCAAACACUAAUGCUGUGCAUGGAAAUCCAUAGCUCAGUUCCUUUCCUAAAAGGAUGAAUGGCUCACACCACCGGGCGAAAUAAGUAUUCAACAGCACUCGAGCCUUCAAGCCAAAUACAGUGUCAUAUUGCCUACUAUUGACAUAACACCUAUCACUAGUAAUCUCCACCCUCCUACAUUUAGGUUGUAAACUUUUUUAAAGAGAUCCUAAACUAAAUUAAAUUGCUUAAUUCUUAAAAUCCAUGUAGAUUCUCUUUAAUUUACAGCAUGGAUGUAAUAAGUCUAACAGGCCCUUCCUCUUUUGUCAUUCUCUUUAGCUCCUGUUCAAACCUUUCCAUGACUGGCGGAGGCAGGCAUAUAGGUAUAACAUUCCCUUCUUCUCCUUUGCUGUUCCUGAACCGCAUACAGAAGCUAAUAUUAGAUAAAGCCCUAGCAACCCCACCAUAGACUGGCUUCCCCCACCCGAAGUCGAUCUCUCCAAUCCCGGCACGUGUGACAUCUGAAAUAAGAUAGUUCCCCGGCUGCGUAAAUGAGGGACGGCCCUUGAUGACCAUAUGAUCUGCCACUGAUUUCACAUACUCUUGGCUCAUUUCCGCCUUGGCUUUCUUCAGUAACCUUAUCGCAUAUUCCAAUGGGUUUUUACAUAGCAUUCCAGCCUUAGUAAUUGAAGCUGGAUACACAAAAGCAUUUCCGUAGUAUCCUGGAGGCAGAUCGAAACCGCGCUUGCCUCGCAUAUUGAUUAAGCAUGAAAUGCGAACAACUUCAUCAGGGUCUACUGCAAAUGCAAUUGUGCGGCAUCUCCAUACAUACGCUAUUAGAACCUCAAACGUCGAGCAGGCACCGAGGCUUGCAGGAAGUCGGUUCCUAAGUGCUCUUAUCUCCUUGGGGCCAAAGAAGAAUGAUCGAUGAACCAAAUUAUUUUCGUCCAUGGUCAUUAGUGUGCCCUUGGUAUUGGUUACCUCCUCGUAUUCAUGAUGUAUACGGGUAAUUCGUGGCGGAUUUCGGGCAUUUAACAGCUCUCUUUGCCAUAUGGGCAGCAGAGAUGGCACAGACAGACCUUGAGCCAUCUCGCUUAUGGCGUCGAGGAAUUGGACCAAGCCAGGACCAUCACUCAUUGUGUGGUUUAGGCGCAAUGCAAAUAUAAAUCCUCCACACCUCAAUCGGGUCACCUACGUUGUACCAAGAUUUAUUUAUAAAUGUAUGCUUUAGCAACAUCCAAUGAUUUGUCUUAUUAAACUUAACAUUUAUUACUUAAUAACUUAAGUUUAUUAAUUUAAAUUGUUAACUUAAAUCUUAUUAUCUAAAUAUUAGGUUAUUUGAUAAAAUUUAUUUCAAAUCAUCAAAUUGACAUAUUUACCCUCCUUAAUUUUGAUUAAUAUUUAUUCUAAUUGACUUUAAUUUAUAUUUAUUUUCAUUAAUUUUAAGUAAUAAAUAUAUUUAUAAAACAUUCAUAUUUAUAUUAUUGUAGAUAUCUAAAAAUAACUAUAAAAUAUUUAUUAUAAAAAGUGGUUUCAAAAAGUUAUUUUUAGUAUUCCAGAAAACUAAAUGUUUUGACUUUUUCUAUUCCAUUAAAAAUUAAAAAAUAAGUAAUAAGUAAAAAAAAAUUAAAAACAAAUCAUCUAAAAUGUGAAAGUAAAUUACAUUUAACAUUAAGUUAAAUAAAUAAAUAAAAACAAAUACCACUUUAGUUAAAUAAGUUAUUUUAUCAAAUAUCAUUGAUGAUGGAGAAUAUUUACCUGAAUUAAGAUAAGAGGAGAACCAAGAAUUCCCCCAGAGCCAGGGACAUCAUACAGAAGCUCCUCGAAGCAGGGACACAUUGGUUGAAUUGCAUCACCAAGAUUCUCAAGUGUGGUAUCGGCAUCGGCUUCAAUGAACAAGACCCCUUCACCGGUGCAGUCCACCAUGAGUUUUCUAUUAUCCCCUUCAAUCAGCCUGCCUGCAAAUGGGUAGUAGUAAACAAGCGCCUUGCCUAGAGCUUCUUUAAUGACCUUUGCAGGGUCUUUUCCUUUCAUUAAAGGAUUGUUCGGGUAAAACAUUAUCACAGGAAUUUGAAAGCGAAGGCCUUCUUGAUCAUCUAAAUCAGAAAGCUGCUUCACCUCUCGUGGGGUAGGGUUUGUAGGCCGAACAAACUCUGGAGCACGCCGUUUAACCGAGAAUACUAGAGGAGACGAUGAUGAUGCCAUGUCCUUCCAGGCUAGGAGUUUGUUGAUAGAAUAUAGAAAAAAUGAUAAAGAGAAAAUUGAAGGAGUUUAUGUGAUGGUCUGCUUUGAGAAGAAGGUAGCUGAUAUUUAUAGCCUAUUGCUGCACUCCAAUAACGCGGCGGAGCAUCUUUCUCAGCCUACGACACGGUUCAGAUAAGAGGUAGACUUUUAGUUGUGUUUCACCUGUUUUUUUUCUCUCCAGGCCCCACUAUCUUAAUGCACCUAAAAUAUCAUUACUACUCUUUUCUUCUGCACCACACCUUUUUUUGUCUUCUUUUCUCAUAUUUUUUUUUCAUCUCUUCAACAAAAGUCUAAAUUCAAAGCUUAUUCUCCCAGGUUUGUUUGUGAUCCAAAAAGUGUUUAAAUUAAGUUCAAAGUACAUUUCAACCUCUUUUGUAGAUUUUAGUUUAUGUUCAUAUACAUUAUAAUAAUGUUUGUUUUAUAUAAAUGUAUUUUAAAGGCUAUUAAUUAUUUAUAAAACUAUUAACAAAUGUUUAUUAUAAAAAUAGUUAGGGAAGAUUUAGGAAUUAUUUAGAAAAUAUUUAUUAUAAGGGCUAUCCAUUGGCUUAAUUAUGUGUUUGUUUCACGACCCCCUUAAAAGCCAUGGUCCUUUCCUCUACGUUAUGUCUCUUUCAAUGUCAGCACGAAAAUAGUUAGGGAAGAUUUAGGAAUUAUUUAGAAAAUAUUUAUUAUAAGGGCUAUCCAUUGGCUUAAUUAUGUGUUUGUUUCACGACCCCCUUAAAAGCCAUGGUCCUUUCCUCUACGUUAUGUCUCUUUCAAUGUCAGCACGGUCCCCUCCUAUCAUAAAAUCACUAGAAAUUAUUGUACUCCAUUGUGCAAUACAUGUCCUUCUCUCUCUCUCUCCCCCUCUCUCUCUCUCUCUUUCUCUUUGUACACAUACAAAAUUUCAGUUAAUUAAAUUAUUAUUAAAUUCCUCUUUAAAAUUUUGAUUUCUUGGUGAAAUUUGAAAGACUACAAAAUUAAAUUUUACAAAACAAAAACAAAUAUGUCAAUUGAAGUUCAAAAGAGAAUUAUAAAUAAAUAUUUUUUUAUAGGUAAAUUUCUUGAACAAAAGAAACAAAUAUUUUUAUUAAAAUAAAAAAAAGAAUUAAAAAUAAAUAAAUAUUCUUUUGUUAGCAAAUCUCUUUAAUAUGGAAGAUAAGUUUCUAAAAUCAAAAUGUCAAAUUCUUUGAAUUAAACAAAUUCAAUCUUGGGAAGUCCAAAUUUAAUUCUCUAACUUCACCAAUAAAUAAUAAUGACUUCCUUCAAUGGAGGGAAUCAAUAAAAUAAUUUCAUACAAGGAAAAAUGUCUUCACAAAAAAAAAAAAUGUUUCAUAAAAUUUCUUUGUAAGUUCGAGAAAUUAUAAAAGCAUUAUAAAUGUGAUCUUGUCUUUUGACAAAGUCAUUUGGGAAUAAGUCAUUUUAAACCCUAAAUUGAUUUUCAAAGCAAAGAAACACUUCAUCAUUGUCUAUUAAAUUAUGAUCAAAGUAAAGGAAUGAGAGAAAAAAAAUAUUCUUUUGUAAAGAAUAUUAUCUAAGAGUUUGUACCCCACAAUUAUUUUAAUAAAAACAAUUGUUAGCAUAUUUUUUCUAUUAUUUUAAUUGUUUCACAAGACUUCAAACAAUUUGUACGUAUAAAUUUAUGGCAAGGAAAGUUGAUAGAAUUUUCUUUUGGUUUAGUUUUUUAGGAAAAUGUUGAGAACUAUAAAAAUUAAAGGCAUGUUUGAUAAGUGUUUUCAAAAACAAUUUUGAAAAAUGGUUUUUGAGAAUGAUUUUUAAAAAUUAUUCUUUGAUUUUUAUAGAACAAAAGUUUAUUUGAAAACUUAAAAUGUUUUCAACCUGUUCUUAAUAUUUUUAAACAUGUUUUAAAAAUAAUUUUUAUAUUUAGUAUUUUAUUUUUAAUCAUUCUACAUAUUUGUAUAAUUAUUUCUUAAAAUAAUCCUUAAAAAACAAGUUAAAACAAUAGAAAACUACAAAAAAAUGUUAUCUAAAAAUACUUUAUUUUCUAUUUUUUUUAAAAAAAAAAUUUGAUUAUCUAAUAUGUUUUCUGUGUUUUUUUUUUAACAACAAAAUACUAUUCUAAAAAAUAUUUCCAAUUAAGCACUAAAUCUUUUAGAAUACCCUGUCCCCAAACUUUCAUCACCCUUUUUAUAAGAAAAAUGGGAAGAAAUUCUUUUAACAUUUUCCUUUAUUCUUACAUUUUUUUCCACGUUAUCCAUAGAUAAUAAAAUCAUUUCCCUUACCAUUUUUAGCUUCUUAAAAGAAUAAAUAGUACAUAUAACAAAUGCUCGCUCAAUGGUUCCCAAUCUUUUCUCACUUUCUUUCAUUGGUAAAUGAGGAAAAUUGGUUAUGCAAUGCAUUAAAUUUAGCAGUUUGCAACAAUAUAUUAAUCUUGUAUAAUAUAUAUUUUUUUUUAUAAAUUGCAAAAAUAUAUAUGUCAAUUUAUUUAUAUUUUUUCUUAGAAACCAAAUGGUGAUUAUUCUUACUUUAUUUAUUUUUAUAUAUUUUUAAUUGGAGUGUUUUCUAUGUCACAUGUUGAUCUUGCAAAUCAUCAGGUUCUCUUAAAAAGCUCCUCAUAUUUGGAAAUCCACACACUGCAAAAAACCAUUAGAUAUCAAAGUUAUACUCUUCAUGACAUUCUUCAUGGUAAGUUAUAUUCAAAUUCAACAACAUAAAGUUUAUACCAAAUUAGAUAUGAAAGUAAAUUACAUUCGGUAUUAAGUUAAAAAUAAAUAAAUACUAUCUAAAUUAAUUAUUUUAACUUGAUAAUUAAAGUCAAAAAUAAUUUUAAGUUAUAAUAGUAAGUUAUUUAAUCAAAUAUCAUUUUUCGGUUAUUUAUUACAAAUGUUUUAAAAUAUUUAUUACGAUUACUAAGACAUUGAAAAGAAAAAAUGGGGGAAGAAAACCAAGAAGAUGAGUAUGCAUUAAUUUGAAAUGGGGUGUUUAGUCUUUCUAAUGGAUAUUUGUAUUAAAAAAAAUGAUACCUAAAGAAAUUAAAUUAGGUGGAUACAAAUAUAAAUUAAAAAAAAAAGGAAAAUCCCAAGAUAUAUGCUGAAAUUAUAACUUGUAAUAAAUGUCAAAAUCACCCUUAUGCUCAUUUUGUUCAAAAGUCUAUAAAGUAAUCUAAUUAUCUAUUUUACCUAAAAUUAGUUAGUGAGUUGUACCCAUCAAAAUUGUAAACAAACCUCGAUUUGUUUCAUGAUAUUCAAGUAUAAAAAUAUCAUUUUCUUUAAUAUUAUUUUUCUUCUUUGAAUAUUUUUUAAAAAAUCAAAAUUAUUUUUUUAUAUUUGAACUUCAUUGAAAAUGUGAAGAAAUAAUAAUAAUAAUAAAAAUGAAGAAAAAUUCUAAAAAUUGUCUUCCUCAUUUUUCUUAUACUCAAACGUGGAAUCCGAGUGUCAUAUCAUAUUGAGUUUGUGGAAGCUAACCCACUUACACAGCCCGAGAACCCAUCAGUAGUUGUCAUACCCAUUAAAAGCCAUGGUCCUUGCCUCUACGUUAUGUCUCUUCCAAUGUCAACAUUGUCCCCUCCUAUCAUAAAAUCACCAGAAAUUAUUGUACUCCAUCGUGCAAUAAAUUCCCUCUUGAUGGUCCAUAUAUAUUCAACAUGUGACAUACAAUUCAAAUGUACACAUACAAAAUUUUAUUUAAUUAAAUUAUUAUUAAAUUCCUCUUUAAAAUUAUGAUUUCUUAAUUCAACAAAAUUCAAGUUUAAUAAGUGAUGGUCCAUAUAUAUUGAACAUGUGACAUAUAAUUCAAAAAAGGAUACUUAGUGAAAUUUGAAAGACUGGAAAAUUAAGUCUUACAAAAAGAAACAAAUAUGUCAAUUGAAGUUCUAAAGAGAAUUAUAAUUAAAUAUUUUCCUGUUGAUAAAUUUUUUGAACAAAUUAAAAGAAACAAAUCUUCUAAUUAAAAUAAAAAGAAUUAAAAAUAAAUAAAUAUUCUCUUAUUAGCAAAUCUCUUUAAUAUAGAUAUCAAGUUUCUAAAAUCAAAAAGUCAAAUUCUUUGAAUUAAACAAAUUAAAUUUUGAGGAGUCUAAAUUUAAUUCUCUAACUUCACCAAUAAAUAAUAAUGACUUUCUUCAAUGAAGGGGAUCGGCAAAACAAUUUCAUACAGGAAAAAAGUCUUCGCAAAAAGAAAAAGGUUUCAUAAAAUUUCUUUGUAAGUUUGAGAAAUUAUAAAAGCACUAUACAUGUGAUCUUUGCCUUUCAACAAAGUAAUUUGGGAAUAAGUCACUCUAAGCCCUUAAUUGAUUUUCAAAACAAAUAAAACACUUCGUCAUUGUCUAUUAGAUUGUGAUGAAAGUAAAGGAAUGAGAAGAAAAAUAUUCUUUUGUAAAUAAUAUUAUCAAUGAGUUUGUACCCCACAACUAUUUUAAUAAAAAUAAUUGUUAGCAUAUUUUUUCCAUUAUUUUACUUGUUUAGCAAGACUUCACACAAUUUGUACUUAUAAAUUUAUGGCAUGCUCGAUGGGACAUCUUUGUCUCUCAUCCCUUUUGCUAAAAAAAUUGAUCAUUAUUAAUGCUAUGACAUCCAAAAAGAUUCAAAUUGUGCAUGUCAAUAAAGAGUAAUGACAAGAUUGUCAUUGCUUAAUCAACACACAACACUACUACAAGCCUUAUGACUCAUAACAAAGCAAAAUCAACUACUGUAGUUUCAGCAAAGUAAGCAAGUGAAAAUAUUUGUUUGUUAAGUACUAAUGCCAUUCAAUAUGUUAUAUAAGUGACCAAGCAUUGGUCUCACUACCUUUAUUAUCAAUUUGUCCCAGUCAAGAUUGGGUUUGCAUUCCCUAGUAGAUCUUCCAUAAACAACUAAUUUCAAUGGGGGUCCCCAUCAAAAUUCCACUUAGUUCUAAACUCUUUCACCUUACAUUUUUUGAAAAAAUUACAUUCAAGCCUUCUAGUGUGGAUAGUUACUCUCAUCAAAACAUGAUGGAUUAUUAAUGUAAGAACCCACCUUUGUUUAUUCCAUACUGGUUUAGCAGGAUUGAGAGAAAAAAAUCAAAAUUGUUAUUUAAUAGCUUACUCUAAUACUAAUUAAAAAACCGCUUAUCUAGUAGGGUAACACUAGAAGAGGGUGAAUGGAUGAUUUCUAAAGAUUGUUGUAUAGGAAUUGAAAUCUUAACCCAAUUUAAAUAAUGAGUGGGAAUUAAGCCAAAUUAAAGCAAUUGAGUCCUGUAGGAGAUUAUGAGUAGGGAAUAGAACAUACACAAAACAGACAAAUGAUUUUACAUGGGAAACGUCUACACCAAUUGUGGAGAUAAAAACCAUAGUGUUGAGGACCUCCAAUCUAACAAUCCACCAUAUGAGAUCAAGAUACAAAAAUUUACCUUGUUACUUAUUCUAAAGACUUACUCUCUAGUACCUAUAUCGUGAUCCAUGUCCCCGGCAUAACACCUCCAAUGCUCUAGUGGAUUCACCUUAGCCUCCUUCCAACAACCCGAAAAAUGAAUCAACUAACCUUGAGAGUUUAGUGCCAAGAAUGAUAGGGCAAUAAUAUAUAUAUAUAUAUAUAUAUAUAGAUUAUGAAACCUAAAGGAUUGAAAUAGGAUUAUUGAUUAAAAAAUAAACCAUGAAUUUCCAACAAGAAACACUACUAAAGCAUGGCAAAAUCAAAACAACAGCUCAAGUGGACCUAACCAUCGCUCAAGCACCUUGAGCAUUCAAGCACUUAUUUAAACAUUUGAGCGGUGGCUCCAGCACUCGAGCAAUUUAGCUAGUGUUUGAGUGGUCCUGUUUUAUCAAAAGUAAAAAAUAAAAAAUUUUAAACCAAUUUUGAGAAACUAAUCCAAUUCAUGCCUUAACCUAACUUGUCUCUAACAAACAUUUUCAAACUUACCUAUGACAGUCUAGUUGAAUGAUCAACAACCUCGAGUCUUCAAUGGAGAGUAAGUCACAUCUAAAAGGAUUCCUAUGCCAUAAUGAAAAGGAAUAAAAUUGUCAAUAUAUAAAACUGUCAUAGCAUACGCAUUAAGAACUUGAGUUUUCAAGUAUAAAAUAGACAAGGGUGAAAUUCUAGUGGACUUGGAUUAUUUCCAAAAUAUCAAAUUUUAGGUACACUAGAGUGCUUCCAACACUAGAAAAAAUUAGAAACUUUACCGAACACAAUUUUGGAAACUCGACCUUGGAACGUUUAAGCAUUGGAUAAGUGCACUUGAGCACUUCCAACACUUGAAUGCCUCUUGCUAAUGUUCAACCACAACAAUUGAGUGCCCAAUGCAUUAAGUGUUACAUCUGAGUGCUCGAGGCAUUGAGUGUCAGAUCUAGCCUAUCUAGGUGCUUGAGCACUCAAUCUCAAGUCCGUUUUUAAUUAACGUUUAAAAGCAUUCAAUCUAUUAUUCCCUAGAGUCUAUUUUAUGUCGGAUGUUAAAAGUCAUCAUCCUUUCAUAGCUCUCUAUACUUACCCUAUGUUAUUCCUUGUUGACUCUAUAGGCUCCUCGAAUCUUCAACGGAAUGUAAGAGGAAAAUAUAAAAAGUCCUAAACUGGAAUGAAUAGAAAAAAAAAUCCCAAUCUAAUGCACUAACAAAAUGCAAAAAUGCUAAGGAAAAACAAUUUUGUUAUAUUGGUUUACUAUAAAAUAAAAUUUAAAAAAAAACAUAAAAGAAAAUUAAAUAUAAUUAAAACGAGUUAAAAACUUUUGCCUUUUUAAAUUAUUUAAUCUUUGUAUAAAAAGAGUAAAAAUAAGUUAAAUGAGUUUAAAGUAGUAUAUAAAAAUAAUAUAUUUAAUUUUAAAUUUAUUUAUUAUUUUCCUUCACUGUUUUUUCUUCUUUUUUUUUUUCCCUCUAUUUUCUUUCUCUUAAAUUUUCUAACAACUAAACAUAGUCUAAUAGUAUCUAUGGAAUUUCUAUACCUUUCUUUUUCUUAAUCACUUAGUAGCACAAUUAUUAUCUCGAUCACAGGAAUAAUGGCAGCCGCUGAUGAGGUCUUUUUAUGUUUUGAAUUUGCAAUCCAUUUUAAUUAUCUUGUUUUCUUCGUUCCUUUGGGGAAGAAAAUUGUAGGAGAAAUAUAAAAACAAGAAGGUAAGGAAAAUUUAUAAAUUUUUCUUUUAUUUGGUUAGAUACGAAAAAGAAAAUUAAAUUAUUGACCGAUAUAUUUACCCUUGAAUUUCAUCUUUUGUUAAAGAAAAAGGCAGGGAGGAAAAUCUUUUAACAUCAUUCCUUCUCUUUUCCUUAACAUUUUUUUCACUUUUUUUUUACCAUAAUUGCUCAAGGAAAAUUAUUUGGCAAAAGUGUGUUUCCAUGCAUUUAAAUUAAAAAAAAAUCAUAAAUAGGAACCCAACUUUAUAAAGUACAAAUUUCAAGCAGUUGUCUAAAAAUAAUUAGCAUUUCAUGGUCUUGGUCAAAGGUACUACCUAUAACCAUUAAAGUAUACUACCUUUUAAUGAUAUAUAUGUAUAUAUAUAUAUAUACACUAUCUUUGACCAUUCAGAUAUACUAAGCUUUAAUGAUAGAUGUACUAUUUGUUGAGAUAUUAGGAAUGUUUAGACAUUAGGAAAGUUGAGAUAUUAGGAAUGUUGAGAUAUUAGGAUAUUAGUUGUUCUUUCCUUAUAUAAUUCAUUCCUUGUAUCAUUCUUUCCCAUUCUUAGAAUGAUGAUUACCCUUUAUAUAUACUCUGUACAUGAACGAAUGAAAUAAUUAAUGAAAAACUAUCAUUCAUCCAUUUGAAGACUAUCUUUUAUCAUCUUAAGCAUUACCUUUGACCAUCUUAGGUACUACCUUUGAUUGGUGAAUAUAUAAAAUUUGAAUUUUUUUUAAAAGGUUCCUAUUUUAUGAUUAUUUUCAUACAAGUGCAUGGAAAUCCAGGAGAUUCCUUCCAUUAGUGGAAACUUAUGGGACAAGUCACUACCUUCUAACAAUUUUAUGGUUGUUGUAUUGUGAAGGCAAGCAAAAUAUGCCCAAGUAGUCUUGGUAUUGGUUGGUUAGAGUUGGUGUAAAAAUAAAAAGAGUUCUUUACUAUCAAUAAAGCUUGUUUUCUCUUUAGGCCCAUCUAAUUCCUUUAUCCCUUUCUUGAAUUGUUUCUCGAUUUGUUUAGAAAAGAAACGAGAGAGUAUUUCCCAUUGUUAAACUAGUACCAUAUAAGAUUAAGUUAGUUCCGCUUUGGUUGUGAAGUGCUGCCUCACUUUUUCCAAAUUUUUUUCCUCAUUUUUUCCUUAAUAUCCUUAAUACUUUAUAGGAAGUAUGAUAGAUAAUUUAAACCACUUAGUGGUAAGUCAAAAGGAAACAAAACAACCGCUCAAGUUCAGGCACAAGUCAAUAACCCUGGAUUAGAAAUAAGAUGUGUAUGAAACACUGUACAAAGUCUGUUGACUUUUUGUUCCUAAUUUCUAUAAAUACAAGAAAUGACUGAAAAAGAUAGCUCAUCUAGGGACUUCUAUGACGGAAGAGUCAAAUUUUAAUAGACUUAUACAAAGUUCUAAUUUUAUAGUAUUUUAUCAUUAUACAAUUAUAAUUGAAAUAGAAUAUUUCUUUUAAAAUUAUUUAAUCUUUAUAUAAAAGCGUUAAAUAAGUGAAAAAACUUUGAAGUAAUAAUUAAAAUAAUUUAUUGACUUUAAAAUUAUUUUUUAUUUUUCUUAACUUUUUCUUUCUUUUACUUUUCCUUAUUAUUUUCUUUUAUUUGCAUAUUUUUUUCUAACUUUUCAAGAAUUAAAUAUGGCCUAAGUUUCCAUAGAUAAAAUGCAUUAAUCAAAUAUAGGUAAAUAAAAAACAAAAAGAUACACUUCACUUGAUUUUUUUAAGACUCAAUUAAGUUGUUGAUUGAAAGGGUGUAUGGUAAAACUUAAUACUUACAACUUAAAGACUUUGAUUUUAAGUUACGUUAUACUUAAGUGGUUGACUUAAAGCUUAUUAUCUAAUUUUUAUUUUAAGUAUUAAAGAUGUUUGAUAAAAUUAAUUUAAAACUUAUUUUAAAGCAUCAAAAUGACAUAUUUUUCAUCAUAAAUUAUAACUAGGGCAUAGGAGGUCGAGUAACAAUGGAGGUCAUGGAAUAGCAAAAGAGAUCAUGAAGGUAUUAAGGACAAAUGGUCGGGAUAAAAAAAAAAAAAAAAAAAAAAGUAAAAUGAAGAUGUGGCCUUCUGAAAAAAUGAAUUAUUUUUAUUUAUUACUUAAAGUUAUUUUUUACUUAAGUCAUAUUAUUAAGUUAUUUUACAACAUAUACUUAAUAUAGUUAACGACUUAAAUUAAGUUAUUAAGUCAUUUUAAAUUAUUAAAUUGAUUUACCAAACACUCAUUAAGUUAAAAUAGUUUUAAAAUAUUUUUUAAUAUUAGUUAGAAAGUUAUCAAUAUUUUAGAUCAUUUUUUAUAUUCAUUUUAUCUUCUUUAUUUUUAUCAAAAAGUACUUUUUGGAAGCCAAACGUAACCUUUAUCUAUCUAUUAACAAACAAUAUUCAAAUGAAAUCUUUAAAUGUGAUGUUUUUUAACCCCUUCUCAAUAAUAUUCACAUGCUGCAUAGUGGUGUAAAGGAGGACAAAAAGUGUACCAGUUGUAUCUUGUGGCCUGAAUCACUUUACUUUCUUAAAAGAACAUGUGAAACACAACAAAAAAUUUGUCCUUCGUCCGGGCUGAAACCAAAUAUUAUACCUAAUCUAAAAGUAGUAUUAUUUGUAGAAUAUUUACAUAAUCACAUAAAGUAAUCAUACAUGAUUAAAGGAUACUAACAUAGAAAAUCACUAUAAAGAACAUACCUGUUUGAGCCAUCAUAAUAAAACAAGUGAUUGAUUGUUGCAACCAAGUCUUCCCCUCUAUGAUCUUGAUAACAACUAUUAUGGCUUUAUGGGAAAACAGAAAGACCCUUUAUCUAGAUUAGAGAGGGGACUUAGCAUAACUCAAUAUUGGGUUCUCAUUGGGCCCUCCCAUAAUGGGCUUCAAUGAGAUCCAUAGCCUACACUUGCCACUCAACUGAGCUUCUACUCAAAAGACGCAAAACCCAAUCCAAAUAUGAUCACUAGUUAAUUGGGCUCAUUAUAUAAUAGACUAUCCAUUAACCCAUUUUUUUCAAAUACAAAUUAUUCAAUUAGUGUUAGCCCAUAUAAAAAUUUUCCAACAUUCUCCCACUUGGGCUACAUUAAUUGUUUUUUGAGGAUUCAUUAAAUUCAUUUUGAAAAUAAGACUCUCGGGUUAGGUACAGAAAAGUUUAUUUUGUGUGGCCAUACUUUUUUUAAAGAAAUGAUAGUCUCUAAGUAACAUCUUGAUAAACUUAUCUAGUCCAACAUGGUCUUAAUAUUUGACUAUGAUGGUCUAUAUGUUAAUCUCAACAAACAUAAUGACCCUUAUAGUCACGAAUAUUUAUAACCAUAUCGACAUGGAUCGUAAACCCAAUAGUGUAGUAAGAAAUCAAUGGCAACAUGUGAUCAUCAUCUAUAUGCAUUGUUUCUUAUCAGUCCUCAUUACAAUUUAUCGGCAAAAUGAAAUUGUAAUUGCAAUUUCUCAACAAAAUGAAAUUGCUGCAAUUUCUAAACAAUAUGAAAUUGCUUGACUUUAACAAGUCAUAUGUCACCAACAGUGCACCACAAGAUCUUAAAAUAGUGGUAUUUGUGACAUCCAAUAGUAUACAACUAUAAUUCUUAAGGUUCAAUAUCUUAAGAUACCAUGUUGUAUGAAAUUCAAUUACGACAUGCUAUAAUAUAAUACUUAAUAAUGAUGAUCAUAAUAAAAAGAUUUUAAUUUUGCAAGUCGCAUAACAAUAAUGAUUAAUGUUUACACAAAACAAUAAUUGAAAUAAGGGAAAUCACAAAAGCUCCCACUAAACCAAAGAAUCAAAAGAUUUAAUGACACCCAUAUUCACAACAUGUUCCUUGAACGUUAUAGGCUUUAAACCUUUGGUUAGAGGAUCAGCUAGCAUGGACUCAGUUCUUAUGUGCUCAAUUACAAUAUCUCCUUUCUUCACUAAGUCCUUAACUGUAAGGUACUUGAUUUCUAUAUCCUUAGAACUCGUAUUGAUCUUAUUGUUCUUGGAGUAGAACACAACUGCAUUAUUGUCUCAAUAAAUCACAAUGGGUCGAAAGAUGGAAUCAACAACUUGCAACUUUGAAAUCAGAUUUCUUAGCCAAACAACUUGAGAUGAUGCACCAUAACAAGCUACAAACUCAGCAUAAAUGAUUGAGGAUGCAAUUAGGCUCUAUUUGACAAUUUUCCAUGAAAUGGCUCUACCAACUAACAUAAAAAUGUAUCCUAAAGUAGAUUUGUGAUCAUCAGAACAACUGCCCAAAUAAGAAUCUGAGCAUACAACUACCUCAAGAUUAUCCACCCUCCUAUACACAAGCAUAAAAUCCUUCGUUCUUUAUAGAUAUCUCAUGACUUUCUUUGCAGCAACCCAAUGAUCAUGUCUAGGGUUCGAUAAAUAUCUACCAAGAACAUUAACAAUGAAGGUGAUAUAAGGUCUCAUACAUACUUGUGCAUACAUCAAGCUACCAACAACACUAGCAUAAGGAAUAGUCUUUAUGGCAUCCUUUUCCAAAUCAAUCUUUGGACACUGUUCAUUACUGAGUUUAUCUUCCUUCACAAUAGGUACAUCACCAAUUUUGCAUGUCUGCAUAUUUAAUCUUUUAAGCACACGAUUGAUAUAGGCUCUCUGAGAUAGCCUAAGAAGGUUUUGAGAUCUAUCACGAUAAAUCUCAAUACCCAACAUAAAAUAUGCUUCUCUGAGAUCUUUCAUGUUAAAAUUAGUAGACAAAAUACGCUUGGUAUCAUUCAAGAGAUUCACAUCGCUACUAGUAAGUAGAAUAUCAUCGAUAUAGAGAACCAUGAAAAUGUACUUGCUCCCACUGACUUUCAUGUAAAGGCCCUAAUCAAACUUGUUCUCUAUAAAACCAAAAGACGUCACAAUUUUGUCAAAUUUCAAGUACCACUAAUGAGAAGCUUGCUUGAGACCAUAAAUUGACCUUUUCAAUCUGCAUACCAUGUUCUCUUUCCCAUUUGCCUUAAAUUCUUUAGGUUGUGACAUGUAGACUUCCUCACUCAAAUCACCAUUGAGAAAAGUUGUCUUAACAUCCAUGUGAUGAAGCUCUAAGUCAAAAUGAGCUACUAACGCCAUAAUUAGCCUAAAGGAAUCUUUGGUAGAGACUAGUGAGAAAGUCUUUGUGAAAUCAAUGCCCUCUCACCGUGUAUACCCUUUAGCAACCAAUCCAGCCUUGUAUCUUUCAACAUUUCCUUUGUUGUCUCUUUUGGUCUUGAAUACCCAUUUGCAUCCAAUGAGUUUAUAUCAUUUGGGAAGAUCAACAAGUUCCCAAACAUCAUUUGUUUGACAUAGACUGCAUCUCAUCUCUCAUGGCAAUCAACCAUUCAUUUGCCUUAUCACUAUUGAGAGCUUCACGAUAAGUAGUAGGGUUCACUUUUUUUCCAAUGUCAUAGUCUCCCUCUUCGAGGCAAACAUAAUAAUCAUUCAAAAAGGCAGACCUUCUAGUUCUUUGCGAUUUCCUCAUUUCCACAGGAGGAAUCUCAUUUACAAUAGGGGUUAUUUCGACAGUGGGGAAAUUGACAAUAGCAACUCCUUGCUGAAUCCCAGAAUCAAAAGCUCCAACAUCAAGGUUGAUGUCUGAGACUGACAAAGGUAAAGAAAUAACAUCCAUGGGUUCCACUCUUUCAUUGGAUUGAGAGGGUAUACUAUCAACAACAUCUAACUCUAAAAACUUUGCCACUUGAGGCUCAACAACUCUAGUGCCAUGAGUUGAACAAUAAAACUUGUAUCCUUUUAAGUGACUAAGAUACGUAAUAAAGUAGUACCUAGUAGUUCUUGAAUUUGUCUUCUUUAAAGAAGGAUAAUAGAUUUUCACCUUAGUUGGACAUCCCCGUACUUUAAAAGGAUUCAAACUAGGUUUUCUGCCUGUCCAUAGUUCAAAUAGUGUUUUAGGCACAGACUUACUAGGAACACGGUUCAGAAUGUAGGUUGUUGUUUUAAUGGCUUCACCCCAUAAGUAUUCUGGCAAAUUUGAUUUACUCAUCAUGCUCAUUUUCAUUUCCAUAAGAGUGCGGUUACACUUUUCUGCCAUGCCAUUUUGUUCAGGACUACCAGGCAUAGUAUACUAAGCAACAAUACCAUUAUCUUGUAAGUACCUUGCAAAAAGUCCCUUUUGUUGUCCAGCGUCACUAUGCUUCCCAUAAUACUCACCACCUUGAUCAGAUCUUACAAUCUUGAUGACUUUUCCUAGUUGUUUCUCAACUUCAGUUCGGAAGACUUUGAACAUUUCAAGAGCAUCUGCCUUUUCUUUUAUCAAAUAUACAUAGUCAUAUCAGGAGAAAUCAUCAAUGAAUGUAAUGAAGUACUUGUUGCCACACAAGGUAGUAGAGUAAGGCCCACUAAUGUCUGUAUGAACAAUCUCCAACAAAUUUUGACUACGAGUUAUACCCUUUUUCUUAGUCUUUGUCAAUUUUCCUUUCACACAAUCAGCACAAAUUUCUAAGUCAUCAGAAUCAAGGCGAGGAAGAAUCCCAUAACUAAUUAAGCGUUCUACUCGUUCUUUAGAUAUGUGCCUCAAACACUUAUGCCAUAACAAUGAAGAUCUUUUCUUAGUCAAAGGUCUUUUAGCAACACUGUUUUCAACAUUGUAAGAACAAGCAGAUAACAACGACAAUCUAUAAAGCCCGUCAGACAAAACACCAUUGCCAAUCACUUUAGAGUCAUAAAUCACCUCAACUCUUUUAUUUGCAAAAGUGAAACUAUAUCCAGCUUUGUCGAGUACUGAAAGGGAAAUUAAAUUCCUUCUAAACCAAGGUACACAAAAAACAUUGUCCAAAACAAGUUGAAAACCAGAAUCUAAUUCUAAAACAACAAUCCGAAUAUGCUCAACAUCAAUCUCGAUGUCACUUCCAACUUUAAACUUUGACUCUUUUUCACUUGGCUUCCUCAAAUUUCUUAUCCCCUAUAAAAAAGUUGCAACAUGAACAAUAGCACCACUGUCAAGCCACCAUGAAUCUAAAGGAAUAUUAACUAAAUUAGAUUCAAAACAGACAUAGGCAGAUAACAUACCCUGUUCCUUCUUUUUCUUCUCUAGCCAAUUCUUAAACUUAAAGCAAUCGACCCUCUUGUGACCUUUUUUGUUGCAGUGAUAACACUUCAGGUUUGUGUUAUUGGCAUUUCCAUUUCCAUUUUUCUGUUUCUCACUCCCACUCUUCUUGAAAUUCUUGCUUUUCUUAUGACUAUGGAAAUUGGGCUUUCUAGCCUUUUCAACUCUCUUAUGAUUAUUUGGUUUUCCAAGAGCAACAAGAUGAGCAUAUUCAUUCUUUUCUCUUUUUAGCUUUUCUUCCUCGGCCACACACUUAGUGAUCAGGUCAUUCACACCCUAAGACUAAUUUAGGGUGUUGUAUGUAGUCUUGAUUUGGCUUAAAGAAGAUGGUAGAGUAUUGAGGGCUUGAUGAAUAAUAAACUUAUGGGGAAUGGGAAUGUCUAGUGCUUUCAAUUUAGUUUGAAGAUGCACCAUUUUUAGGAUAUACUCACGAACCCCUUUCAUAUCAUUAUACCUCAUAUUCAUCAAUUCAUCCAUAAAAUACCCAGCUUCGACAUUGUUAGAUGUCUGGUAUCUAUUUCUCACAUCAACGAGAAAUUCCUUAGCAUUGUUGUUCUCAGGUAUUCCUCCAAGGAGAUGCUUAGCAAUGGACCUCUUGAUUGAAAUGAGACUCAAACGGUUCGAUCUUUCCCAUUUCGUAUAAUGAGCUCUCAUAGCUUCAGUGCUUUCAUUAGUAGGCUUAAGAGGUUCAUCUUCACAGAGAGCCAUGUUCAAGUCCAUCAUUCCUAAAAAAAACUCUAUGUUUGAUCUCGAUCUCUUAUAGUUUGACCCACUUAGAAUUUCAAUUGUAGCAUUAUUGUUGUUCACAACAAAGGAAACUGAUUGACAAAAAUUUGCAACUAGAUCAAUUAUGGGCAAUAGGUAAAAUGCUUAAAUAAGCAUAAGAAAUACAAUAUAAGAAUCAAUUGUAUUAUCAUAAACUCCCCUUUGGGCAGAGUCCAUAAUAAACAACUAUUCUCUAAGUAUGAUGAUCAACAAAUAAUUCAUUAAAGUUUAUUUUCUUUGGGCAAACAAAUUUAUCAAAUUAUUUAUCUCAUUCAAUAUCCUCAUGUUGUUAAAUUAAUUUGCACAAUAACCCCAUUUGGGGAGGCGAUUGUACAAAUUAAUCUAAAAUUUUCCCCAUCAACAAAAUAGGAACUCAUAAACUUGCAAAUUUUGAUGGUUAAAUCACUUUGGUGAAAUAACCUCAACAAUUCACAUGCAACGUUCCAAAAUUGGGUAAAUUUAAAAACAAUAAUGCCUAACAACAAUAGUGCAUAUUAGUGAUAUAUAUGCAUAUGAUCAAACAAGAUGAAGUACGUCACAAAAUGUACUUUCAAUGAUCAAUGAUCAAUUAUAGUUGCAAGAAUUUGAACAACAAUUUUUAUUUUUUUAUUACACUUUAAACUAAUUAUUUAACUAGUUUAUGUGAUUUAGACCAAGUAGGAGAGUAUGCUUGAAAGAGUUUCACUCUAGAGAGAGUGAGUACUACACUCCUAUUCCAUAUAUAUUAGCAUAAUUUCUGAUAAAUUCUCAACAAAAAAUUAUACCAAAGAAUAAAUUUAAGCUAAUUAAAUCACAUAAAUAAAUAAUAAUUAUUUAAUAAAUAUUUUUGACCCCCCAAAAAUAAAAUAAUAUAACCAAAAAAUAGAUGAUAAAAAAACAAGCGCAUAGGAAAAAACGGGGCUCAAAACAGACAUCGGAUGAGGUUACACGCGUCUCACACACUUGACCCGCAAGUGGGGAAUGUGCGGCACAUGUGGCACGUUUGGCAUGUGCUAGAGGUUAUCUUCAACCUCCAGCAGCGGGUCAAAAAACCUGCUCGGGUUAAAUGACCCGGUUGCUACCCAGCUUACAAACAAUUGUAAAAAGAAUGUUUUUCGAUCGGGAUCUCGAGGGGUUUUAAACUUUAGGUUGUUUCUAACACUCUAAGUCAUUUAAUCAUCAGAAAACAACUUAAAGAUCUCCAUAAUUGAUUAACAAAAUUCAGUUUUUAUACCUCCAUAGACAAGAUCGAAAAAUUCUAUUUCAAAACCUAUUUCGACCUCAUUUUACAUGUAUUUUUACCUUAACAAUAUAAGAAAUCUCUCUACAACAAUUAAUUAAACAAAAAACUUCUCAAUCUUGCUCAAUUUAAAAAAAAUAUAAAACGAAUUUUCUAGGGUUCAUACCCAUAUUUUCGAAUUUUCAAUUUUCAUCAAAUUGAGCCAAAAAAACCGAAAUUGAUGCUACAUAUCAACUAUAAUAUAUGUAAACAACAAAAUCCAAGAGUUUAAUUCGAGUAAAACACAAUAAUUUGAACAAAUAAAUUUUUUCUUGAAUCUUUAAACAAGAAAAUUCAGAAAAUUUAAAAACUUAAUUACUGCCAAUUUAAACAACGAAAUUGCAAAUAUAAUAUACCAUAUUGAAGUUUGUGACAAGAGGAACAAAAGGCCUAAAGUUUCACAAUCAAAAUAAACCAAAAAACCAUACACAGUCAUGGAUCACAGAUUCGGCUCCAAAAAUAAAAUAAAAUAAGAAACUAAAAAUUUUAUUUUCAAUUUCCAAUUGUAGAUCCUAAAUCAUGUAAAUCUAGCUUUGAUACCACAUGUAGAAUAUUUACAUAAUCACAUAAAUUAAUCAUACAUGAUUAAAGGAUACUAACAAUAGAAAAUCACUAUAAAGAACAUACCUAUUUGAGCCAUCACAAUAAAACAAGUGAUUGAUUGUUGCAACCAAGUAUUCCUUUCUAUGAUCUUGAUAACAACUAUGGUGGUUUUAUGGGAAAACAAAAAGACCCUUUAUCUAGAUUAGAGAUGGGACUUAGUAUAACUCAAUAUUGGGUUCUCAUUGGGUCCUCCCAUAAUGGGCUUCAAUGAGACCCAUAUGCUACACUUGCCACUCAACUGAGCUUCUACUUAAAAGAAGUAAAACCCAAUCCAAAUAUGAUCACUAGUUAAUUAGGCUCAUUAUAUGAUAGAAUAUCCAUUAACCCAUUUUUUUGCAAAUACAAAUUAUUCAAUCAAUGUUAGCCAAUAUAAAAAUUUUCCAACAUUAUUCACUAGGAACGUGUUGUUCAUUUGUACAUGUAUGUGUGGAUGUCAUGGGAAAUGUGUUGUUCAUCCUAAUAUGUACAGGUGCAUGCAUAUUCAAAAGAUUUAGCAAAGAACAAAUAAUCUUUCAUUUUGCUCAAAAUUAAAAGAGUUUCUACCAUUUAGUUCAUUUUUAUCCAAAUAUUUAAAUCUUUUUGUAAGGAAAAAUGUGAAGAAAAGAAAAUAAGGAGAAAAUUAGAAAAACAAAAAAAUCAAAGUUAAUAAAUUAUUUUUUAUAUACUGAUUGACAUUCAUUUAAUUAUAUAAAGAUUAAAUAAUUUAAAAGCGUAUAAGUUAUCGGGAGCCAAAUUUGACAAAAAUGCAGUAGCUUUUAAAUUAUUGUUUUUUUGUCAAAACCCUUGGCGUGCCCUUAUAUAAACAAUAGGGACUUGUAGCUAGGUCAAUCUUUAUCGUAAAUUAAGCAAUACUUAAUGUUCUAAGAUAAAGGAAAAAAUAAAUAAAUGUGAAAACAAACCCUUCUAACCAUAAAUGUUCCAUAAUAGCAAUUCUCCAUAGCUUGUAAUUGCCAAUUAGAAUCAAAUAACAACUCUCAAUUGCCAAAAAGAUGAAUACAAAUAAACUCAUUACAAGAGUAUAGAUCAUCUCAAGCCUUUUGAUGAUAGAAUAUAUGUGUCAUGCCCCAAGUUCUUUUUAAGGACGUGAUGGUCAUCUUAUAACUAAAAAAAUCACCAAUUACCAAAUUCUUAUUCAGAAUAGUAAAAUAUAUUAUAAUCCUCAAAAUUUAACUUUAAAAAAACUAAUACAUCAACCACUUUGCUAUUGUCCUAACAACUUCAAACCCAAAUGGUUCAAACAGUAAUUAAUUUCUAACAUUUAAACACUUGCCAAAAAUAAAGCUUAAACUAAAAUCCUAAUAAAAAAACAAAUUUCCAAUCUAACCAUCACUCUUUACCCAAACCGAGAGUACCUGGAAAAAAAUAUCAAUGGAAGAGCAUGAGUUCAAGCCCAAUAAGAAAUAUUAAUACAGUUUCAUGAAUCAAACAUUUUUUAUUAUGAUAACAAAUAGGAAAUAUAGUGUACAAUCUUUUUUAUAAAAACUUUGAAUUCAAACAUGCUAAAGCAUCCAAAACUUUUCAAUUAAACAUUUUCAUAUUUAUAUCAAUAGCAAUUUCAUAUCAAAUCCAAAUGAAAUGCAUUCAAAAUAUUUUUACUCUAGUUAUCAAAUAACAAAUAGUAUCUAAUUAGGUAGGACUUUAUUGCCCAAUUAGGUGAAACUUUACAAAUAGGAUACUAUCCUCAAAUUUGUUCUUUUUAAGGUGGAUGGAACCAAACACUACUAGUAACCUCUAACCAAACCCCUAGAGACUAGGGUUUAAAACAAUUACAUUCUCCACCAAGAAAUGUAAAGGUUAAUUAGCAAUUAUAGCUCAUUAACUAAAGUGAAAAAGGUCAACAAUUAUAACUCAUUAACUAGGGCAAAAAAUGUCAACAAUAUAACCCUUUGACUAGGGCAAAAUAAACCAAAGUCAAACACUUUGUUUCAUUUAUUUAAACGUAUAAAAACAUAAUAUCUUCAUUUUUUUAUUAUAAACAAAAGAAAAUAUUCUUACAUAUUUUCAUGCAAAAUAUAAUUGAUCCUUGCAUAAAAACAAAAAUAACAUUUUACAUAAUUCAAAAUAACAUAUAAAAAUAAAUUAUUUUAUUUUAGAAAAUCUAUAUUAAUUUCUCCUACCUCAAAAAGCACUCAAAACCCUUAAAGAAUUUAUUGUUGAAGAAUCUAAUUUUCACCUGAAAAUAACAUAAGAAAUAACAACUAUUACUAUUAGCUAUUUAUCUAAAAUUAAAGGUUUGACAAUCUAUAGACCCCAAAAUUUGUCCAAAUUUUAUUUUUACAUUAAUUUUGAGCUCAAUUUUGUCUUUAGAUUUUAAAUCCUGAUUACAUAUGAUAUUUUUGACCCACUCACUAUCUAAUUAUUAUUAUUAUUAUUAUUAUUAUUAUCAUUUUUCUUUUUCUUUUCUCUCUUCUCUCUCCUCUCUCUUCCUACCUUCCCCCAACUACCCCACCCACUCUCUCUCUCCUCCCAUACCCCUCAUUCCCAUGACCCAUACCUCCUCUCUCAUCUCUUCCCAAUUCUCUCUCCUCUCAUGUUUGUUUUUUCUUUUGAUUUUUGGUUCCCAUUUUAUUUUUUUUUGGCAAUGGUCGGCUCCCCAUCUAGGUUUUUCUCUUCAUCUUCUUUCUGACAUCACUCCACUCACAACCCAACUCCCCCACAUGGUAGUGGUGGGCCCCUUGAUUCUCUCAAUUUCUCUUCUUUUUCCCUUAUUUUCUCCAUUUUUUGCUCCACACGGUCAAUCAGGACCCCCCCCCCCCCUCCCCAGAUUUUUUUCUUCCCCAUUUUUUUUUCUUCUAGGUUUUUCUCCCUCCAAAGACCCAUGACCACUUUCCUCAGGUCCUCCGCUCUCUUCUCUCUUCUUUCUUCUUUUUUCUUUUCCUUUCAUUUUGUUCCACAUUUUUUUUUCUUUUCGAAUUUUUUUCCUUCCAUUUUCUUUUUCUCAUUUUUUUUCCUCCCUCUCUCUCUCCAUCCGCCACCCUCAUUGCCAUUGUUGACCACCACCAGCCUCUGCCGGCUAGCAAUCCAACCAUCCAUAGUUCUUAAAAACAAAAUGGGUAAAUUUCAUUUUUACUUUAUUCUCAUUUUCACUUUUUCAUCUUUAUUUAUUUUAUUUUUUUGGUUUGCAUAGUAAUUGAUUUGGACUUAGGCCUAUUGCUUAUUGGUUAUUUGUUUGGGUUUAUUGGAUUGGGUUUGAGAUAUUAUUUCCUUUGGCCAUGUGUAUUAUUAAUGUGAGUUUGUUAAUUGAUAUGAAUUUUGGGCUCACAAUGUUGGUGAGAUUUGUUGGAUGACUUGAAUAUUUGAUAUGGGCUUGGCCAAUUUGAACUAUUUAAUUUGGACAUGGGACAAUUGUAGGCUUGAAUAUUAAAUUAGGCUUGAAUUAUGGGAUAUUAAGUUUAGGCCUAGUGGAAUUUAUUUUAAUUUAUCAUGUUUUGGAUUUGAUUAAUUGAGCAUAUAUUUUGGCUAUUAAUUUGGAAAUUUUGGAUUAGGGCUUAUGGCAUGUGAGAUAUUUUUGUUGGGCUAUAUUUUCUAAUUUAGGUCCAUUUUUAUUGGCAAAAAUUUAUUGGACCAAUUUGAAGUUUGAAUUUGGGAUUGAAUAAUUAUUUUGGACUCUACAUAUUUUUGGAUAUUUACAUUUGGGUUAUUUUUGUUUUUGCAUGUCUACAAUUUUGUUGGUUGAAUACGAAUUUAUGACAUGUGGAGUACAAAAUUUCAUGGAAGAAAGUGAGACUCGAAAAGUUGUAGGAAGACAUUGAACUUGUUGUAAGCUUGUUUGGGUACACAUUUUAUUUCCCACUUUUAUUUUAUUUUAUUUUUAUUAGUUUUUGUAAAUAUUUAUUAAUAUAUAUUUACUUGUUGUGUACAGAAUUAGAUGUCGAACAAACCAGAAAUUUUGUUUAAAUAAGAUGAAUACUUCAGUAAAUAUGUUUUAAUUAAAUAAUAAUUUUAAAAUAUUUUUCUUAAUAAAAGAAAGUUUUUUUAUUAAUAAAAAUUCAGAAAAAUGCUUUUAGAAAAAUAAAAAUAAAAACUUUAAUAGAAUUUGAAAAUUUAUUUUUAAUAAUAAUUGUCCAAAAAUUUCUUUGUUUAAUAAAAAUUUGCCAAAAAUUAUUUUGUAAAUAAAGUUGUCCCAAAAAUUAUUUUUUAAUAAAAUUGUCCAAAAAAUGUCUUUUUUUAAAUGAAUUAUUUUUCCUUAAUUAAAAUGGGAUUAAAAGUAUUUUUUUAGAAAUAUAGGAUUUAAAUAUUUUUUUCUUUUUAAUUAAAAUUCCUUUUGCAAAUAAAGUUGUCUUUUUAAAUAAUUUUUAUAAAUCACUUUUCUUAAAUGAAAACAAAUUGAAAUAUUUUUGUAAAUAAAAUUGUAAAAAUUCAUUCAUUUUUUUUUUUUUUUGUAAAAGCAAGUAAAAAUAAUUUUUGUUGCCAAAUUGAAAGUUUGUAAUAAAUUCUUUUGAUACAAUAAGUGUAAAUAACAUUUUUUGAAAAUUAAAUACAAAUGAAAUUGAAUCAAAUCACUUGAAGAAAAUGUUUUGUAAAUAAAUAAAUUGAAAUCACUUAUUCAAAAUUGUUUUUAAUAAAAUCCUUUGAAAUUCUUGAAAAUUAUUUUUUUAUAUCUUUUUUUAUUUAGUUCAAUAAAUCAUUUUGCAUAAUUCUCUUAUUAUUUAUUUUGUAUAUUCUUGUGAUUAGAUUUCAUCUUUAUUUGUGUAUAUAUUGAUUUUCAUUAUGACUUGUACAUACUCAUUUGCAUGAUUAUUUUUCUCGAUAUCCAUAAUUAAUUAACUAAUUGCCACAAUUUUCUUAAUUCGUUUAGUAGAGGUCAUACAUAUACGGGCUUAGAGGGAUGCUACGACUCACCACCGUACCUUACCAAUAGGUAACCUAACCCUUGGAUCCAGAUUAUGUUUUUGCAUACAUGUCUUUUCCUAAUAAGGAGUCAUACAUGAUUUUCUUUCUUAUUUUGUUUUCCCUUUAAAAAAAUUAAAUAAGUGGCGACUCCAGGUCUUUUUCUAAAAGUCAAUUUUUUUUCACAAAUAAAUGAAAAGUAAGUUUCGCCAUUCGAGUGGGGACGCACAUGAAAAACAUAGGUUCACAAAAUGGUGACUCUACUAGGGAAUUUGAGGGUCAAACUUAAACUCGAGUUAAGAAAAAUGUGGCAUUUGAUUGGUCGAUCAAUGGAUACCCUUCUCUACAUGUCUUUGUAUGAUUGGGUGUUGAUUACACAUUGAGAGCUUUGAUAUAUUUAUUUGUGAUGCAUGUUUGGUUAUUAUUGUUCAUUGGAGAUGUUCACGUGUUGAUUAUAUCGAUUGAUUCUCUUACCUACUUUUGCAUAGUGACUCUUCUUAUUGUAUGAUUAUCUUACUUUCCUUGACAUGUAUAUUCUCAUUUUUGUAUAUCUCGUUCACAUUGGUGUGAUUGAUUCUCUUUAUUUUAGAUUGAUUACUACUCAAAAAGUGCUAUUUGAUAGCUUGUAAUUAACUCUUUUAAACACUUUUGAGUAGUAGUUAUCACCUUUUAACUCAAUUAACAUAUUAAGGACCCUUGCAAUCAAUUCUAAUCAAAUUGUGUUAAGUUUUGGUGUUUUGAUAGCUUUUUGAUCACCAAAGCAAUCCGAGAUUGAGGAGAGUUCUUUGGAAUCCAUGACAAAAGAUGUCCGGACAGGGCGUCCGGACACACCAUCGGAGGGUGGCGGGAAGUGAGCUGUGGCAGGCUGUCGGAAUGACGUAGUAAGGCUUGUGCACUUUAGCCAAUGAUCCGGACAACAUAUCCAGAUAGGAUAUGCUAUCGUCCGGGGUGUGAUGAUCGCGAGUGCCGUGUGCUUAUCCUUGAGGGAGUCCGGAUAGGGGAGCGCGCCGACAUUCCACUCGGAUGUCUCACAUCUGGAAAUCUGCUCCGCCGACAUUCCACCCGAAUGUCUUACAUCAGGAAAUCUACUCCACCGACAUUCCACCCGGAUGUCUUACAUCCUGAAAUCUGCUCCGCCGACAUUCCACCCGGAUGUCUCACAUCCGGAAAUCUACUCUGCCGACAUUCCACCCGGAUGUCUCACAUCCGGAAUUCUUCUCCGCCGCCAUUCCAUCCGGAUAUUUCGCAUCCGGCGCUUGACGCCGGAUAGGAGAGGAGGGCGUUUCAACUUCCCCGGUCAAACAUAUCCGAAUCCUUUGAUAGCGCUUACCCGGAGAGUUUUGCAGCCAUUUUGCACAGUGCCGCGGUGUUCUCCUGAAGCUUCCCGAUAUGUCUGACCGACAUUUUAAGAUAUUUUUCUGCACAAUGCCGCGGUGUUCUCCUGAAGCUUCCAGAUAUGUGCGACCGACAUUUUGAGAUAUUUUGCUUUAGAUAUUUGAUGUCUAAAUCCCCAAACUCUCAUUGUAACCCACCAAUUAUAGGAUUCCUUAGUCUUUAAGUAAGAACAAAGGGUAAAUAACCCCUUAUAUAUAGUUUGUAAUUUCCUUUACAAAAGACAUCGAUCAUAAAUCGAUCAAAUAGAGAUUAAUCCUUUGUACAGUUUUGGAAGGAAGUAAAAUACAGAGCACUUGCUCUACUUUUCAUAUAUAUUUUUGUUUUCUCGUUCUUUUUAUUUCUAGCCAAUCAAACUCUGAGGAUUUUUCCUCAGAGGACGAGAGGCUAGACUUUUUGUCUCUUGGAGUGAAGAAAGCCAGGUAAGUUUCCAAACACAAGAAUUGGAAGUUUUGUUGUUUUAGUUUUUAAUGAAGAGAAAGUGUAACCCGUUAAUGGUUUUUAUCUUUUUAGUUAACUUAAAACGCCUUUAAAUCACCUGGGUCAACACUUGAUAAGGCAAGUGAUCUCCAUCCAUUGAGAUGCACUAGUUUAUCUCUUGUGAGCCUUUGGGAGGUGGUUUAAAGGUAGGAUUUUCUAGAAUAGACAACACUUGGUAAGCUUUUGGACUCCAAGGAGACAUCCAUUAGUUAUCUCUUGCGAGCUUUUGACGGGUAAUCCAAGGUUAAAGAUCACCUUGAAUGGCAAGUGCUAGGUGAGAGGUAUGAGCCAUCGCAAGAUGCAUCAGUGAGAGGGAUUUAGUGUUUGAACCCAUUAAAGGGAAGCAUCUGUACCACACCGGUUCGAGAAAUAACUAUAUGUUAAAUCCCUAAUGCGAGGAAAAGAAACAAGUGACCGGAACUUCCUUUUUGUACAAGGAACCUGAGUCUAGUGAUCUAAACUCCAAGAAACACUUUUCUUUGUAAGUAAAAUUAGUUACUAUUUUUGGUUAGUUUAAAACCAACCUUUUCCACCAUAGAUUAUGUUUUCUUUUACAGCUAACCUUGAAAUGAAAAGGCACCAAGUCAGCUUUGAAUUAAUAUCAAUUGUGAAGUGAAAACCCAUCCCAGUGAAUGAUCCUAGAGCCACUAUGCUAUAGUAGCUUUGUCUUUGCUACCCUAGUUAAUGGUGUAAUAGGUUAUAAAUUUUGUUGAUUACUCCCUCAAUCAAGGAGCACUAGCUGGACACGAAUCAGCUGAGACACCAAUUGGGCACGAAUCAAAUGGCGUCGUUGCCGGGGACGAAUCAAAUGGCGCCGUUGCCGGGGAUCAAACGAAUCAUAUAUUAUCUUGUUUAUCUCAACAUAUUGUUUAUUCUUGUUAUAUAUCUUACUUGCUUAUCAUAAUCUUGCCUAGCUUGUGUGUAGAUAUGAGUGAUAUACUUGUUAUUUGCAUGACUGCUUGGUGCAUGACUAUUAUUCUUCUAUGCGAUGCAUGUAUUGCUUGUCUGUGUGGGAUACACAUCUAUUCCCUUACCUCUAACUCCCUAGUCUCGGUCAACCUUGUUUCCCUUGAUCUCGUAUUUGAUAUGAGACUUGUUACUUUGUUUACUCUUCAACCGAGCUAGUGAUUCAAAAUAGGGUUUAGUGAUGGGCAAUAUCUAUGUUUGGAAGCAUUCUAGAGGAGGUCAACACAUUGAUGCUGAUUGGAGUUCGAUCUUUGAAGACGUGUAUAGCUCAGAGCUAGAUUUUAGGAUAUUUGUGUGACCAGUUUGUUUUCUCUGUGUUUAGUUUGAUAAGAUUUUCGGAUGUGCCCACACCAUUCACUAUGAACCUUAGAUUACCACUAAGUGUUGAGAAUUAUGAGAGCUUUCACCAUAGGAAACAUCCCUUGGGAUGUCGAGUAGUGCAUGUGUGGAGGUGAUGACCACCUUGCAUGGAAGCGUCCCAUCUUUUCAGAGAUGUGUAGAGGGUUGUGUACUGCCAAAGGGUAUGAUCGUUUCUGUUAGGGCUCCUUUAAAAUCCACUUUUUCUUUUUAGAGCCGCCUUGACCUUGUGGGUUGAGCCUUAGAUCAUUUGAUUAGGAUUUUCUUUCCUACACAUGGGCGCAUUUGAGAGCCUUCAGGGUUGCUUUAGUCACAACAUGGAUCUAGUACUCCAUCUUUUAGUCUCCAAUCGAGAGUGCUUAUAUAUUGGUGCUAGUUUGAGUAUCAGUUGGACCACCCCUUGUUGUAUGGUUUUGGUUUCUUCUUAUCGCUCGGUGAGUCUAGCACACUUUCUCCCUAGGACUUUAGAUACUUUUUUUUUUCUUAAGUUGACACAUUCUUUCAUUUUGUUGUCACUUUCUGCUUGACAUUUUAGGAUAUGCUCAUUGAUUAUGCUCACAUUUUUACAUUCUUCACGUUUCAUGAGCUUGGUACUUCAUUCUUUGGUCGAUUUACCUAUUUUUAUUUUCAACCCGAUAUUUUCAUUACAGAAAGGUGAAAGAUAUGUUUUCACAUUCACACCAUUUUUAAGAGGUUUGCCUUUAUCACCUAAUCAUUUUUCUUUAUUGAGCUUGGGUUGAAAGUGAAUCAGAGAUAUUUUGUUAUAGAUGGAGUAUCGAUCUCAUGGUAGUGUUGUUUUUCACGCCUCAUUCAUUUUCUGGAUUAUUGAUAAAGAUUCUUUAGUCACAUUGUAGCCAUCUCACAGUGGACACCUUUAUGACCUUAGAGUUUAUGUCAUUUAUCCGGUUUUAGAUUGUCAUCAUAGAACCAUAUAUCAUAUGAUGUGUUGUACUUUUGACUUGGGACAUGUAUUCAUUUGCACAUUGUGGUCUUGAGGCCUAACCUAUCAUGGAGGAUAUUGAACUUAUUAGUCUAGGAUCGGAGAUUUGACCAAGGGAAUUUGAGACUAUGACCCAUCUUCUUAUCAUCAGAGCAAUACCUUACUCACUCCCACACCUAGACUUUGCUUCAACCUACAUCUACCUAUUGUGAAUUUUACACAACAUCACCCUUGACACCAUUACAUGACCUUUCCAUCCCUAGUUGUUCUAGCUUUGCAUAUCCUUUCUUUGAUUCGACCAAGUAGAGUGUGAGGAGUUUGAGCCCAGGGUUGAUCUUUCAUGGUAAGGGAUGACUUAUGAUCUUUGGGUGGCUUACGACGUGAGGAUUGGUCGAUUGUCUGAUGGGAUUGUCACUUAUUCUUCCAUCAGUAUAGAGAUUGAUUUUGUAUGAUGAGAGUUGGCUUGUGAUGAACAGUUGUGCCUUAUGAGAUCUUCAUUUACUUUGCUUUGAGAUGAUUAUCUUUUAGAUUAUUAUGGAGCAUUUGGAGUAAGGUUUGGUACACGAUUCCAGAGGGUUGAUGUGGUUAUAUCAAAUGGACAUUGAUCUUCAGUAUCGAUCAUUUAAGGGUUUGAGAACAUGAUGUUUGAGACCGUGGUUGUAGGAUGGGUGACCUUCAUUUCGGUUAGCUCACACCCUAUUACCUUUAUUGACAUCUAGACCAUUGCUAGCCCUUUGAGUCUCGCAUGAGCAUCAUAACCUUUUCUUUCUUAUAGCCUUACUUACCUUUUACACCGGGGUAGGGGCCCUCUGGUGUAUAUAUGCUUUAUUCGGAAGUCUCAUGAGCCAUGGACUUAUUGACUCAUCUUCUUCACUAUUUUUUUGUUAUCCUACCAUCAUUUUUCAUCAUACCUCUUUGUUUAUAUCCUUUGUCUUUGUCAUCGCAUUUCUCUCUAUGCCAUGAGUGAUGAUCUUUCACAUUUCAGUGCAUGGAUGACGGUCAUGUCCCCUUCCGUUCCUAUGUCAUGGACACUGGUUUGGAGAUCUUUAGUUGAGAAGGUCAUCUUAUCAAAGAGAGUUCAUGUACAUUAUUGUUUGAGAGUAUAUUCAUUUCAUUAUGUAUUCUCAGAGGAUCAUUGUCUUCUCCAUUAUUACAUACAUUAGUGAUUUGACUAUUCUCCAUGAUUUGAUUUGAGUGGAUUAGUGCUCAUUCAUUUUCCUUCGAUCUGUUUGUUCUUCUAAUGAUAUUUCAUUCGCCUUGCUUACAUUGUUCUCUGUUCAUAGUGAUUUACAUUCUAUGUUCGAUAUUUUUCAUACAUCAUUCUUGUACAUCCCAUUAGCAAUUCAAUAUAUUCCUUUCUUCUCUUUCAUCAUUGAUAUAUUCAUCUUUGAUUCUUUCUUCAUCAUUGAUAUAUUCAUAUUGGACAUCCUCAAAUCCAUGAUUUAUGAGACUCUCUGUACAUAUUGCAUUUUACACAUGAGGGUAUAAGGUUUUAUCAUUGGGAUUAUUGAGCCUAGUUUCCCUUCAUUUCUUCACCUUAUUACCCUAGCCUGUCACAUCUUGAGUCUUAAGACCACCCUAAGGCCAUGACAUCACACAUUGCGUUUAAUAGCUCUCACAUGGGCGAUACUUAGGAUCGGUUGGAGAGCAUUUUGAUUAUGAUGGUUCGGGAGUUGUGGUAUGACCCCACACUGGGGCAUAGCCACUUCAGAGAGUUUUUAUCGGGUAUGCGUCCAUUUUGCUUAAUACAUUCUAUUAGGACACACCUUUCUUGGUUCGGGGUUGAUUUUUUAGAUGACCAUUAUGUCGAGGCAUACUCUUCUUAGCUGAUGAUGGAUUUUGAGUCCUGGUCAUCCCUUUUAGGAUAUCAGAUGUCCUUUUUCACAUUGGAGCAUGAGACAUGAUUGGUAUAUUUCAUUUGGUGUACUUUACACAAGGGUAUAUUUCUUAGUUGAUGAUGGUUAGAACUAAUUCUUCUUUAAUCUAUUUUUUUUACCUAAGUAAGUCAUUGGAUAAACAUGUGAAAAUUGGCUUUUACAUGAAUAUAUGAAUGUGAAUCUAUGUCUCUUUGAUUUUGUAUUUUUGGUUAAUGGAUGCUUAUAGCUCACCUUUCACAAUACACACACUUACACUAAUAGAUGAUCACAUGUUUAGGCUUAAUUAGACACUUGCUUAGGACACUUUUGUAUCAUAAUUUGGCACCUAAAAUAGAUCACUAAUAGUUUUGUAUACAGCCGCACUUUAGGUUCACCUUUAGAUUCACAUUAGUUCACAUUCACACACUUUCACUUCUUUUUAUUAUUUGUUGUUUGAUAUCUCAUGUGUUUUAAUGAUUUUAAAAUUGUUUUCAACUCUUUCCAUAAAUAAAUCAAUCCUUCAACCUCAUUCAAAAUUCAUCAUUUGGUUAUUAGGUAUGAAAAUCUAUUUUUCAACAGUCAUGCUACAAAUUUCAAUCGAUAUGCAUUUUUCCAUUAUUUUUUAAAUGAAUUUCGAUUUUGAAAUACAUGAAAUAAAUUCAUGGCUCCACAUCAAUGGGGUAAUUCCUUACCUUGGUGGGCUUAUCUAUGAUCACAUGAGAUUAAGGAAGUAUGGAUAAUUUUCAUGGGCAUUACUUUGGCAAGUGGUAAAUCCCUACAUUCAAGUUUUUCAAGAACAAAUAUUCAAUUGUCUCUUGGGGUAAUUUGUUCAACCUUUGAAAUAAAAAAUUAAAUUAAGAUUAUUUAAAGCCUUCCUAAAAGUUUUAUAAUAAUUGAAUGAUGUUGUAGACUUCCUAAAUGUGUUAAUAUAGUUUUGUUUGAGUUCAAAAUCAUUUUUCAAUUAAUAGAUAUAAAUCAAUCUUUCUAUUGGUUCAUUUUCACUCUAUUCUAAACACUUGGAAUUUUUUUCUAAAAUUAAAUUAUUUAAUUCAUUAAUUCCUUUUUAUAUUUUUCCUUUAAUCUAGACUUCUUAAAUUUAAUCUUAGGCACCUAAAACACUCAAAACUGAUCCCCUAAGUAGGAAUUGUGUUUUUUGUUUUUUUGCUCCUAUUGUACAAGUUCUUUUCUAUAGUUAAGGGGAUGGUUUAUUAAUUCUAAAGAUGUUAUGUGUGUGAUCAUGCUUUGUGACUAUUUUUCAUGUAAACUAGUCAUAUUAAAUAGGUUGUAAAAUUUUUUUUUAAGACUUUCAAGCAUCUCUAAAUUAGUCAAAUAAAUUAACUUUUGCAUGUCAUUGAAAUAUGCUCUAUUCUAAACCAAUUGAAGUUUAUGAAAACUAGUAUUAAACAAAAUAUAAUUAAAUAAUUUGACCUUUUGGAUUGUAAUCUAGACACAUAGGAGAGGUUGCCUAAUUUUUUUCAUGACGAAAUCCCACUUCUAGAUAAUGUUUUAGGAUUUAUUUUAUAAACUCCUAUGUUCUGAUCACAUGAUGAUUAUUUUGUGUAGAAACCCAAUUGUGAUUUAAUUUGGUACUAAUUGGCAUAUAAUUAAUUAAUUUGAACUUGGGGAUUGUGAUAUAGACAUGUUAAAGAUGUUGCACAAUUUUUAUUUUGAUGAAAUAACACCUCCAGAUAUUUACUUGGAAUUUAUUUUGUAAAAACCUCUAUUCUACUUUGUUAAUGGUAUUUUGUAUAUUUUGAUAAUUUGAUCACUUUUGUGCAUUCUUGUGAGCUCUUUUGAUUAUUGAUUCACAUUGUAGAUAUAUUAUACACACUAGCUGAACCUUCCUUUAGAUCAAAAUUCUUUAUUUAAUAUUUUAUACAAACUAAUUUUUGAAAGUGAACACAUGAUUAACUAAUUCUAAAAUUUUAAGCAUGAUUACUAUAUCUUGUUUCCUUGUCAUCUUUUACUUCAUGAUUUGAGAUAUGUUAUAUAUUAUGUUGUGGGAUUUGAUUCAUGCCUAAUUGGUGUGCCAGCUGAUUCGUGUCCAGCUGGUGCUCCUUGUUUGAGGGAGUAAUCAACAAAAUUUAUAACCUAUAACACCAUAUACUAGGGUAGCAAAGAAAAAGCUACUAUAGUAUAGUGACUCUAGGAUCGUUCACUGGGAAGGAUUAACAAGCUAUCAAUGAUACCAAUUCAAAGUGAAUUGGUCUUGUUUCAUUUCAAGGUUAGCUUAAGAAAUAAAACACAAACUUUGAUUGGUAAAGAUUUAGACUUAAACUAACUAACACAACAAGUAAUGGGAAUAACUUAGGAAGAAAAACAUUCCUUGGAGAGUUAGGUUUACUGGGGUGGUUCCUCAUGCAAAAGACAUAGCUCCGGUCAGAUGGUUCAUUUCCUCGCGUUAGAGAUUCAACAUAUAGUCACUUCUCUAACCGGUUUUGUACAGAUACAUCCUUUAAUUAGAUUUCAACUUUAAUUCUCUCACUGAUGCAACUUGCAAUGGUUCAAGCCUCUCACUAAGCCUUAACCAUUCAAGGUGAUCUUUAACCUUGGAAUUCCCUUCUCAAGCUCGCAAGAGAUAACUAAUGGAUGUCUCCUUGGAGUCCAAAAGCUUACCAAGUGUUGGAAAUUCCAAAAAAUCCUACCUUAAAGUCACCUCCCAGAUGCUCGCAAGGGGUAAACUAGUGCAUUUCCAUGGUUGGAAAUCACUUGCCUUACCAAGUGUUGGCCCAGGUGACUCUAAGGUGUUUUAAGUUAACUAAAAACAUAGAAAUCCCUAAAGGAUUUCACUUCCUCUUCAUUACUGGCUGAAACCACAAAGUUUGCAUUCUUGCACUUGGAACCUUCCCCGGCAACCUUAGCUCCAAGGAAUUAGAGGUUUAGUUACUCAUUCUCUUGGGAAAACUCCUCAGAGAGUUCAUAACUUAGUAAGAAAAUAAAAAUACAAAGUGAGAAGGUAAGGCAAUACAAAGAACUGAACUUUACUUGCUUACCCAAAACUUUACAAAAGGAUCUCCUCUCUGAGAACAGGCUCCCGAGAGGUACUUAUAUGAACAUAAUAUAAAACUAAUUAUUACAUAGAUAUUUUCUCUUUUUACUAACUUAAAAGCUAAGGAAUCUUGUAAUUGGUGGCUUACAAGGAGUAUUUUGGGAUUUAGACAACAAAAAUCUGAUGUAAAAUAUCUCCCAAUGUCGGUAGCAAAUAUCGGGAUGCUCCAGGAACCAUUUCGCAAGAGAAAAUGGUGUCUGCGAGAUUUCGCAGACACUCAAGAAGGGCUGCGAAAUCACUUCGCAACAAAAAGCUAUUCUCGCAGGGCUGCGAAGUUGGCUUCCACCUUGAGGUUCUCAGCUCCCAGCUUGCGGCAUAUAUCGGGCAACUUCAGAGGGAAAUACACCCUACUGUACAAAAAGGCUGCGAAAUCACUUCGCAACAAAAGGUUGAUUUCGCAGCACUUUGCAAAAUGCUUCCUUCAGCUUGGAGUGAUUGGCUUCCACUGGCUGCAACUUCUUCGUUUCAACUCUGAAUUGCACACUGUUUGAAGCAUUGGAUUGUUGACUUCUUGAGCUUUGAAAUGGUAUAUAGCAUGUAUCAAUUGGACUCCAAAAAAUGCUCCAAAAGUGGCUGCUACGACUGUCAUCAAGAAUAUGCUUCAUGGCAGAUUCUCUUUACUUUUUCUCCUUGCAUUCUGGAUUCACUCUUGGCAAAUGACUUCCAAGCUUUGCCCAAGAUUCCUCAUAAUUCUCCUCAAUCUUGAAUUGCUUUGGUGAUCAAAAUACUAACAAAAACACCAAAACUUACAUAAAGUGAUUAAAAUUGCUUUCAAGGGUCUUUAACAUGCCAAUUGAGUUAAAAGGCCAAAACUACUACUCAAAAGUGUUUAAAAGGAUUAAUUGUAGGCUAUCAAAUGGCACUUUUUGAGUAGUAAUCACUCCCCCCAACCGACAUAUUGCUAGUCCCUUAGCAAUAUAGGAGAGAAAAAUUGAAAAUAAAAAACAAACUAACCUAUAAUGUACAACAUCAUGCUGAUCAAAAACAAUUCUCAAGUGGCAUGAUGAUCUAAUUCUCUCAUGAAACAUUAAAGAAAUAUAAAAGCAAAUUUCAACAAGAGUUAUAACAAACUAUGCUAAACACUAUCAAACAAGGGAAUGCAUUAUGCAAACUGAAGUUUUAAAAUCAUUUCCACUUUCAAAGAACCAAACGUUAUUCUUCCUCAAAAAUCUAUGUGUAUUGGUUCCUUAGCUUCUGAGAAUAAUAUGCUAAACUAAUCUCUCCCCCCAACCUAUCUCUUUUCAACACUUAGCAAACUGACCAAAAUCAAUAAAGAAAGAACACACUUUCUCUUUUUUUUUUUUUUUAGAAGGGGCUUAAUGGGGUACUCUUUCUGAAUUGUCCAUGUAAUGGGGGUCCAUUGAUGACUCCCAACCAAUUAAGGUUUAGGGCACCAAGCUUUAAGGAUCUUUCAACCACUAACUCCUCGGAUUUUUCCCCGGACUUUUGAGAAUGAAUUUCUAAUACCCAAGCACCUACCACAUGCUAACUCCACCUAUCCACCCUUGUAACGAGCAUUGAGGUCGGUGACUCCCAACCAAUUAAGGCUUAGGGCACCAGGCUUCAAAGAUUUUCACCAUAUACCCCUCAGACCUUGCUCGGGUUUUAAGGCAAGAAAACAACUUUCUUUAUUUCAAAGGCUCAUUGGCCUUUUGCAGGGUGUUUCAAUUUUAUCAAAUGAGGUCAAAUAUACCAAGUCCCAAAAUUAUCCUAAGUCGAGAGGGAAAUAGCUUUUCAUGUUAUAAUCGGAAUCUAAUGUGCACAGUGUGUGAAUAGCUUAAAGUGGAAGAACUAAAUUCAAUUUCAAUAGAAGCUUCAACAAUUGAACCACUUUAGUGAGCAUAAUCCAUACUCUAAGUCAAGUGAAAAGCAACAGUUCAAUUUCUCCUGUUUUAAUUUGAAAAUUUUUCCUCAAGAUUCAUGGAGAAUAGAGUAAAAAGAUUAAAAAGCAAAAACUACAACUAAUUUACCAAAAUAAUUGCAUUACUAAAAAGGCUUAGCAUACUUCCUUUAAUUUAGCAUAACUUCCUUCCUCAUUCCCCCCCAACUGAACUGAGCAUUGUCCUCAAUGUGAUAUGAGUGAUUGUAAUUAAAGAGAGGAAGGGGUACCUCCUGAGUGAUAUCAAAUUCGAAUACUGAUUGGAGAAACCACAUGUUUCAAAAAGAAUAGAAUAUGUGAGAAAAGGAAAUAAGGAUAACUUAAUGCUAAAGGUUAACAAGAAAUAUUAAACUUGUAUUACUUUGAAUCCAUUUAAGUACAAUGUAAAAGAAAAGCAAUACAAGCAAUCCCAAAUAUAGUACCAAAAUAAUGGGAUUUCUUUCCAACUAAAAAAAAAACGAAAUACAUAAAAGAAUAUAUAUAUAUAUAUAUAUAUAUAUAUUCUGAUGAGUGGGUGGUGCUGGGGCUAGGCAGAUGGGUCUGCCUCUUCAGCUGGUGCUUCAGAUGGGGCCUGAGGCUCUGCUGGAUGAGAGUGUGGCACUGCUGUGGUAGAUGUGGAGGGCUCAACAGCUGGUGACAGGUCGAAAUGAAGCUGGAGCUGCCUUAAGAUGGCAGUGUGUUGAGCCUGAGUGGCCAACAUCUGCUCUUGGCAUGCUCUAAUGGCUGCCAUCUCUUGAGCAAGACUGCUCUGAGAUGCUGUGAGGGUCUCCAAUGAAUGGCACAACUCUCUGUAUUCAGAAAUGGGAAUGACCAUCCUCGGUUCAACUGAAGUGGAUGGCUGAGAUGAAGCUGGAGCAGCUGGUGGAGCUCUGGGAAUGGCAGGAGCAGCAACUGUUAUACCCUCAGGUAUGUGUCAUGGGGAUGCUCUCCUAGCAGCUGGCUGUGGCCGCUCAGGCUGGUCAACUCUAUAAGCUGUCAUGUUGUUCCAUUUGUCGAGAGUAAAUAGCUCACGACAAAUGCGUUUGUGCUCCAACUGAGGCUCAAAAGGAUACCCCAAGUGCUCCAGAAUUUGGUAUAGCAGCCUUGGAAAGAGGAGGGGAAUGGUAUCAGCCCUCUGAAGCUUCUUUUUGUGUACUUUCUCUUCGAAAUAGAGAAGGGCUGUCAGAAUUAGAUGAUGAGGCCCAAAGAAAAAUCCCUCAGACAUCUUGUACAGGGCUUCUAAGAGGACUCCUCUUCUUUGAGUCCAAUGCUGCAAUGGAUAGAGGUUAUGACGCAAAAAUGCAUCAAUCAGAAACAUGAUUGGAGGAAGCUCCCCCUCAACAGAUGUGAUCGCGUAGCAGCUCCUCUGGACAGGGUGUGCACCAUCUCUAGUUCAGUAUGACUGGUCCAAGCUUUAAAAUUAUCGAAUUGGCUUGGCUCGUAGGGAAUUUGCAAGGCUUCAGCUAUAUGGCGAGCUCCCAGCAUGCCAUGCCUCCCAUCAAUAGUGAAAUGAAUUAAAGUUGGAUCCCUGACCUGUUUGGUUGUCAUGGAUUGAUAGAAAUCCAUGGCUAUCCUGGGGUAGAAAAAGUCUCUUGGAGUCAGUAGGUGCUCCAUGUGGUAUCUCCUCAGCAAGUUGAAUGACUGUGCAAGCUCCGACUGAAAUCGGAAUGUGGCUAUGUCAAAGCAUAGCUCGGAGUGGAAUAACCGACCUCUACAAUCCAAAUUUCCCUCAAUUGGGGGCUGAGUUAGCAUUGGCCGCCUGAUUACUUCUUCCAGAGCUAUUUCAGAUGGAAUUUGGGGCUCGGGAAGUGGCGGCUGAGGCUCCUGUGGUUCUGCUUGCGGCGCCGGAGAUGGCACCGGAGGCUGAAUUGGCGAGGGAAUCGGCGAGAGAAUUGGAGUUGGAACCGGCGAGGGCUCUGGAGAUUGCUCAGUCAAGUCAAUGGGUUAUGAGCUUUCAACCCUGGGUCUCUUUUGCAGUGGCCGACCCCCUGACUUGGUAAGGUAACGCCUUGCCGGAGGCUUUGGCGGCGCGGACUUCACCGGAGGAGGAACUGCUCUUGGCUGCGAAGGCUCAGAAAUUGGCUCCUUUCGCAAGCUUUUCUUGCGGCUUGAAGGAGAGGAAGACUUGGCCCCUCUGGUUCAGGCCAUUUCGGGUUGCCGAAAUUUGGCCGGAACGGAUGAUCGGGGAAGAUGACUGGAGGCUUGCGCGGUGAGGCUCAAGGAAGGAGAUGAACAGCCUGCGAGAAUGGCGCGCUCUAUUUUGAAACCCUUUUCGCAGCUCAAAUGACCGGUAUAUAUAGUAAUAACGGAAGACUAAGGGUCAGUUUGAGUUUCGCAGAAAAAUGUCAAUUUCGCAGCAAAACGCCAUUUUCGCAGCCACUUCGCAAUGCGUUUCGCAGCUGCGAAAUGAAUGUAACUGUGCUGCGAAGUGGCACACGUGUGCCAAAAUCGCUUUCGCAAUUGCGAAAUACCCUAUGGAAUGGGACUUUUGUUGCGAAAUCUGGGCUUUACCGCUUCGCAACUGCAAAAUGGGGGCUCCUGUGCUGCGAAGUGGCACUCGUGUGCCAAACUCGCCUUUGCAGCUGCGAAAAUUCUCGCAGAGAAUCCCAAAGUGUUGCGGAAUGGUUUGGCAACAAAAUGCUCAAUUCGCAGAAUAUUUCUUUAGGUUGCGAAAUCUCGCAGAGCUCUGUUUUUGCUCUGUUUUUACUCUGUUUUUGCUCCGAUUUCGCUCCGAUUUUUUUCUUUCAAUUUCUUUGCAUUUUCUUCCACCUGGGAUCAUUCAAAAAGAUUAAAACACACAUAAAAACAUGAUUUAAGAUCAAAAACUAAGAUCAAAAGUAUGGAAAAAAACUUGGAAAUUUACAAAAUUUACAAAAAUUUUGGACUGUGGUAAAACCACGUCCACCAAAACCUUCUUUGCUUAGGCUUUUUGUGGUUCAAGGAGGUUUAUUUCCUCCUUUUCUGGUUUGAAUGGCUCCAUGAAUGGCUUGAGACAAUAUCCAUUGACUCUAAAGGUGUCUUUGCCAUUGGAAUUCAAUAAUUCCACCACUCCAUUAGCAAAUAUUCGGUGAAUAAUGAACGGGCCUAUCCACCUUGACUUGAGCUUCCCAGGAAAGAUAUGGAGUCUUGUGUCAUACAGUAAAACUCUUUGCCCUUUCUGAAAUUCCUUGUUGGAGAUUAGUUGAUCAUGCCACUUCUUCAUCCUCUGUUUUGCAACUUUGGAAUUGAUAUAAGCAUUAUUUCUUAAUUCCUCCAUCUCAUUAAGGUCUAGAUAUCUCUUUUCUCCGGCUCUGAUCAAGUCCAUGUUCAGCUUCUUUAUUGCCCACCAAGCUUUGUAUUCAACUUCCAUAGGGAGAUGACACGCUUUGCCAUAGACAAGACGAUAGGGAGACAUGCCAAGAAUAGUCUUAUAAGCUGUUCUAUAUGCCCACAAUGAAUCAUGAAGCUUAAUAGACCAAUCCUUUCUGCUGGAGUUCACUACUUUCAUCAAUAUAUUCUUUAUUUCCCUGUUAGCUAGCUCAACUUGCCCGGAAGUCUGAGGAUGAUAAGGUGUAGCCACCUUAUGCUUCACUCCAUACUUGGAUAACAGAGCUUCAAAAGGUUUGUUGCAAAAAUGAGCACCUCCAUCACUGAUUAUGGCUUUGGGCACCCCAAAUCUUGAGAAAAUGUUCUCUUUAAGAAACUUGAGAACCACCCUGUGAUCAUUUUGUUUACAGGGGAUUGCCUCAACCCAUUUAGAAACAUAAUCCACCCCCACCAAGAUGUAAGAAUUACCAAAAGACAUUGGGAAAGGUCCCAUGAAGUCAAUGCCCCAUACAUCAAAUAACUCAACUAUUAGAAUGGGGUUCAUAGGCAUUUGAUUUCUUUUUGUUAACUUUCCAAGCCGUUGGCAUCUAUCACAACUCCUACACAUGAUGUGGGCAUCUUUAAAAAGAGAUGGCCAAGUAAACCUUGAUUGCAAUACCUUCAUGGCUGUUUUCUGAGAGGCAAAGUGGCCUCCACAUGCAUUCUCAUGACAAUGAGAUAGAAUCCCUUGCUGCUCAUCUUCAGGGACACACUUCCUUAUUAUCUGAUCUGCACAAUACUUAAAAAGAAAGGGCUCUUCCCAAUAAUAAGCAUGAAUUUUGGCAAAGAAGUGUUUCCUGUCCUGUGCAUUCCACUCACUUGGAAUUUCACCAGUUACUAAAUAAUUAGUAAUAUGAGCAUACCAAGGAGUUUUCACUAGGAACAUGAGUGAUUCUUCAGGAAAAUCAUCAUUAAUAGGCAAAGGAUGGGAAUUAUGUGUUAUAACUAACCUCGAAAGGUGGUCAGCUACCACAUUCUCCACUCCUUUCUUAUCUUUGAUUUGGAGAUCGAAUUCUUGUAACAGAAGAAUCUAUCUAAUCAACCUUGCUUUUGCAUCUUGCUUUGUCAAUAAAUACUUCAAGGCUGAAUGGUCAGUGAAGACAAUGAUGAAAGACCCCACUAAAUAAGCACGAAAUUUGUCCAAAGCAAAUACCACAGCUAACAAUUCUUUCUUUGUAGUUGUGUAGUUCCUUUGAGCUUCAUUCAAUGUUUUACUUGCAUAGUAAAUCACAUAGGGCUUCCCGUCUUCUCUUUGGCCAAGCACAGCUCCUAUAGCAAAGUCACUGGCAUCACACAUCAGUUCAAAAGGUAAUUGCCAGUUAGGGGCUCUCACUAUUGGAGUUGUUGUUAAAAAUUUCUUCAAUUGAUCAAAGCUAACAACUCACAAAGAGGUUUUGAAAGACUUGAAAAACCUUUAAUAAAUCUCCUAUAGAACCCUGCAUGGCCAAGGAACUGCCUUACUCCUUUUACAGUUGUUGGGGAUGGUAAUUUGACAAUAAGCUCCACCUUUGAUUUAUCAACUUCAAUGCCUUUUUCAGAGAUGAUAUGGCCAAGGACAAUUCCUUGACGUACCAUAAAAUGACAUUUCUCCCAGUUGAGCACCAGGUCUUUUUCAAUGCAACUGUGAAGAACUGCUUCCAAAUUAACUAAGCAUUCCUCAAAUGUACCUCCAUAUACGAUGAUGUCAUCCAUGAAAACCUCCAUAAUUCGCUCCACCAUAUCACUGAAAAUACUCAACAUACAUCUUUGAAAUGUAGCAGGUGCAUUGCAUAAACCAAAAGGCAUUCUCCUGUAAGCAUAUGUUCCAAAUGGACAUGUAAAAGUGGUCUUUUCCUGAUCUGCCACAUCAAUUUCAAUCUGAAAAUACCCUGAAUACCCAUCCAAGAAGCAAUAGAACGGAUGUCCAGAGACUCUCUCCAGCACUUGGUCAAUAAAUGGCAAUGGAAAAUGAUCUUUCCUGGUUACAACAUUCAACUUUCUAUAAUCAAUACACACCCUCCAACCUGAAGUGAGGCGUGUAGUAAUUUCUUCUCCUUUUUCAUUUUGAACCACUGUGAUCCCUGACUUCUUUGGUACCACUUGAGUAGGACUCACCCAAGGGCUAUCAGAUAUAGGGUAAAUGAUUCCUGCUUGAAGUAGCUUCAGCACCUCAGCUCGCACCACCUCUUGUAGAUGAGGAUUCAAUCUUCUUUGAAGUUGACGAAUUGGCUUUACUUCCUCCUCCAUAUAUAUAUGAUGAGUAAAACUAAAGGACUAAUGCCUUUCAAGUCGGAUAUUUGCCAUCCUAUUGCCUUCUUACACCUCUUGAGAACUUCUAUUAAACAAUUCUCUUGAUGAUUGGUCAGAGAUGAAGAUAUCACAACAGGACAUUGAUUAUUUUCUUCAAGAUAUUUAUAUUUCAGCUCCACAGGUAGAGGCUUCAGAUUGAGUUUUGGAAUUUCUUUUUCAGCAGCUGCCUCUUCUUCUUUAUUGAACAAAGGUAGAAUCUCUUCUAUCUUUCUCCAACUUUGUAGAGUAGCAAGCACAGUAGGAGAUUUAGACAAACCUUCCUCAAAAUCUACAAGACUUUCGUUCAACUUGUCUUGCAUAUUUUGAUUACAGUGCUCCUCCACCAAAGUAUCAAUAAUGAAUAGCUCUUCUGGACCUUCUUCUUCUUCUGGAGUGAUUUGCUUUUUAGACAUAUAGAAAAUAUUGAGAUCCAGUGUCAUGUUGCCAAAAGUGAGUUGCAUCAGCCCAUUCCUGCAAUUGAUGAUUGCAUUUGAGGUAGCAAGAAAUGGCCUUCCAAGGAUGAUAGGAACUAAAUUAGCUUCCUUUACAGUAGGAUCUGUAUCAAGAACAAUAAAAUCUACUGGAUAGUAGAAAUUAUCCACUUGAACCAAGACAUCCUCAAUUACCCCCCUUGGAAUUUUUACUGAUCUAUCUGCUAGAGAUAGAGUGAUUGCUAUUGGCUUCAAUUCCCCAAGUCCCAAUUGCUUAUAGACGGAAUAUGGAAGCAAAUUCACACUUGCCCCCAAAUCUAACAAGGCUUUUUCCACUAUCUUUCUUCCAAUCAUGACUGAAAUGGUAGGACUUCCCAGGUCUUUGUACUUCAAAGGAGACUUACAUUGUAAGAUUGCACUUACUUGCUCAGUCAAGAAGGCUUUCUUGUUUACAGUCAACCCUCUUUUGAUAGUACAUAAGUCCUUAAGGAAUUUUGCAUACGUUGGAACUUGUUUAAUCAUAUCUAGCAGUGGAAUAUUGACUUUCACUUGUCUCAAUACUUCAAGGAUUUCAGCUGCAUUUCUAAUUUCCUUUUUCCCAUGUAAUGCUUGAGGAAAAGGUGGAGAGGUUGAUUUCUUCAGCAUUUCUUCCUUCAGAAGUUCCUUCUCUGGAAUUGCAUUCAUUGUUGAAUCAGAGUCCUUCGUUUCUUCACUAAUCUCAUUCUCUUUAUCUUCCAUUUCCUUCCAUUUCUUUAUCUCUUCCUCUUUCUCCACAUAUGGCUCGGGUGUUGGCUUCUCAAUUUUUUUACCACUCCUUAGAGUGAUCAAGGCUUUGACAUCUUUCGUCUGCGAUGAUUCUCCCUCUUGGAUUUCCACUUCAUAGACACCUUUGGGGUUCUGGUGGGGUUGAGAAGGAAAUCUUCCCUUUUCUUGCAGUGUAUUCAAAUUUGUAAGCCUUGAAAUUGAAUAUUGGAUGUUAUCAAACUUUUGGUUCAUAUCAUUUUGCAUUCCAUCCAUCCUUUUAUUCAACAUACUCUCCACUCUGUCAAUUCUUUGAUAGAUUUGAGCAUUGGUGGCUUCUUGGUUUCCAAUAAAAUCUCCCACUACCUUGCUGAGAUUAGUCAUUGCUUGUUCAAGACUUGAAGAUUGUUGAGAUGGUGGAUCCGACUGUUGGUAUUGAGUUGCUCUGGCCUUCCAUGAGAAAUUUGGAUGAUUCCUCCAACUUGAGUUGUAGGUAUUUCCAUAAGGCGCAUUGUUAUUGGGUCUGAAUUGUCCAACAACAUUUGCUUGAUCUCUAAACAUUUCCCUUUCAGCUGAAAUUGCAGGGCAUUCCUCCACCAAAUGUUCAUAUGAUUGACAAUUAGGACACAACUUCACUUGCACUGAUGCUUCAGCAACAGCUUGCACUUCAUGAAUUCUUUUCAGCUCCAGCUCCUCCAAUCUUCUUGUCAUAGCUGCCAACUUUGCUUUCAUAUCAUCAUCUUCUUUCAAGGUAUACAUCCCAGCCUUUGCAUUGAAAGCACUUAGUUGAGACUUCAUCUUACCCACUUCUCCUUUGGUUGGUUCAUCCCAUCCCCUUGAAACAUCAGCUACAUAGCUCAAGAAAUCCAUAGCUUCCUCUGGAUUUUUGCUCAUGAAAUCUCCUCCACACAUUGUCUCGAGGAGUUGCUUCAUUGAGGAGGACAUACCAUCAUAAAAAUAGCUCACCAGUAACCAAGUAUCAAAGCCAUGGUGAGGGCAAGCAUUUAUAGCUUCCAUAUAUCUUUCCCAACACUCAUAGAAUUUUUCAUUCUCUUUAGCUGAGAAGUUUGAAAUUUGCCUUUUCAAGCCAUUUGUUCUAUGAGUGGGAAAAAAUUUCUUGAGGAAUUCAACUUGUAAGUCAGUCCAAGAACGGAUACUCCUUGGCCUUAAAGAAUUAAGCCAAAUUUUGGCUUUAUCCUUUAAAGUAAAAGGAAAUACAUCAAAUCAAUUGAAGCUCCUCCCUCUUGGAAUGUAUUACAAACAUCUUCAAAUUCCUUGAUGUGUGCAUACGGAUUCUCACUUUCCAUCCCAUGGAAAGUUGGUAGAAGUGGAACAAGAUACGGUCUGAUCACUAGCUGCUCUGUAGGGGGCACUAUACAUGAUGGUGCACUCAUACGAGGUGGAUGCAUGCGGUCCCUCAUUGAUCUGAAUUCAUUGAGAUUGUCUUGAUGACCUUGGUGACUAUGCUGAUCUUCAGGUGUAGCUUCCACGAUAUUCAAGCUCAAUUCGAAUUCGUUGUUAUGAGGUGUAUCACACUUAAAAAGCCUUCCUCCAUUGUCUCGUAUCCACUUUGGCAUACACAACUAGUAUCUAUCUACAACUUAAAUGAAAAUAAAGGACAACAACAGAAACAGGGCUACAACAACAAAAUUAAAAUAGGCUAAAUUUAAAAGAUAAACUUGGAUUAUGAAUAAAUAAAGAAAGAAUGAGAAUUAGUAAAGUGAAAGAAACGUUACCAAACUUGUGAUGGAAAUCACAAGUGCUCAAAAAUGGUAUCACUAUAAAAUUGACACCUUCCUCGGCAACGGCGCCAUUUGAUUCAUGCCUAAUUGGUGUGCCAGCUGAUUCGUGUCCAGCUGGUGCUCCUUGUUUGAGGGAGUAAUCAACAAAAUUUAUAACCUAUAACACCAUAUACUAGGGUAGCAAAGAAAAAGCUACUAUAGUAUAGUGGCUCUGGGAUCGUUCACUGGGAAGGAUUAACAAGCUAUCAAUGUUACCAAUUCAAAGUGAAUUGGUCUUGUUUCAUUUCAAGGUUAGCUUAAGAAAUAAAACACAAACUUUGAUUGGUAAAGAUUUAGACUUAAACUAACUAACACAACAAGUAAUGGGAAUAACUUAGGAAGAAAAACAUUCCUUGGAGAGUUAGGUUUACUGGGGUGGUUCCUCAUGCAAAAGACAUAACUCCGGGCAGAUGGUUCAUUUCCUCGCGUUAGAGAUUCAACAUAUAGUCACUUCUCUAACCGGUUUUGUACAGAUACAUCCUUUAAUUAGAUUUCAACUUUAAUUCUCUCACUGAUGCAACUUGCAAUGGUUCAAGCCUCUCACUAAGCCUUAACCAUUCAAGGUGAUCUUUAACCUUGGACUUCCCUUCUCAAGCUCGCAAGAGAUAACUAAUGGAUGUCUCCUUGGAGUCCAAAAGCUUACCAAGUGUUGGAAAUUCCAGAAAAUCCUACCUUAAAGUCACCUCCCAGAGGCUCGCAAGGGGUAAACUAGUGCAUUUCCAUGGUUGGAAAUCACUUGCCUUACCAAGUGUUGGCCCAGGUGACUCUAAGGUGUUUUAAGUUAACUAAAAACAUAGAAAUCACUAAAGGAUUUCACUUCCUCUUCAUUACUGGCUGAAACCACAAAGUUUGCAUUCUUGCACUUGGAACCUUCCCCGGCAACCUUAGCUCCAAGGAAUUAGAGGUUUAGUUACUCAUUCUCUGGGAAAACUCCUCAGAGAGUUCAUAACUUAGUAAGAAAAUAAAAAUACAAAGUGAGAAGGUAAGGCAAUACAAAGAAUUGAACUUUACUUGCUUACCCAAAACUUUACAAAAGGAUCUCUUCUCUGAGAACAGGCUCCCGAGAGGUACUUAUAUGAGCAUAAUAUAAAACUAAUUAUUACAUAGAUAUUUUCUCUUUUUACUAACUUAAAAGCUAAGGAAUCUUGUAAUUGGUGGCUUACAAGGAGUAUUUUGGGAUUUAGACAACAAAAAUCUGAUGUAAAAUAUCUCCCAAUGUCGGUAGCAAAUAUCGGGAUGCUCCAGGAACCAUUUCGCAAGAGAAAAUGGCGUCUGCUAGAUUUCGCAGACACUCAAGAAGGGCUGCGAAAUCACUUCGCAACAAAAAGCUAUUCUCGCAGGGCUGCGAAGUUGGCUUCCACCUUGAGGUUCUCAGCUCCCAGCUUGCGGCAUAUAUCGGGCAACUUCAGAGGGAAAUACACCCUACUGUACAAAAAGGCUACGAAAUCACUUCGCAACAAAAGGGUGAUUUCGCAGCACUUUGCAAAAUGCUUCCUUCAGCUUUGAGUGAUUGGCUUCCACUAGCUGCAACUUCUUCGUUUCAACUCCGAAUUGUGUACCGUUUGAAGCAUUGGAUUGUUGACUUCUUGAGCUUUGAAAUGGUAUAUAGCAUGCAUCAAUUGGAAUCCAGAAAAUGCUCCAAAAGUGGCUGCUACGACUGUCAUCAAGAAUAUGCUUCAUGGCAGAUUCUCUUUACUUUUUCUCGCAUUCCGGAUUCACUCUUGGCAAAUGACUUCCAAGCUUUGCCCAAGAUUCCUCAUAAUUCUCCUCAAUCUUGAAUUGCUUUGGUGAUCAAAAUACUAACAAAACACCAAAACCUACACAAAGUGAUUAAAAUUGCUUUCAAGGGUCCUUAACAUGCCAAUUGAGUUAAAAGGCCAAAACUACUACUCAAAAGUGUUUAAAAGGAUUAAUUAUAGGCUAUCAAAUAGCACUUUUUGAGUAGUAAUCAGGAUUUAGCCUAUGUUUUUAUAUUCAUUAUCAUUAUUUGUGAAUUAACUCAAUCUUCUUAUGAAAGCGUUUUAUAUGCUAUCAAGGUAUGCUUCCUCUUUUCCCUAUCUCCUUGUUUCUAUUAGUGUGUAUAUUCUAUUCUCGUGAUUGAUCUAUCUUGUCUCACUACUACAAAAAUAAUUUAUGAUGUCACUAUUUAUGGUGUCGCAUUUAUAAAUAAUGACACCAUUGAGCUUAAAAUUUAUAAAGGUGACACAUCAUAUAAAAAAUCUUCAAUUAGGGUAGUUAGAUGAUGCUAAUUUCAUAUUUAUGGUGUCAUUUUUUGGAAGUGACACCAUAUGAAAUAAAAAAAUUUUAAAUUUUAUAACUCAAUGAGCCCUUUUUUAAAAUAGUGAAUAGGAAUAAUUUAUGAAAAGUCCAUUGUUUCCAUAUAUACAUUAACUAAUAUAAAAGAUCUUAUUGCUUAACCCUAACCAUUGUUUUCUUCUCCUUCUUAUCACACCCAUGGUCGGCACACCCAUAAUUGAUAUUCUUUGCUUCGUAAAAUCUCGGGUAAGUCAAAACCCUUAUCUAUCAUCUUCAUUUUUUUUUAUUAAUGCAAAAAUCUUUGUUAAUAUAAUUGUUUUAUAUCUCUUGAUUUAGUAUAUAUAUGAUGUGGGUUUUGUAAAUGGUGUUUUUAUCGAGUUCCAGGGAAGUAAAAACUAGGUUUAACAUUCUAACAUAUUUUUCGUUUCAUUGCUAAUAAGCCCCAAAACAAAUGAAAACAAGAAAAAUGAAUGAUUUUUAAAAUUUUUGUCUAAUUGAGAAUGAGAGAUACACUAGUUUGUAGUAAUUUUUCACAUGAAAUAAUAUUUUAUUGAAGACUUGACUAUAUAGUGUAUUGGUUGUAAUUUUUCACAUGUGAAAAUAUUUUAUUGAAGACUUGACUAUAUUUGAUACCUUUUUCCAUCGUGCUAGGAGCUUUAUGGUGAAGUCUAACAACAGAGAUUGACAUCUACUACAAGAUGAUGCUCAAUUAAUCCAAAAGCACUUAAGCUAUUUAGGGUUUUCUUCGGUUAACCUAAGAAAACAUUCCCACUUUCUUUGUAUUGAGUCACCUAAAUGGAAUAGAAUAUUGAGUAUCAGAGUGGUAAAGGGUAUUAUAAAUAUGACUUUUUUUUUAGAGUCACCUACAUGGAAUGAAUUAUUGGUAGGUGAACAAAAUAUUGGGAUGAUUGUAAUAGUUGAAUUAGUAAAUGGAAGAGAAGUGUAUGUUGCUUUGUUUAUUCUAUAAAAACAAUAAUUUUAGUAGUUGAAAUUUACAUGCUUUGUUGUUUUAUAAAAACAAUAAUUUUAGUAUUUGAAAUUUUAAAAUGUGAAUGAAAUGCCUGAAAAUAUGUUUUGAAAAAUAGGAUAGUAAUAAAUGGAAAAUAGCUCAUUUCCUAAAAAUAUUUUGAUAAAUUAAAAUAAUCUGUGGUUAAAAUAUAUUUUUGUGAAAGUAUUUAAAAAUGAAUCAAAAUAUUAAUAAUUGUUAUUUUGUUUGAAAGUAAUUUAGGAAUAUAAAAUAAUAUUGGGGAUAACUUUUAAGUUUAAAUUGGGUUAUAAAUGGUUAAUUUUUUUAGGACUAUCUUUUUUGAAAAUAAUCCAGUGAUAAUUUUUUAAAAUAAGAAUGUUGAAAAUAAUUUUAAAAAUAAAAUUUUGUUAGCAAUGAUUUUUCUAAAAGUAUUUUAGGCAUAAAUGGAAAUUUCUUGUAUGAAAAUAAGAGAAUUUAUAUAUAUAUAUAUAUAUAUAUAAUAGACAUAAAAAUAUGCAAAUGCGACUCGGAGGUGAACAAGACUCAACUCAAUCUGACAAAACAAUGACCGAUCGAUAUAGGUGUGGUCCCGACUCAAAUUGAACACAAACGGAUAGAAAGAUGGUCGAUCAAUAUGGGUGCGGCCCCAACUCAAACUGACACGACGAAUGACCAAUCGAUAUAGGUGCGGUCCCAACUCAAACUAAAUCGAAACUGACAAGAUGAAUGACCGAUCGAUAUAGGUGUGGUCCCAGAAACUGAACUAACAUGACAAGGAGAUGACCGAUUGAUAUAGGUGUGGCCCCAAACUCAGACUAACACGGAAAAUGACCGAUCGAUAUAGGUGCGGCCCUAAACGCAAACUGACAAGACAGUGACCGAUCGAUAUAGGUGCGGUCCCGACUCGAACUGAACAUAAACUGAUAGAAAGAUAGCCGAUCGAUAUAGGUGCGGCCCCGAAAACUCAAACUGACACGACGAAUGACCGAUUGUUAUAGGUGCGGUCCCAACUCAAACUAAAUUGAAACUGACAAGAUGAAUGACCGAUCGAUAUAGGUGCAGUCCCGACUCAAACUAAACACGAAAAGUGAUAGGAACAUGGCCAAUCGAUAUAGGUGCGGCCCCGAAACUCAAACUGACAUGAAAAUUGACCGAUCGAUAUAGGUGCGGUCCCGACUCAAACUGAACAUGAAAAGUGAUAGGAACAUGGCCGAUCGAUAUAGAUGCGGCCCCAAAACACAAACUGACAUGGAAAAUGACCGAUCGAUAUAGGUGCGGUCCCGACUCAAACCGAACACGAAAAAUGAUAGGAACAUGGCCGAUUGAUAUAGGUGCAGCCUCGAAAUGCAAACUGACAUGGAAAAUGACUGGUCGAUAUAGGUGUGGUCCCGACUCAAACUAAAUACUAAAAGUGAUAGGAACAUGGCCGAUCGAUAUAGGUGCGGCCCUGAAACGCAAACUGGCAUGGAAAAUGACCGAUCGAUAUAGGUGCGGUCUUGACUCAAACUAAACAUGAAAAGUGAUAGGAACAUGGCCAAUCGAUAUAGGUGCGGCCCCGAAAUGCAAACUGACAUGGAAAAUGACCGAUCGAUAUAGGUGCAGUCCCGACUCAAACUGAACACGAAAAGUGAUAAGAACAUGGCUGAUUGAUAUAGGUGUGACCCCGAAAUGCAAACUGUCAUGGAAAAUGACCGAUCGAUAUAGGUGCGGUCCCGACUCAAACUAAACACGAAAAGUAAUAGGAACAUGGUCGAUCGAUAUAGGUGCGGCUCCGAAACGCAAACUGACACGACGAAUGACCAAUCGAUAUAAGUGCAAUCCCAACUUGAAAAUUCAAACAGACAAGAUGAUGAAUGACCUAAUCAAAUGGCCCAAAGCCAAAGGAUAACCUAGAUAACGAUGCAAGAAAACUCGGCCAGAGGGGAUAUGCCCUAGUCUGACAACUCAUGAGGAUCAACAACUAGGUCAAAAGAUAAUGAAGCAUGUGAAAGGUCCUAUGAUCUUAGGGAAGGAGGGUAUGCCCCAGUAUGCAACUCGUGGGGGUCAACAACUAGAUCAGAAGGUGAAUGAAAGUCUACUGAAAGGUCCGAUGCUCUCAGAGAAGGGGGUAUGCCCCAGUAUGACCACUCGGAGGGGUCAACAACUAGAUCGAAAAGUGAAUGAAACCUGUGGAAGGUCCGAUGCUCUUGGAGAGGGGGUAUGCCCUAAUAUGAUGACUCGAAGGAGUCAACAACUAGAUCAGAAGGUGAAUGCAGCCUGUGGAAGGCCCGAUGCUCUUAGGGAAGGAGGAUAUGCCCUAGUAUGCAAUGAUGAACAGACAGAUAUGCAAAAUGCCUCAAAACUAUUGUACUCUGAAAUAUGCUCAUCCAUCAUGUAAUGAAAAUGUCCAAUCUCAGAUAGGUAAUGCCAAACAAGACCAUGUAUCGUGACACCAUGCUGACAAAACAAAACUAAUUAGUGAAUAACAAUAAUAAUGAUCAGUGCUCAAAAUGCAAAAAGCAAGCAAAUCAAUACUUAACAUGCCAACUGUCAAAGUGAAAACAUCGUCACUAAUAAGUCAACAAUCUAUCAGGCCCUGCCAUCAUGGAAGAUAUUGAACCUAAAGUCUGAAAGAUGUAUGAAAACAACACCAAGAUGAUUGAGGAUUGAUCUACAUCUCCUCCUAAUCAAGAGAGGGGUGAGGUCAUGUGUCACGAUGGGAUGUGUAGGAUAAAAGAAGGUGAUGAUCAAGCUCUGGUAUGAUAGAAGGCAUGAGAGUAUCUAGGGUGAAAUGUCUGAGUACGAGAUGAAAGGUAUGUAAGUAUUCGAGAUCAUCCAAGUAUGCCGAGAAGACUAGCCCAAGGCGUCAAUAUCUCCAUAAUCCAUCGAAAGCUGCAGUCACGAACAGAAAAUCAAGUGUCGAUGUCAAAACCUCCAACAAGGUGGCUAUGCCCCAAUAUGCAAUGAGGACAACAUGAAAUAAUCCAAUGAUCUCCAUAUCACUUGUUAGAUACUCCAAUGUCAAGAAUCAAUCUGAUCUCCCUCCAAAAGAUGGAUAUGCCCUAGUGUACAAGAUUCGAUAGGGUGAUUAUGCUCCAAUAAAAAAUACUCUCCAUCUCGUCUAUACCCCAGUGUAAAGUAGUGUAUCCGAACUGCUGAGGAAUACCAUGCCUAGUACGGGUCAACGAAUCAAUCAAUCUCUACUCCUGGUGCUAACAAUGGAAACAUCUCAACAUAAUCCAUAUGAAUCAAAAUCUCCGGGCUCUAUGAAUGUGAAUGAGGUGGCUAUGCCCCAGUAUAAACCAGCUGAAGUGACUAUGCUCUAAUGAAAAAUCAAAGUCCAUCACCAAUGAGAGGGAUACGCCUCAAAAUAAAUCGUCAUCUAAAAAAUCAACCAUCAAUGAGUAGAGUGUGGCCCAAUGCAAAGUAUCGAGUAGAGUGACUGUAUCUCCAAUAAAAGUGCUCUCUGAAAUGGUUGUGCCCCAGUGUAGGGUCAUCCCACAACUCCUGAUCCAUUAUAAUCCAAGUGAAAAAGUGAACUAUCUAUACCUCAGUGCAAGGCAUCAUCCCAAAAGAAAACGUCAUCAAUGAGCGGGGUAUGCCCCAGUGUAGAUAACGUCGCCUAUGAAAAUCCAUCACUAAUAAGAGGGGUAUGCCCCAAUGUAAAUCAUCAUCUCAAUUCCCCAUCCAUCACACUCUAAGAAAUAAUCUCCAACCAAACUAGAGUAUUGCCCACGUGGGAGCUGUCAAACAUAAGGUGAAGUAUUAGCCUUAGGGUGGUCUUCAAACACGGGACAUAACGUAGGCUAAGGUAAUAGGGUGAAAGAAAUGAAAAGAAACUAGGCUCAAAGAUCCCAAUGAUAUAAUCCCCAUACCCCUCGUGCAUGAGAUGCAAUGCGUAGAAAAUGUCAUGAGUCCCGGACCUAGGGGUCCCCACUUAAAAAGUGAUGAUGAAUGAAUGGUCACAUCGAAUAAGCAAGAAUAAAGUGUGGAUGUUAAACCCAUGUCAAACAUCAAACAGGAUGAGAAAAGAAAGAUAAAAGAUGAGGUAGAGUGAAACGAAGGAAUAAAAUAAAGAUAGAAGAAGGCGAAGAGAUAGAAAAAUGAGUGAUGGUCAACCUACAUCAAAGCAUGGAAAGUAGUCACAUCUAAAAUAGAUAGAAUGAUGGAUAGAGCAAGGAUUCGAAGAUACUAAAGAAAAUGUUGCUCGUCUCUCUCACAAAAAUCGAAUGAGCGACUCAUACUAUCACCCAAAACAUAUACCAAGAUAGAAUCUCAGAAAGAAGCUCUCAUAUGAACUCUCUCUAACACAUGAACUCAAUGAAGCAAACUGGCACAUCCAUACACAUGCCCAAUGAAGAAUGAUAAAAUGAACAAUGCGCUAUCCUUUUUUUUUUUUUUUUUUGCGCAUACUCUGAUCAAUAGUGAAUGAUCUCCCAUGAAAUACAUAGCCAAAUGAAUAAACUCUCCCCAUGUACUGAUGUAACAUGAAUCCUCACUAACAAGACAACCACUCAAAAUAAGAUAUCUGAACCACUGCUUAUAAGGCGAACAGAGGGGAAGAACGUGACAAUCUUCCAUGCAGUGACGUGUGAGAAACCACCACUCAAGGUGAAACAAGGAUAAUGUCGAGUAAGUAAUGAUGAAAGAAAAGACAAAGAAUGAAUAUCACAAGUGGUGAUAUGUGAUAUCGGGAAAUAGUGAUGAAAUGAUGUCCAAGUGGAAAAUAUCACAAUGAAGAGUGAGGAAUGAGACAUGAAUAUGUAUGUCAGGUCUAGAACUCAUGACGUAUCCAAUCAUAGCAUGCAAGCACUAUAGGGUCCCCAACCCAGUGUAAUAGGCAAAUGAGGUGAUGAAAGAAAAGGCUACAAUGCUCGUGUAAAGCUCAAAGGGCUAGCAACAGGUAACUCUAUAUGUGAGGGUGAUAUGGUAAACAAGCUCCUGAAAUGAUGGCCACCCAUCCUACGACCACAACCUCGAACAUCGUGCUUUCAAGAUCUCACAUGGUAAAUACUAAAGACUAGCACUCGUCCAACAUAGUCAUGGCGACUCCUCUGAAAUCGUGUGAAAGCUCUCACUGAUGCUCUAUGAUAACCAUCAAUGUCCUCUGAUAAUCAUCUCACUAUAUCAUUAUAUGCCACUCGCCAUCGUCUCGUAAAAUAACUCUCUCUGAUCAUACCAAAACACUUGAAGUCAUGUGUAACGACUCAAAUCUGGAUACUCCCUGAUGAUCCCUCUGCCUCAGCAAUAUCAUCAAGAAUUCAAACCACUCUCUCAUCGUGAUCCAUCCAUCAUCAUGCAAAGCUCACCUCAGGUCUAACCAUCUCGGACUCUACCUGGUCAGAUCAAGGAAAUGAUGGAAAGAAUAGGCAAUGGUACUAUAGUAUACAAAGACGAAUAUGAAUGGUAAGGUCGUAUAAUGGUAUCAAGGGGUGGUGUCAUGUCGAGCUCAAAAUGGGUAGUUCAUCAAGUCCACAAAGUCAGGGUAUGGAUAUGGAUAUGGUACUGCUCUGAUCAGAAAGUGAAAUGAGUCAUAGUCUUGAACUCCCUAGGUCGAUCUCCUGAUCCUAGGUCAAAAGGCUCAAUAUCAUCCAUGAUAGGUCAAGCCAGAGUGAUCAUGAUGUAUAAGUGAAAAGAUGUCUCAUAUUGAAAUCAUAACACACAUCAACACAAGAUAUGUAAAGCACACUCACGAGAAAAAUGUCACAUACUCAGAUAAAAGAUCAUAUCACUAAAUGAACCAAUGAGUACAUCAUGUGUGAAACGAAAAAGGACUACAAACGACUGGACUCUCAACAUGAAAAUAUAAACAAUGACCCUAAACCAAAACCACACUUAACAAAACAAAAACAACUCUGAUGAACCAAAAACUGGACUCGACAAAAUGGAAAUGACUCUGAUGAUGACCAUAAUAAAAAAUGAAAAGUGCUCUGAGUUGAACUGCUACCAAAUGAUGUACCCAAUGUCGACUGAUCCAAGUCCUUAACCCGGGAUGUCCCAAAAUACCAUGCGACAAUCAAUACCAUCAACAUCCAAAUCAAUCUACUGAAGACUAAGAGGAGGAGGAACUACAUGUGUAGAAUGCGUAGGCAGAGGAUUGGUGGUCACACUUGGCCCAGCCAAGUUGACCAACCCUGAAUCGAUCAAGUCCUGUAUCGCAUGCUGGAGUGCCGAACAACGCUCAGUAUCAUGUCCCUGAGUCUGAUGAUACAAGCAAUGCUCAUGGGAGCAAAAAUGUGGAGGAAUAGGAUGUGGCAAAGGGCGUGGCGCCAAAGCAACGAUCAAACCACCAUCUCUGAGCUUCUCAAAAGCUCUAGUCAAAGUCAUGCCCAAUGGGACAAACUGUCUCGCGGGCCUCUGUGCAUAUGGUCUAGGCGGUGGGUGAGUAGCGGCUCUCGGAUGUGAUGGUCGUGGUUGCAUAGUUGAGUCUUGUUGAUUUUGAGUCACCAUCUUUACGUUUUUUUUACGUUCAGAGUCAUUUCUCCUCAACUGUAUCAUUUAGGGUCACAGUUCUUGGUAUUCAUAUUCACUGGCAUUGCACAUCUAACCUUCAUGGUUUUGCACUUGUCCUCAUUCUCCUCACCUCAUUACCCUGUGCUUAUCGCUUAUUCAUCAUUGUUCUUCCAUAUUUUCCCUUCCACUACACAUGACGCAAUCCUUUGAGUUCAGGGCACAUAUUUUGGUCAUGUUGAUGGGCACCCUACGCCUAGCAUUCUCAUGUGAUACACGUAUAAGAGUCUCCUUUGGACGCAUUCUUUCUUGUAUUUCAGGGUGGUUUGACUGUUACUCAUCUUUGAUAUUGAUCCUCGAGUCACUUUUGGAGACGUCUUAGAGGGAGUUUGGGUCUUUAGUGUGGCUUUAGAGGCAUUUUGAGACAUCAUUUUCUCUUAGGAUUAGAGCCUUUUUGUCCAUCUGUUGGCCUGAGUGAAUUCAUGUCUCACUAACAUACUUUUGAGGGUCUCCUUUGUUCUUCGGUAAAGUCCACUUCAUUCCACUCAUUAUUCAUACUUUCUUUUCACUUCAGUGUUCAUAUUCCUUGUACUCAUGAGCUCUACCGAAGAUGGGUAUUUUAGGGAGCAUUCUUUACCACCUUUCCUAUUUUUGGCAACACGUGCAUGAGAGGGUGGAUAGGCAGUGUUAUUUUUUGGAGACAAUCAGCGGAUGACGUGUGGCAUGAGAAUCUUCAAGGCAUUGUGGUGGAGCGGGUCUGUUAUGCAAAAGCUGCAGGGGAGAUAUUGGGAGGGAGGAGGUUUUGCUUGAGAAGGAAGCUACCAGAGGGAAGCUGAGGGGGGUUUUGGUUAGAGAGAGAGAGGUUUUUCUGGAGAGAAACCAGAGGAGAGAGUGGCUUGAGAGAGGAAGAAAGAGUUUGAAAAGCAAGUCUGCUUAAGGAGAAGGACUGGAGAAAACAAGCUAGGUGUCUGAAAAGGGUUGGAGCAGAAAGUAAGUCGUAUCAUCUUCGCUUAAGGGCUCAGGAAUGGCCAUUAUGAGCAUUUUCACUUUGCAUAUCUUAAUUUUCCUCCCUUGACAUUGUUGAUCUUAAGCAUAAUUUGUUGGGUUUUUGUUGACCUGAAGCUCAUAUUAUACUUGCUCUACUUUGUCCUUUCUCGGGUUUCUCUGUUUUCUCUCUUAGAUGACUGAGGUAUGGUUUACUUUCUUUAAGCUUGAUGUUUGAUUAAAUACACAAAAGGUUACUGCGUGUCCCACCAGUUGGCAUCCCGUUCAUCAUUCAUGAAAUGUGGCUUUGCCUGAAUAUUCCUUAGGUUUUAUGAUUUUCAUUUUUUUUUCUUUUAAACAAAUUCAUCCUUCACACCUCUCUGCUCUCAUGAAACUAAUUGUGGAAUGCCUUGAUUUCUGUUUCGUCAUCUGAGAGAAUAUUGGAUGCUUCAGACUUGGUGUAUGAUUAUUGCUUGAAGUCACUUGGCUGGGAUAUUAGAAAUGCCCUGGCUGCCACGAAUGAAGACAUUGGUGAAUUCAAGCGUAUUGACGUUCUAUUAGACAGUGUUCACAGCGGCGGUGCUGGAGUUUUCAGGGGCGUUGCUGUUGGGAAUCCAUGUAACCAUAUAUAUCACUCAGGCUGUACUGUUCUUUGGUUGAUUCAGCACAGUUCAUGCCUUGUUUGUCGUCAGGAGUUGCCUUCAUAAGGUCAACAAAGUUUAGAUGGUGGGUCAUUAACCACUAAUCUACAGUUUUAUGAUCCGCGACACGGAGAUCCUUGCCAAGCACACCGGAAUUUGCAUGGUCCAGCUGCUGGUGCAGCACUUGCAGGCUGUAUGUAUAUAGGCAUGCUUGCUUUCAUUAGGGCAACUGGCACAAGGGACGGUGUUUCUGUGUUAGGUCAUGUAGUGUGUGAGAUUUUUCCACCUCUAGGAUCAGCUAGCAUGGUCUUGCUAAGUGCCACGUCGGGAUUGACGGCUUCCAUGGGAAAAUCUUUAAAAUGCUAUUCCAUUGUUUGUGAUGUUCUUCCUGUCAGCCUUACUAAUUACCAAUUGAUUAAUCAUUUUCUGAGGUGUAUUUGUUGGUUCGCUAGCUGAAAACGGUGAUGCAAAGGGUGAUUUAAGGCUCGCAAACGACGCCGAUAUGCUGACCAGGAUCUGUGAUAGUUGCUGAGGCAGAAGCUGCCAUGAAGCGAACUACACUCGUAGACAACACUUCAAAUAUGCCUGUGGCUGCUCGUGAGGCUUUAAUUUAUACUGGUCACUAUAAGUGAAUACUUCGGAGAUAUGGGCUACAAUGUCAGUAUGAUGGCAGAUUCAACAUCUCGCUGGGCAGAAGCAUUGCGAGCAAUAUUGUGACGGCUGGCUGAGAUGCUUGCGAAUGGCAGAUAUCCUGCUCAUUUGGCAGCGCGUUGAGCUAUCUUUCUAUGAGAGUGUUGGCAAAGACAUGAGAGUCAAAAGGUACAUUUCCCAGAAGGAAUUCAGGCUUGGAAGCACCAGCAACCAGGAUCAGGAUGAUUCUCUACUGUUUACCCUUCUAUGGGAUCUAGUUAUCAGCAAGAAGAAAAGAAAAUAUAGUGAGAAAUCAGCAGUAAAGCCGCGAUCAGGGUCAUUUGGGCCUGUGUCAUCCAUGAGUAUGGGUCGUAGUAUUAGAAGCCCAGGUUCAUGUUCAAUGUAGAAGGAUUGAAUAUCAAUUUAACACGCUACACAUCAAGAAGCAUGGGAUAGAUAACUUACUCAAUAGGCCAAUGGCGGCGUCAGUGGAGGUGGCAUGAUUGAUUGAGCAAAUCUGGCGAAGAGGAUGAGAACAGAUGUCAAUGUUAUCAUCAAAAAGCUUAACAAAGGUUCAUCAACUAUGUUCUAGAGUUUCUUCUGGCAUCAUUAAACUGGCGUGACGGCAAUUUGAGGGAAAUGCUAUAGUUCCCAUGAUGAUUUGGUAUUGAUCUAGACAUAACAUAUCAUGAUGAGGUCAUAUGGAUCUUGCUACUUCAGUUUACCCUGUUGACUGCAUCAGUGGCAUAUAUCAAGGUAAAAACCAGUUUAAUAAGUUGGAGGAAUUAAUCUGGUGUCGUUUGAAUUUUCAAAAAGCUAUAAAACAUCAAGAAUCCUUUGCAUCCAAAAUCCUUUACCUGCUUCCAAACUCCUGUGUUAAGAUGAUUACAGUGGCACCGAGCACGCCACAGGUCUGGACUCUGAGCCCUUAACUCUGAUCUUCACUGGAAACAUUAUUCCUACCCAUGCAUGACAGCAUUCUCACAGAGAAGCAAUAGAUGAGCUGGUCGAGAAGGAAACUGGUGCAGCAUAUGGAUAUUAUGAAUAUAGUAUCAAUCUUUCAAGGAAUCCUAGCUUGGGAAUUGGUAGACCUAGUGAACAAAGACAUGACAAUGGAGAUGAAACAAAUGGGCAGAGAAGGAGCAAUCAACCGAAGAAGGUGUCAAACAGAGAGAGUCCUAACCAUGCAUGAGUAUACCAAGUUCAUCAACUGAAAGUCAUCUUCCAUAUUAUCCACGCCAAUCCUUCAUGCUACCCUCUUGUUUAUUAAGUUGCCUUCCAGAUGAGAAUCCCUCAAAAGACCCUAUUUUCCUCACGUCGUAACCGAGUCCUUCACUUUCUCUCUCUAAAACCCUCGUGCUAUCUCUAAGACUCUCUCGCUAAAACUCUCCAUUCCAUGAAAUUCUAGUUUUUCAACUCCCUAGCCAUAUACUGUCUCGUCACCAGUAUCGCUCCUAAGGUUCAGAUCACUUGGCACAGCACCCAUCAGAUCGGUAGUAGGCUGAACUGGGGCAAGAACCAUACUACUAAAGACAUCGAUUCGGGGUUGAAGUUCGAGCCUUAAUGCUACAGUCAAGAAUAUUUGUGCAAGCCUUGUGAAACAGGUUGCAAAUACCAUUAAUAAUGUGGCAAGAGAUGGUACCGCCUGUGCUACAGUCCUUACCCGAGCAAUGUUUACCAAAGGGUGCAAAUCGGUAGCUGCUGGAAUGAAUGCUAAGGGAUCUCGAACAAGGAUAUCAUGGAACGCCUCUGACCUCAUCUACCAGCUUUGACAGCCACUUCCACCAGUACCUGUGAAAUAUUCUGAAGCUCUGGGCUUUGACUAUAUUGUUCUAAACAGUAGUCAUCUGUAUCUAUUUGGGGAAGAGGAUCCAUUGGAGGAAUAUCUGAGAUGGAUCAGUUCGAAUGAAUAAAGGGUUUAAAGGCGAAUGCACAAGAAGGCAGAGGACUCUCCAUUCAGCUGAAAUCUAUGAUCCUAACAGGAAUGGAUGGAACAAGAAUUGAGAGAUCCUUUAACCUGUCGGGAUGCUGAUAUAGAAGGACCCUACUUUCAUGGAGCAUUUUCCUGAAGAAAAUUCUAGAGUUGACGUCAGCUUUAAUCAAGUAUCAAAAUUCUGGAAGAAGCAAAGAUUGGGAUCAAUCUCCUCCUGUGUUGACUUGUGCAUCACAUAAUUUGUUUGACGAUUUUGAUAGAAGCUUUAAACCUGUAGGGCCCAAGCAGUUCAAGAUGGUAUCGCAUAAAGAAGAUAUUUUCUCCUUGGCCAACCAUACUUAAAUGAGAAUGAUUUGACUGAAGAUGAGCUUGCUACCUUUUUAUGGUGCUAUGGGUUCAGCUGAGUACAAUAUGAUUGAUUUUCCUGAAGGCAAUUGGCAAUGGGCUGAUUCCACUUCCAAAGUUGAUGAAUGAGGCAGUGAUCCUGCAGAAGUAGAUUUAUAUGGCAGGGAUGAUGCAGAUUGAUAUGGUCAAGAUUCAAGUGGGAGCUAGGAAAUUGAGGUUUGAAAAUAAGGAAAUGCAUGUUGAAGCAAGAGAAAGGAAUACAUUAAGGAGUAGCAUGGAACCUUUUAGGCAUGGAUCUGGGCACUAUGGUUGGAUACCUUCAGAUGUCGCUUUAGUCAGUUCUGUGCUUAGCAAAGUGGCUUCAAAAAGCUCAUGGAAUGCUGCCAACACCUUCUCUGUCCCCAUCUCCAUGGUUGUCAUUCCUCAUCUCCUUCCACUUAUGCAUGGACUGGAAGGUCACCUCUAGCAUGGCCACUUUUUGAGCCAUGUCCCCCCCCCCUCCCCCCCCUCAAAUUCUUUCCCUUUGACUUUAAAAUAAUAAUUUCUUAACCCUGUUUUCAAAUGAUUUUCCAACUUCUAUUUUUUUUUAAUGAUUUCAGGUCAUCAAAUUUUCCAUCCUUAGAGUUUUUAGGUACCAACAUCCCAUUUUUAAUAAAAUUUGGUCGCCAUUUUCCUUCUGGCGAGCCAUUUUCGAAUUUUCUUUGAUUUUCAAAAUGUUUUAAAAUAAGUGUGAAUUUAUUUUUCAUAAUUCUUGGUGAUAGAAUUUACGAAAUUGAUUCACUCAAAAAUAAAUGGGCUUUGGUGGGAGCCCCACAUACGUGAUUUUAUGACUGAUUGAUUGAUCGAUUGGUUGUUUUGAUUGCUAUAUAUGAUUGAUUCAUUAUGUUCUAUGUUAUGCACAUGAUUACUCUGAAUUUGUUCACUAACCUUUGCUUCCCAUGAAAUAAAUGAGUUCAUCACUCAGGUACGUCCUUUGCCCCUCUUGUUCAUUCAGUUAUUUUUGUUUUGAGUGACAUUCACUUGGUAUCCAUUUACGGUUAAUCAAUUGCCAUGAUUGCUUCAUUUUAUUAGUAGAGACCUGACUUUAGGGACUUAGAGGGGUGUUACGGUCUUUAUCGUACCUUCCCGAUAAGUAACUUGACUCCCGAACUCGAUCCAGUUUUUCUCAAAUCACCUUUUCCAAAAUCAAGAGUCAUUCUUAGGGCUUUCUUUCUUAUUUUGUUUACCCUUUUAAAAAAUAAAACAAAAACAAGUGGCGACUCCAAGUCAUUUUCUAAUAAAUAAAAAUCAUUUUUCAAAAUAAAAAUCGAGCUCGCCAUCGAGUGGAAAACGCAUGAGCCGAAAUGAUAAUAGUUGAAAAUAUUUUUAUAUUUUGUUACUAAAAUUUUAUUUUAUAUAAUUGAGAUGAAAUUUAAUGGACAUUGUUAUUUCCCAAAAUCAACAUUAAAAAAAUAUUGAAAUUAAAAAAAAUUCUUCCAAGAAAUAUAUAUAUAUAUAUAUAUAUAUAUAUAUAUAUAUAUAAAGAAUUAGAUUUUAAAAAUGAUUUUUAAAAGCAAAAUGAAUUAUAAAAAUAAAUAAAUUUAAAAAGUGCAAAUUUUAAGUAGAAAAUUAGUAUUUUUUUAAUUUUAGAUUUAUAUUUUGAUUUUUUAGUUUUAAUUUAUUUUUUAUUUUCUUGAAUUGUUUUUAUUUGAGUUCAAAUGUGACUACUUUGUUAUGAGAUUCAUUAAAGAAAUAAUUGUUGAUUUUACAGUUAUUGCAUUAAAAGUUUUACUCAUUUAAUGAAUUGUACAUAAUUUCAUACUUCCAAUUAUUGUGAUAUUAAUGUUAUUCUCAUUUGAUUUCAGUUUGAUGACAAAAAGAAAACAUAUUCUCAAGUAGAAUUUGAUGAAAUUAGAGAAGAAUGGAUUACUUUUGUGUUUUAACUAAUCAUGAAUCAUAUUGAUGUAUCAUGAUCAUUCAUGGUGAGUCCCUUAGUUGUUAUAUGAUUGAAUUUUCCAUUGGUAUUGUAUAACAUUACUUAUUAUUUACGAACUAUUUUUAUAUCAAAAAGAGAGAAAGAAAAAAGAAAAAAGAAAAAAGAAAACAUUAGUACUUAGAUUUGUUUAUUGUUUAUAACAUCACAUUUUUAUUUUCAAUAAAAACUCUAAAACUCAUUAAACUAUGAAAUGCAGGUAUACACUCUUGGGAGGACAGUAUGCAGAAUAAAAAGAAAGGAGAAAAAGGCAACAAGAUUUAGGUUUUUAGAUAUGACUCUUAUGCCAUACAUUAUAGGACAUAAACGUUACUUUAUUUGGAAUUGAGAAUUUUGGGUUUUUGGAUGCAACUCUUGUGUCAUUUUAUGGUUAGCCGAUUUUAUGCAUAUGAAAUGUAGGUAUACAUGAAUGUUGGGAAGCUUAACAUUUCUAAAUCAUGUUUUAAUGUGUAUUCCCUUUUCUUUUUUAGUUUUGGUGGGUUUGAUGUACUAUCAUUUUGUGAACAUUUGAUUUACAAAUAUUAUUGGAUGAUGUAAUGUGUUACAAGUUCAUUCAUAAGCAUUAUGAAAAUAUAAGUUAAAUGUAAUAUGAUUAUUAUAUUUAUGGACAAUUUACACAGGUUGGUCUUAUUUAUUAAUAAACAUUACAAAAAUCUACAAACUAAUCAACAAAAAACAACCAUAUCUUCCAUAAUCAUUUACAAUGAUGUGGCACCAUAAAUUAAAGGUGAUACAUUUAACGUGACAGCAUAACUCAAAGAUGAUGCAUUUAAUAUGACACCUUAUAUAUCUCAUAAAACUCUAUAUCAAGUUAAGCAUCACUAAAAAUAUAUGAUGUCGCUUCUGAAUGUGUCACCAUUUAUCUGCUUUGGUGUCGCUUCCAAAUACGCCACCAAUUGAUACCCUCUAUGGUGUCAGUGGAUAAGGUGAUGCUAUGAUGUAGUGACACCCUAUGUUUAUAGUGACUUAUUAUAAAUGUCACCAUAUAUCUUUUUCCUUGUAGUGUGUUACUUGAUUCCUAUGUUGUCAUGUCAUUGCUUCUUGAUUUGAGUGAAACAAAUUAUAUAUAUUACAUGAUCAUUGCUUGUGAACUAACUCUCUUGUUUAUGGAAGCGCUUAACAUGCUAUUAAGGUACAUUCUUUCCUUUCUUUGUUUAUUGAUUCUUUGAGUGUGCAUGGUUUGUUUAAGUAUUCUUGAUUAUGAUUUUAUUAUUGCUUUGAUAUUUUUUUUUAUUCUUGGUAUCCACUGAUUUAUAUAUUAAUUGUCAUAUAUAAUUACCUCAAUUUAAUUAAUAGAGACUUGUUUUAAGGCUUAGAGGGGUGCUACCUUAUGGUACCUUCCCAAUAGGUAACUUGACCCCUAGACUUGGACUCGAUUUUCAAAGUCACAUUUUUCCAAAUAAGGAGUCAUUUGUAGGGUUUUAUUUCUUAUUUUGUUUUUCCUUUAAAAAAUAAACAAAAAUAAAUGGCAACUCCAAUUUUUACAAAAAUAAGUUUUGCACUAAAAGGCGAGUGUUGCCAUUAAGUGGGAAUGUGCGUGAAAAAUGAGGGUCCACACUAUGGUAUACCAUUAGAUUGUUUUUGGUUCUACCCACUAAUAUGUGAGGAACAUCGAAGGCUACCUGCUUCCAUAAGUUUCACUAUCUUGGGCAUUUUUAUUAACAAUGUACCAGAAAUUUGUUAAUAUAUGCACAUUUAUCGAAAAAUAUAUAUGAUUUAUGACUUUAUGAAAAAAUAACACAUGUAAUACAAGUUUAUUUCGUAUGCUCAUAUUACAAACAUUCUCUAUUUCAUUUUUUAAAUAUAAAUAUAUUUGAUCUCUAUCCUUUAUUUGCGUUCAAGUUCACUCCUUUUAUUAAAUAUUUUUAGGUAUACUUGAUUUUGGGAAAAAGUGACAUGGGUAUGAAGGGUUCAAAACCCCGUUUAUUUCUUUAGCUAAGAGACUAAUUUAAAUGGAUAUUUUUUGUAUUAAUGGUUCACUUUACUACUACUUUUUGGGAGAUUUGUCAUAAUUUAAUUUGUGGAUUUUAUUAUGAAAAGAUAAAUUUCUAGUUAAAACUUUUUUGUUAGCUUAAUAACUACUUCUCAUGUCAAACUUUCGGACUACACAUGUGAAAUGAUCGUGCUGUCCUAAACUCCGGGUUUGAGUCACAUCAUUAGCUUGCAUUUCCAUGAGAAGGGUUAUGAUAAAUUAGCAAUGAUGUUUCAUGCUAACGUGCCUUCAAAUUUUAAGGUUGGUGUUUUUCUAGUUGCACUAUAUCUCUUCAACAAGAUACCUUCCACAACUUUGAACUUUGACACUCUACAUAUAAAGUUAAUAUUUCUCAAAAGGUAUAACAAACACAAAUUCACCAAGAAGACCUGCCGUUUUGUCUUCCUAGCCUAUAGCUCUCUUCAAAAGAGAUAUAAAUGCUUGCAUGCAUCCCCAAACAAAUGGAGUUUAUCAAGACAUGUUUCUACUUGCAAACACUGGCUGAAAAUUUAACAGCACUCGAGCCUUCAAGCCAAAUACAGUGUCAUAGACUGAUACAUUGCCUACUAUUGAUAUAACACCUAUCUCUAGUAAUCUGCACCCUGCUACAUUUAAACUGCUUAAUUCUUAAAAUCCAUGUAGAUGCUCUUUAAUUUAGAGCUUGGAUGUAAUAAGUCUAACAGGCUCUUCCUCUUUUGUCAUUUUCUUUAUCUCCUGUUCAAACCUUUCCAUGACUGGCGGAGGCAGGCAUAUAGGUAUAACAUUCCCUUCUUCUCCUUUGCUGUUCCUGAACCGCGCACAGAAGCUAAUAAUAGAUAUAGCCCUAGCAAGCCCACUAUAGACGGGCUUCCCCCACCCGAAGUCGAUCUCUCCAGACCCGUCACGCGUGACAUCUGCAACCAUAUAGUUCCCCGGGUGCAUAAAUGAGGGCCGGCCCUUGAUGACCAUAAGAUCUGCCACUGAUUUAACGUACUCCUGACUCAUUUCCGCCUUGGCUUUCUUCACUAACCUUACCGCAUAUUCCAAUGGAUUUUUACAUAGCAUUCCAGCCUUAGUAAUUGAAGCUGGAGUCACAACAGCAUUUCCAUAGUAUCCUGGAGGCAGUUCGAAACCGCGCUUGCCUCGCAUACUGAUUGAGCAAAUAAUGCGAACAACCUCAUCAGGGUCUACUGCAAAUGCAAUUGUGCGGCAUCUCCAUACACAUGCUGUUAGAACCUCAAAUGUCGUGCUGGCACCGAGGCUUGCAGGAAGUCGGUUCCUAAGUGCUCUUAUCUCCUUGGGGCCAAAGAAGAAUGAUCGAUGAACCAAAUUAUUUUCGUCCAUGGCCAUUAGUGUGCCCUUGGUGUUGGUUACCUCCUCGUAUUCAUGAUGUAUACAGGUUAUUCGUGGUGGAUUUCGGGCAUUUAACAGCUCUCUUUGCCAUAUGGGUAGCAGAGAUGGCACAGACAGACCUUGAGCCAUCUCGCUUAUGGCGUUGAGGAAUUGGACCAAGCCAGGAAUACCACUCAUUGUGUGGUUUAGGCGCAA